rnacentral:lncRNA from 1 species
AAUGGGGGUACCUAACAACCACUAGAGCCUGCAAAUAGCAGAAUCGUGACCCGGAGCCACGGAGGAACAGAGAUUUUUCGGUAUGCUUCACGUCCAGCCGGUUCAGCAUGAUCGCUCCAAGGCCAAUGGGACGAACACAGUGCAGCUGAAAGCAACAGCGUCAACAGAAUGCAGAGUAUUAAGUUUCCACAGGGGCAGAGCCGCCAUGCCUGAUGCCAAGACAGGUCCCAAUCACUGAAAGAAACACCACAGGAACAAGUACAAAGUAUAACGUUCAGCCUCAACUGGCGUGCACACCAGGUUCAUCACACAUACAGACGGUACUUAGUUGGUCACGAUUCGAACAUACAGACCACACGCAUAGCACACUUAAGGGGUGGGGCAGUACCAACUCAAAGGAGCCGACAAUGGUCCAGUGCGGCACUGCCCAGAAGGCAAACACACCCACGUCCAGAUAUAGUGGCAGUAGGCACUGCCCGACAAUCUUUAUUCAUGCAGUAACCAGAUAUAGUGGCAGUAGGCUGAGCCCACGUCCAGCAGUACCCACAAUAGGUGUGCUUAAUCGUCGUAGUUGUGGCGACGGUGGUGGUGGUGGUGCUUCUCAUAACGCUGCUUCUUCUCGUCAUCGGAGUCAUCAUCCUACCAAGUGGCACCAACAAAAAGUUAGUAUGGGAGAGAAAGUUGUAUUCUAUUUUUAGCACUAUUGAAUCAUUUGUGCCAGCACUGCAAACAGAAUACUUGAUUCCUUAAGAAAUUAGCCUUUGCUCAACAAAGAGAAUAUGCGCUACACGGAGAGCAAGAUUUACAAGCUUGCCAGCAAUGCAUGAGUAGAGGGGGGAGGGGGGGGGGGGACAGCUCAUUUCCACUGCACCUUUUAAGAUCAUACACAUCAAUUUCGUGCUGUGAAUUUAAAAUUUUUCAAUUUUUCAACCUAAUUUGAAGACUUAUGCUUGCCCAAAUGCAAGUGUUAUGAAAUAUACUGCAUAAAAACCAUACGUCAUCGACACCACAGCUGAAGCACAGGGCUGCACUUCUACAACUCGGUAUUCAAUACAAAUGAACAGCCGUUACUGAUCUUUUGUUUAACUAGACUAUUUUAGGGUGAAAUCAAUAUGUCAUAUACCCCACAGUUUGUAUGGGACUUCAGAGAAAUACUACAGAACUCGAUCAGUAAGAUAGUUAUGCACCCUAAAUACCACGCAUUUUCAGACACUAGAAGCACUAACAAGCAAUUCAAAAUGGAUCAGCUUAAUACAGAAUUUUCCUCACAACAUGUUUCUAACACUGGAUAAAACUUAUUAAAACACCUUAAACCUAUAUUUGUAUCAGCGGCAUUUAUCUUCAAGCUACUUUUGCACCAAAAACAUAUGUUCUGAAUUUUAGAUUCACAAGCCUCUAUUCCUUCUACCCAACAUAAUUUUGAUAUGUUCCAUGACACCUGUUAUCAGCUAAACAGUCAUCUAUUCUCAAAAGUUCAUCUAUUGUAAGGCCUAAUACAACACACAAUUAAGUCUCCUGCUUUUCCUCUAAAAUUCAUCACAUGAUACAUUAUAACAUGCAUAAGCACAACAAGGUAAUUCAGGUAGAUGAAUAAAUGUCAACACAGCCCAAUUCAAAGGGAAAGGGACUUACAUUCUUCUUGCGACCAUAGCUCCCCUGGUACUCCUCUCCGCCACCAUAACUCGGCCUCUCAUACCCACCACUUUGAUACUCCUUCCCAUAUGGCUUCGGCUUUCCAUACCCAGCGGAGCCGUACACACCUUCAUCCUCAGACGCCUUCUUCCCAUACCCAUACCCAGAACCACCAUAGCCCUCCUCCUCAUUCUUCCUGCCAUAGCCAUACCCGGAGGAACCGUAGCUCUCCUCCUGAGUCUUCCUCCCAUACCCACCACUGCCAUACUCCUCCCCACCCUGCGGCCUGCUGCCGUACCCUGAUCCGUAGCCCUCCUCAGCCUGCGGCUUCCUGCCGUACCCGGACCCAUACUCCGAACCGUAGCUCUCCUCUACUUGCGGCUUCCUCCCAUAACCAGAGCCGUAGCUCUCGGCCGGCGGAUCAGCGCCGUACCCAGAUCCAUACACUGCCGACCCAUAACCCUGCUCCGGCCGGGCCUGGCCGCCGUAGCCAGCGCCGUACCCGGCGGCCCCGUAGCUCUCCUCGGUCUGCGGCUUCCUCCCGUACCCAGAGCCGUAGCUCUCCUCCUCUGGGUUCUUCCUACCAUACCCGGACCCGUAGCCAGAUCCGUAGCCGCCGCCCUCCUCCGCGGCGGGCUCGGGCCUGGAUCCGUAGCCGCCGCCGUAGGACGGGUGCUGCUCCUGCUGGGGGCGGAACCCGUAGCUGGGCUUGGCCUUGGCGUGGUGGCCGUAAGGGGACGGCUCGGACGCGGAGUAGUGGGGCGCGUCGUACGAGGUGGAGGGCUCCGAGCACGGGUGGCAGGUCUCCUCGGACGGCGGCAGCGGGCGGCCGUAGGUGACGAAGAGGUCGUAGCCGCCGCCGUACGGCGUGGGGUCGAACUCGUCGAAGUCGUCCGCCUCCUCGGCGGCGCCGCCCCGGGAGCUCUCGUAGUACGCGGACGCCAUGGCGGAUCGCGCCGGCUGCUCGAUCGGGCGGCAGGCGGCGAGCGAGGGUUUGGGGAUUUCGGUCCGGAGUGCGGGAUGGAAAUGGAAGCGUGGCUGCUUGUACCGCGUCGUGGCAAGCGCGUUGCGAGCUGGGGGUGGAUGGGAUCUGGGGAGACGUGGGGGGCACGUGGUGGCGGUGGGCCGGUGGGAAGACAGGCAGCAGGGAGCGCUGGAUGCGCGGCGCGGGGCAAACCGGGGUUUCCUCCCGAGGCUGCUGCGUCGGCCGAGUGACUCGGAGGAGCGGACCGUGGGACACCGUAGGGAGGAGGAUCUUCAAGCGUUUAGCGUCGUUGCCCACGGAUAGCUUCUGAUUGGUUGGCUGGUUCUACCGCAGCCAGGCUCCCGGGAUUGGUUUCGCUGGAGCAGCGCCAGAGCCUGGUUCCCACGAUGCAAACUGCGCCUCCGAGCCAGGCUCCCUUUAAAUGGGCGGGCCUGGCUAGACGCGUGCCUUGCUGCACCGAAACAGAGACGAGCCGUGCGGGCAGUAGGCCAACCAAUUGCACAUCCUACCAGCGUGCAAACGAGCAACCAAUCACCGUCGGGUCGCAGGCGUUGGGCCUGGCUCCCGGGUGCGAGACAGGCUCCGCUCAGACGAGAACCAAUCACUUGCCGUUGGACAACGUAGCACAUCCAUGUCAAAUCUGGGUGAUCCGACAAACUAGCUGUACAGGCACAACGACCAACAAGCUGUUAAAAUUUGAUCCCAUCAACCGUGUCACAUCGCAUCCAGCUGCGAGGCCAUUAGAGUUCAUCGCAGUUCUUCUGCAACUGAAGAGAGGGAAAUGCAGGAGUUUUUCUUCGAUUCAGGGCACAACCCAUUGUGUUAAAACCUUGCACAGUUGCACCAGCUUGCUGGAGUCUCAGUUAGUGGUCUACUCCUACUCUCAAUAUGUCAUUUGUUGUACACAAAGAAAAAGAAUAAAAGAAGAGAGGCUCGGCAGCUUUCCCCCUGUCAAGAAUGGUGAUUUUAAGUGCAAAACAACAGAUGUUCUUUUGUAAUCUAAUUGCCAAUUACAUCAAAUUUGUUGGGAUGUGAUAUACACAUGGGCCUGCAAGUGAGACUCGAGAUUGAAGCUAAGGGCGAAAUGACCUUUCUGUCGAAGAACAUUACAGUUUGAUGGGUCCUUAAAGAUGAAUACUCCAUUAGGUCGAGGACUAACAAAAGUAAGGCCUAUGACCUGGUUUACCUGGCAUGUCAACUUCACCAACUUCGUUUCCCCCUUUGUUUUCUUUUUGUUCGAUUGAACUGUGUUAUUUGGGUUGGCUUUUGGCAGAUGGAUAGACUCCUCUGGCUUCAAUGGAGAACCUAAUUGUGUAUUUUGAGGCCAAAGGGACCAACAUUUCGCCUGUUUUUUCAUCAGAUAUGCAUUUGACGUACUGUACAAAACAAUGGUAAUAGUUACAGAUGGUCAGUUGCUUGAAGCCGGGAAGGCAAGACAGACCAAUGCACUCUCUUUUUGGUUUGUGUCGUCAGCUGAUACUAACCACCAUUUUCUUAAUCAUCUGUUUGCUGUGUCCGCUUUCUGGUAGGUUGGUUAGCACAAUAAUGGUGUCAAAGCAGCCAUGAUCUCUGAAAAUGAUGGCCGCAACCUUGGAUCCCUGCAUGAAACAGUAGACAAAACAGAAUUGAGAAACUAAGUAGGGUGCAUAAAAGAUUGAUAAAGACAAAAGGAAAAGCACAGAGCAUUCAAUUUAAAGAAAAUGUAACUGAGUGUUCAGAAUACUUGCUUUUUCAGUAUAUCCAAAAUAUUAUGUUUUAUCUCUCUUCACACAGUUAAUUUUUUUCAAAGGAUAUACUCCAACGAUGCAUAAAUUGAAUGUCUGCUUUUACUUUCACAAUUUCAUGAUAGUAUUUAUGUGACAGAAAAAUUAUCAAUUUACAUUGCAACUGUUUAAGUAAAUAACAACACAUCUAAGGCCUCAACAAAUUUUGUAACACUUUAUAAAUAUUAAAGUUCCAUUGCAGCCCAGGAGUUAAAGCAUACUAACGUCUGCCAGCAUCUCUUGAUUAUCUCUGCUACAGCAGGAUCCACACUGCCUGGAAUAUCAAGUCGUCGGUGCUGAAAACCAACAGCUCCAACAACCUGCAUGGGAUUCAUACCUUCCCAUGGCUGUAGUAAUGUACAAAGUUCCCAUAAUAUGACCCCAUAGCUGAAAACGUCACACCUGAAAACAAAUGCACAAUGCAUUCAUCAAUCACAAAACCAUUUCGAAUCAAAGAGAGGGACAUGUAAAACCUACUUCUCAUCUGAUGGUUCAUUUCGAAGUACUUCUGGUGCCAUCCACUCCGCCUGCAUUUGAUAUAGCGCAGACAGUUAGCAGCUUCAGUAUUUAGCCUAAAGCAGCUUGCGAGUUUUUGAUUAAGCAAAUCUAUUCAAAGUGCAAAAUCUUAUAAAAGACUGCUGAUAUGACAUCAUCAAAGUACCAAAUUCUAACACAGAUACAAGGAGAGAAAUCAGGAAGCUUAGAAAAGACUGCUAAUUUGACAUCAUCAAAGUUCCAAAUUCUAACAGAUACAAGGGAAAAAGAAAACAGAACUGGCUAAAUACUGUAAAUGAUUCAGAAUCUAAUGACCCUCUCCAAUCCAUCUCAUCCUCACGCACACGCAUGACAUGAAAGAAAUUAUAGUUUGCAAACAACAGCAGUCAAAAUACAAAUCACAUGUGCAAGUUUACGUUGAUAUCAAGAUAAAGUGAAUUAUGAGUUUUAAACAAGCUCCUGGAGCUGGCCUGCACGAUUACAGACCCCACUAGCUACACAACUUAAUGUUUCAGCAAAAUUUUUCAGAACCUAACAAUCCUCUCCAAUCCAUCAAACCAUCAGAGAGUAAAUUUUAGCAUAAUCAAUAGACAGACCAGACAUGCAAGUCUAUACUCAUCUCAACAUAAAAUGAAUUAUGAGUUUCAAAUAGUAGGCAUCUAGCCCUGACAAACACGAUUGCAUGCCCCAACCCUUCUAGCUACACAUAUCAAUCCUAAUGCUAAAAAUAAAAGUCAAUAGCGAGCAUUUCAAUCAUUUUCCUACUAUUGGGAGGUAUCCUAUAUAGAUUCACACAACAUGCAACAGAAAUGAGUUUUACAAAUGAGCAGAACUAAAAGGCAAGCCAAAUAUAAGCUUGGUGUUUUCAAGAACAAGUUUCUUAUUAUAAGAAAUGGAAAAUGUUUGAUUUAAUAUAAUUAAGCAAGCUUACUGUUCCGGCUGUGGAUCUUGAGGAGAGGAGGGUAUUAUGCUUUAUACGUGAUAAACCAAAAUCGCAAACCUAAACACAAGACAAGUAAUAAUUGUUAUAUAUCUAGAAAUGUCCAAGACCCAAAGUGUACCACUGUUAAAGGACCUGUUUAUUACCUUCACAACCCAAUUUUUGUCAACAAGUAGAUUUGGAGACUUCAAAUCUCGGUGAACUAUGACAGGGGUGCAAUUGUGUAAAUAAUUCAUGCCACGGGCCUGUGGCAGACAACAACCAAGUAUUAGAAAAGACAGAGCGAAGUUCUCAAUAUGAAUGAGACAAAAACAAAAGGUAACUUCGGCAUACCACAUCAAGUGCCAUCCUUAGACGCCUUCUUUCAUCCAACUGGUUAUUGGGCCGAUGGAUCAACCGAAAUAAGCUACCUCUGCAUUGUCAGGACUACAGUUAGCAAUUGUGCAUUUAUGCAAGUCAACUUGUACAGAAACCACAAAGAUAAUACAUAAUAACUGACCGCCCUGAUAGCCUAUACCUGAAUAAUGCUUUAAAUACUAUGCAUAUGCAGCUACAAACGACAAGAUCUUGUACUCUCAUUAAGGUCCUGCAAUGUGUUUAUAUUUUAAACUAUUCUUAUACAUCUGGGGGGGAGGGGGGGGGGGCUUAUAUAUAUGGUCAUGUAUGACUUGUACAAGAAUACAAAUACAAUUCUACACAUAUCUCUAAUACUAUGCGCAUAACCUCCCAUUUUCUUAGAAGCAUUUUAGUGCACUAUUCCAAAACUCUACAGUAAUCAGUGCUUUUGUAUAAAUAUGCAGAGAAAAUUCAAGGCAAGCGAGAGGCUGAGAUUAAAUGGUACUUUCCCCACUAAUACUUUCUAGGAAGAGUACUUUGGCCAUUUCAAAAAGACUGUCAUUUGACAAAGCUGGACCAGCGGAAAUACAAAAGGCAAUCCAUCGACAGUUCCAUAUUUUAUACGAGAGGGAUUAGCUUUGUCAAGGGGAAAAAAUCAAUGGUGAUGAAUCAAUAAACUACCAAGUAAAGGUAACAAAGAACCAGAACGGGAGAAAGAGGAGGACUGAAUAGAGGAGCAGAAGGAUGGCGGAAGCAAAGGGUGUAGAUUUUUGCCUGAGUAUUGUAGAUUGAGUAUUCCAGUUCGAGGAUUUGAUCAUUUUACAAUCCACCCCCCCCCCCCCAAACAAACACAAAAGUAAUAACAGGGUAACUUUGUGAUUUGUGAAAUCUUAUCACAUUUUUUGCUCUGACAAUUUCAAUAAUUUAACCACAAACUUUUUAGAUUCUUUUAGAGGACUUGAUGAUUUCACACACCCCCCCACAAGUAAUAACAGAGUAACUUUAAGAUUUGUGACAUUACAUUUUUUUUUACUCUGGAAUAUUCAUUAGUUUAACCACAAUAGUAUCUGUACAAGACACUAUACAUAUGUUACAUCCAUUAAGUUCUUUUAUUUAUAGAACACAUUCUUCAAAAAGGGGGAUCAAACAUUAUUUAACAAAGAUUGGCACUGUCAUUAUAAUCCAUGAAGUAGUUGAAGAUUCAAAAACUAAAAUAAAAUAUCAACAAGGAAGAAAAGGUACCUUGGAAGAAAUUCAGUCACGAUGGAUAGAUGAGGUACACGAGUGACAGCCCCCAUGAAAAGAACAACAUUAGGAUGACGCAAUCUUUUCAUUAUUCCCACCUAAAUAGAAAUGAAUAGUGUCAUGAAUAAAAAUAAAAAAAUUUAUAAAAGAGUUGAAUAAUCAAUAAAAAGUAGACAUGCAGACAGGUAAUCUCAUGUCAACUUAUCUUGUGAUGAAAAUGAGUUUCUACUUUAAAUUAUAAAAAAAUGUUUGUUCAAGUGGACUAACUCUAAUUUGUUGAAUUUUUGUAGUCCAAUUCAAAACUAUGCAUAUCAACAGAGCUUGGUUUAUUAUCAUGCUUUUCAUUUCAUGCCAUACCAUGCCAAGAAUGCCAGACAAGCACUAACUUAUUUUGUGACCCAGAUGUGUUUGAAGUACCACUCAAAGUGCAGCUAGGUCCUCUAGUAGAUUUUGGUACAUUGAAUGACAAAAUGAUUAAAGGUUUAACAUCUUUGUUAAAGAUGUUUAGAUGGAAUAUAUUCUUAUGAUAAUAUUUUUGACACUGGGUCAUAAGACUUGUAUUAACUUAAAAGCUCAAAUUGAUUUAUGCAAGCAAGUUUGCGAUCCCAUAAAGCAAAGUUGUGAUGUAUGAUAAGCAAUUUGAAGUAAGGGUUGAAGACAUGGUUUCAUGCGUGAUGAGAUGAUCUCUAUAAAAAGCUUGUUGGUAGGAUUGGAUAACGAGCCAGCUCAGCUUGUGCCAGCUCGUUAUUAUAACGAGCUAGCUCGGCUCGUUAACUAAAUGAGGUAAAAAUUGAGCUCGGGUCGGCUCAUCAAAAGCACCAGCUGCUAGGGGCGGAUUUAGAGGGGGUGCAGGGAAGCAUGGAGCCCCCCUACUGUCGAAAACUCCAUUGGAGGCAAAGGGGAGUUGGUGGAGGAGAGAGAGAAAAAGAAGAGGAAAAGAGAAACAAAGGGUGGAGAUGGAGGAAGAAGGAGGGAGCCCCCCUAAACUUCAAACCUACCUCCGCCACUACCAGCUGCUCGUUUCAACUGGCGAGCCAACGCAAGACAUAAACACAAUGAAGGAAUAGAUGCAAUUUUUUUGAUUGGCAUAAAAUUAACAGCACAGCAGCAACGCAGAUGAAGAACAGACGAAUUGCCAAGGCCUUGACCCCACUCAUGAUGGCCGGGUGUACCUAGGUGACCUGCCGCUGCCACAGGACACGGCGUUCUCAGUCUUAGCUUUCUGAGCGAGCGGACGAGGACUUUGGGGCAUUCUGGAAGUGUGGCAUGCACCACAACAUAGUCAAGCAAGUCCAUGGCCCUGCUUGCCUCCGUUUUUCUCAGACACGCUUAGAUUAGCUAAAUGAAAAUUUUCUCACUUCUCGCUUUUCGCUUCUCGUAGUACAAAUCUUUAAAGUGAAUUAACACAUAAGCAAAAAUAAGCAGGAUGUUUGGUGGGAUUAUCGCUUAUUUCCACCGAUAAACCGAUUAUAAUCGGAAACAAACAGCGCCUAUGGACUUGGGUGGGUGGCUGAGGGGCGCGUUCAGGGCGCUGACUGGGCAGCGGCGAUGACGAUAGGCGGGCGGCCGCAGGGGUGCGUCGAGGACACCGACUUGGAGGACGGCGGCGGCGGCGGGUUGGAUAUUAGAGCUUGGGGAAGUGGUCGCAUCCUUGCUUGGGUGGCACAUCGGGCACAUCAACGCUAGCGGUGGCGGCUUGAUUUGGGCUAGCUGCUAUGGUUCUUUGACCUUGAACUUGGACGAUGCCUGUUGGGCCUCUAGUGGGCUAGAGGGAUAGCCCCCUUCCCGCUGUGCUGGCUCGGCUAGCCGCUCACGCUCGUUAACUAAACGAGUAAAAAUACUAGCUUGGCUCGUUAUUAAAAUACAACGAGCCGAGCUGAACUAGCUACGAAUCGAACGAGUUAACGAGCCACAAGCUAUUUGUCCAGCCCUACUAGUUGGCAGAUGAUGGGUUAUUAAAACUGAAAGCUGGCAAGCAAGACAAACAAUAUUCAAGUAUGAAUCCAAGAUCUAUGUGAAGAUACGAAUUUAAAAUGGAUAUUCAUUAUUGAUGUUAAAGCAAAAGUGAACUCAAAGUGGUAAUAUUGGAUGAAGAAGUCAAGCAAGGAACCAACAACGAAAGAUUAUCCAAAGUUUUGAUCAAGCGACUGUCGGUGUUUUACCGGCAAGUCUACAUAGGGAUACCCUAAGGUAAUAAACUUGUAGGCAGGGUGUUGCUGAGAUUAGAAACUCGAAGGUGCAAGCAACACAAGGUUUAGACAGGUUUGGACCGCGAUAUGCGUAAUACCCUACACUCUGUAUGGUGGUUUGUAUUACUUUAAAUGUGUAUUAUUUUGAGGGGGUCCCUCCCGCCCUUAUAUACUCUGGGGGAAAGAGGAAUUCUAGCCCGAUACUAGGUUAGGAACCCUAUCCGAGUACUACUUGGGCAGUUUCCUUCUGUACCGACUAGUUCUACUCGUAUCUGAGUACUUUACAAUAAAUAUAAGGUAUGGGACAUGCCUCAUCCCUUGUCCUAGAAUAUUCUAUACCAUGUGCGUAGUUCCGUGGCUCCGGAUCUAACAAGCCCCCGAGCUCUUCGUAGCCAGUACUGCAUGCUUCUUAGUACUUCUGAAGUCAUUUCGGUUUCUUCUUAAUUCCAUCUUGAAGGCGUGCUCAGAGUACUUUCUUAGUUGCCUCGAGGCUGUGAGGUGCUCACACCUUGAGUAGUUUUAAAUCUUCUUUUAUAUGAGGUGCGAUGAAAAUCGCACUUCAUAUGGAGUAGCCCUCGAACCUUAGAUUGAAUUGAAGAAUUAGGCUAAGGGUCAAAUUAGUCUUGAAUCUUUUUUUCUUAUCUUCCAAAUAUUUUUGAAAAAUAAGCCAUCGAUGACGCAUGCCCCGCAACUCCUGAGCCUUGAAUCCAAAUCCUAAAGAUUUGGAAAAAGGAUCCAAAUGAAAGUGGCAUGCCUUGUAGAAUAUUUUAACUUGAAUUGAUGGUUAAGAUAGGAAAAAUUGAUUUUGAAAUUUAAAAAUCCCCUUUCUCGGAUGAUAUCUCUGAAAAUGGUUAGGCAAAUAACUUCCCCAAAAUUUUCCUAAAUUACCGCUUAAAAUAAAUCUUGUACUGAGAAAAAUUCCUCAACUUCCGCACAGUGAAAUUGGGUCCGCCGCUGGUUAUUUAAGUGCGCGGUGACUUGGAAUUAAACCACACUUUCACCUGCCUUUUCACUGCUUCGAGCCCUUCAUCUUCCUCUGUUCUAGUGCUGCCGCCAUUUCUAGAUCUAGAUCUAGAUCUAGAAGCUGCACCACCACCUCCCCCAUGCCCCUAUGCCGGCUCUCCGCUCUCCCAUCCCUCAGCCCUCGAGCGCAUGUGAGUGAAGAGACUCGUGACAUCAAGGAUGGGUAAGAAAAAUGCGGCGAAGGGGAAGAGGAAAGAUUCCAAGGCCACCACUCCAUGGACGACUCAUGGAAGAAAAGUACGUGCACUGAGGCAGAUCUUCAAGCGUUAGUAGAUGAGGGCCUCCUGCAACCUAGAGAGAUAGUGCAGUGGCGACCGACUGAGCGAGAUGUCAGGCCAUUUGAACAUACGAAGGAGAUUGUUUUGUUCCAACAUUUCGUUGAACACGGUCUAGGUCUCCCGACAUCAAAUUUCUUCUGCGGUCUUCUCUUCCAUUAUGGCAUCGAACUUCACCACUUGAACCCCAAUUCCAUUUUGCACAUAGCUAUUUUUGUCCACUUUUGCGAAGCCUUCCUUGGCUUAGAGCCUCAUUUCAACCUAUUCUGCUACCUCUUUCACCUCAAGCCUCAGCCUAGUGAACAGAAUAUUGCAGAAGUCGGAGGAGCUGGUCUUCAGCUUAGGCAGGGCAUGGACAAAAAGUACCUUGAAUUCAAAUUCCCGACUAGUUUGUCUAGCUGGAGAGAGCAUUGGUUCUAUAUUGGAAAUCAUAAGCCAAGUCUUCCAGAGCGGACUACUGAAAAGCUGAAGAUAGCCCGUGAGUGGAGAGAGAUGCUAUACCAAGCAGAUAUGGAUAAAAUUUAUGAGUUACUUGUCAAGAUUAUGGAGCACAAUAUUGUUGGUGUCACUGGUGCCUCUGUCGUGUACUCCUGGAUGGGCAGGCGUAUUCAGCCUUUGCAGAAACAAACUUGAUCUGGUUUCGAGUAUCUUGGUAUCUCAGACCCACCUCGGUUUACUGCAGACAGGAUCCAACAAAGCGAGGUUGUGAGGCGAGUAAGCCGAGUACUGCUUGAUGCCGAGAUGGUUCCGUUGUAAGCAUCUAGGCCCUUAAGGUAUGUUUCGGUGAUUAAUGACAACCAUUAUUGUGACUAAUGAGUUUGUGCAGAUUUUUAGAUCAUUAUCGCUCAUUUGGUUAUAUGUCAAAAGAGGCCCCUAAUUUUCAUUAUUCAAAAAGGCGAUCUCGGCAUUCAACUCAAUAAUAUGUCAAGACUAAGGAUCUUUCUAGUCCUAAGUGUUAUAAGGUUGAGAAGGGCACUUAGGUUAGUAUAGGUUUUAUAGUUUUGUAGUGAUCGCACUAUUAAGAGGGGUUUAGGCUUAGUAACUUGAGCAUGGAUAUGGUCAUUUGAAAAUGGAUGCACACAAUGGUCACUCAAGUUUCUAGAAGCUCAAAUAAGUGGUUCUCAACUUAUAUCUCAAGAAAUAUUUGGAUUUCAUUCAAGACUCAAGUCAGAAAAGGCAAAAUCAGAAAAAUCCUAUUCACCGGUUUAACCGACGCUUCAACUCUUCUAUACGUCGGUUAAACAAGGUCAGCAGAGUUUGACAAGUCAAUUCACCGGUUCAACCGAUGAUAUUUGAAAAAGGUCGUCAGUGCAGUUGUCCAGAGACUUUGUUUUUUUUCAGUUGAUCAGCGGACAGCUACACUCACCGGUUAAACCGACGAUAUUUGAAAUUGGACGUCGGUGCAGUUGUCCAGAGACUUGGUGUUUCAGUUGAUCAGUGGAUGGCUACACUCACCGGUUAAACCGAUGUCACGUCGGUUAAUCUUCCCAAACAGUAACGGCUAGUUUUCAGAAGGGGAGUUUACAUUCACCGGUUAAAACGACGAUGACUAUUGGAGGGACGUCGGAUUAACCGGCGCUACGCAGUUUUCUGGCAGCUUUUUCUCCAACGGCUCUAUUCGUGUGAGCUGCCCAUAUAUACCCCUCCAAUGGGUCAUUCUACUACUCUUGACACCAGGAAACACCCAAACACACAUAAUAUAGUCAAGAGCCACCUUGAGCUUCAACAUUUCAUACACUUGUUCAUUCAAUCAUUCAAGAUGCAAGAUUAAGGACUUGAGUAGAGAGAAGCUUGUGUGCAUCCAUUCUUGGUGAUUGGUUCUUGCUCAAGUGAAGGCCUUAGCUUGUUACUCUUGGUGAUUGGCAUCACCUAGGCGAUCUUGGUGAUCGAGGUGAUUCUCGCGGAGCUUGCCAAGGAUUGUGGAAGCCCGGAGAAGAGAUUUGUACGUGGCUUGAUCUCCACCACACCGGGAUGGUGAACGGAGACUCUUAGAGAGCGCCCUCGUCUUGGUGACUUGGGAGGUGACAAUACUCUUUGUGAGUGUCACAACGUGGAUUAGAGGUGUGUGCCAACACAUCGAUACCACGGGAAAAAAUCCGGUUGUCCCUUGUCCACUUUACUUAUUCAAGCAUUAUCUUUUAUGCAAUUCAUUCAUGUGCUUGAUUUAGGAAUCACUAGUUAGCUCUACCUUGCUAGGCUUUAUUCUUUUUUCCUUAUCUAGCUUGUGUAAGUCUUUUAGUUAUCCGGUUGGUGAAUUGGAGCCUUUCUAGUUUUGCAUAGGUUAAGGUUGCUUUAUCUUGUUUAGAAAUUUAAAAAGGCCCAAUUCACCCCCCCUCCUGGUCCAUCGAUCCUUUCAAUUGGUAUCAGAGCCUCGUUGCUCAUUUGGAUCAUUAGGCUUCACCGCCUAGAGCUAUGGCCAAGAUGGGUGGUUCGCCGCCUCACUUCGAGGGCAAGAACUUUGCCUUUUGGAAAGUUCGCAUGGCCGCAUACCUUGAUGCGAUUGCCCCCGAAGUAUGGUUGGCAACUAAAGUCGGGUUCACCGGAGAUCCCACCCCCGACCAAUUAAAAUGGAAUGCUAGAGCUAGAAAUGCAAUUUUCGAAGCUAUUAGUGAGGAGGUCUUUGCUAGAGUAAAUGGCAUGGACCUAGCAAGUGAUAUUUGGAAGGAGAUCAUUGAGAUUCAUGAAGGUUCCACCAAAGUUCGUGAGCAAAAAUAUCACUUGUUUAGAGCUAAGUAUGAUUCCUUCAAAAUGCUAGCUCAUGAAAACUGCAAUGAUAUGUAUUCUCGCUUGAAUGUCAUUGUCAAGGACAUUAAUGCACUUGAAAUAUCCAAAAUUGACAGUGCAUCCAUCAAUCGCAAGAUCCUCAUGCUCCUCCCGAAGCCCAAGUAUAACAUUAUCAAUGCUAUGCUUUAAAAGGAGGAUCUCGCCACAAUGGAAGUAGGAGAACUUGUGGGCGAAAUUCGCGCUCAUGAAAUGAGCAUUCUUGGUAUGUCCGAAGAGCCAACAUCAAGCAAGUCAAUUGCUCUAAAGACCAAGACAAACAAAUCCCGCAAGCUCAAGAUGGUCAAACAAGACUCAAGCUCAAGCAAUGAAGAAGAUGAUCAUCAUGAGAGCUCAUCCGAUGUUGAAAAUGAUGGAGAACUUGCUCUCAUGAUGAGAAAGUUCACACGCUUGAAUGAGAAGAUCAAUAAGAAGGGCUUCAACUUUGACUCCAAGAAGGGAAUGUUCCGGCCAAUGGAUGUCAAGAACAAGAUUUGCUACAAUUGUGGCGAAAAAGGACACAUCCGUCCAAAUUGCCCCAAGCCGGACAAAAGAAGCAAGGACAAAAAGAGUAAGCAUCGUCAUGAUUCAAGCGAUGAUGAAGAAGAGGAGAGGAAGAACAAAAAGAAGAGAUUUGGUAAGAAGAAGACCCAUGACAAGAAGACCAAGCUCUUCCCAAAGAAGAAAGGGCACACCAAGAAAAGUUUCUUGGUGGAGAAACAAGAGUGGGUGACCGAUGUCUCAUCAAGCGAAGACUCAAGUGAUGAAGAAGACACUGUCACCAUCGCCCUCACCAAUGAAGAACCAUCUCUACCUCCGCCUCCUAUGUGCCUCAUGGCAAAAGGUAACACCAAGGUAUGUGAGGUAGAUAGUGAAGAUGAUAGUGAUGAAGAGUUUGAUCCAAAUGAAUUUACUAACCUCAUCAAUGAGUAUACAUCCGUCAUCAAGAGGGAAAAGGGCAAAGUUAAAAUUCUUGAGAGCACUCAUGCCAAGUUAGAGCUUGCCCACUCCGACUUACUUAGUAAGUACAAUGACUUGCUCAAAAAGCACAAUGAGUCACUUGUACUUGUUAAGCAAGUUGAAGAGAGUCACAAAAAGCUCAAACAAGAGCAUAGGGAGUUGGCUCACAAGUAUCAAGAACUUGAAUUUGCUUAUGAAGUAAUUGACCCAACUCUUGAGAAAGUUGUUCAUGAAAAGGUCAAUGCUUCUACUUCAUGUGAUGACCUACUUAUUGAUGCAUAUGCCACUAAUGUUGUGCCCAAGCUUGUUUCUUCUAGGGAAAAGGAAUUGAUGGAUCAAGUGGCAAGCCUCAAGAGUAGUGUGGAGAAACUCUCAAGGGGAGAAUACAUCCACAAGGAGAUUCUCUUUAACAACGCCCGUGACUAUGGUAAGAGAGGUCUUGGUUCAUUUCCGGAGCCAAACAUGGCUACAACUCCUUCUCCGGAGAUCAAGACAAGCUUCAUCAAGGAAGUGGGCUCAUAUUGCCAACAUUGCCAAGUCACCGGGCACCACACUAGGGAGUGCACUUUAUCAUCACGUUCUCUUCCUAAAUUACCCAAGAAUUACUCAUCAAUGUUCCAAAAUAAUCAUUUUCUCUUGAGUAAAGUGAAGGGCAAGGUGAAGGCCAAGUUCAUUGGCAAAAUUGCUAAGGAGUCGAAGAAGAAGCUCCCCAAGCAACUUUGGGUCCCAAAAGCUCUUGUCACACAUGUGCAAGGCCCAAAGCUUGUUUGGGUUCCGAAAACUCAAAAAUAAAUUCUCAUGUGUGUAGGUGAACUACAAAGCCGGUGGAAAAUAUUGGGUACUUGAUAGCGGUUGCUCUCAACACAUGACCGGCAACGAUAGCAUGUUCACCUCUCUUGAAGACCCCGGCGAUCAUGAACAUGUCACCUACGGUGAUAACUCAAAGGGGAAAGUCUUAGAUUUGGGUAGAAUUGCAAUUUCAAAAGACUUAUCCAUCUCAAAUGUUUUGUUUGUAGAAGCACUUAGUUUCAAUCUCAUUUCUAUUGCACAAUUAUGUGAUCUUGGACUAACGUGUGCCUUUGACAAGAAUGGUGUUGUAGUGACUCAUGAAAAAGACAAGUCAUUGGCAUUCACAGGGUUUAGGCAUGGCAAUAUCUAUUUGGUGGAUUUCUCUUCAAAGCAAACAAGCACCAUGACUUGCCUCUUCACCAAGUCGUCUCUUGGGUGGCUUUGGCAUAGAAGAAUUGCUCAUAUUGGCAUGAGCAACCUCAAGAAAGCCCACAAGAGAGGGAUGAUCACCGGCAUAAAGGAUGUCACUUUUGACAAGAACAAGCUAUGCAAAGCAUGUCAAGCCGGGAAGCAAGUUGCAACUCAUCAUCCUAUCAAGACGAUGUUGUCUACCUCCAAGCCGCUCGAGCUACUGCACAUGGAUCUCUUUAGUCCAACUUCAUACAAAAGCAUUGGUGGUAACCUCUAUUGCCUAGUAAUUGUUGAUGAUUUUUCACGUUACACUUGGGUCAUGUUUCUAGGCGAUAAGGGUGAAACUCCGGAAAUCUUCAAGUCAUUUGCAAGAAAAGCUCAAAGGGAAUACAAUUCCCCAAUUGUGAAGAUUCGGAGUGACAACGGCACCGAGUUCAAAAAUAUGAAGGUUGAAGAAUGGUGCGAUGAAGAAGGAGUCAAACAUGAGUUUUCCGCCACCUACACGCCUCAACAAAAUGGAGUGGUGGAAAGAAAGAACAAGACACUCAUCACCCUAGCAAGAGCAAUGUUGGAUGAUUAUGGCACGUCCGAGAAGUUUUGGGCGGAAGCAAUCAACACGGCGUGUCAUGCAUCCAACCGAGUGUAUCCUCACCGACUCCUCAAGAAAACUCCAUAUGAGCUCAUCACCGGGAGGAAACCAAAUAUAUCAUACUUUCGGGUCUUUGGUUGCAAAUGCUUCAUUUAUAAGAAGAAAAGGCUCGGUAAGUUUGAAAGUAGAUUUGAUGAAGGUUUCUUUCUUGGUUAUGCAUCAAACUCCAAAGCAUAUAGAGUAUUCAAUCAAACCUCCGGGUUAGUUGAAGAAACAUGUGAUGUGGAGUUUGAUGAAUCUAAUGGCUCCCAAGAGGAGGUUGUUGGCUAUGAAAAUGUAGGGGAUGAAGAGAUUGAAGAAGCCUUAAAGAAGAUGUCCAUUGGGGAUAUCAAGCCGGAGGAGGUGCAUGAAGACAAUGAUCAAGGGGGAGGAACUUCCUCAUCUUUGCCAAACACCUCCACGGCACCCCAAGUGGAUGAAGAUCAAGAUAAAGUUGAUCCACUACCUCAAGAAAAUGUGUCAACGCCAACACCCCAAGUCCAAGAACAAGAAAAGCAAAAUGUUCCACCACAAGCACAAGUCACUCAUGAUCCACCCCAACAAGCAUCCACGCAAAUACCGCUAGUGAAGCAUGGUCGCAUCUCCAAGGACCAUCCAAUUGGUCAAAUCAUUGGUAGUCCUUCCGAAGGAGUAAGAACUCGCUCUAAGUAUGCUUCAUUUUGCGAACAUCACUCGUUUGUUUCUUGUAUUGAACCCACUAGCAUAGAGGAAGCACUUGAGGACUCGGAUUGGGUGAUGGCCAUGCAAGAAGAGUUGAACAAUUUCACCCGCAAUGAAGUAUGGUCCUCGAAGCUCCUCCGAAAGACAAGAACAUCAUCGGCACAAAGUGGGUCUUUCGAAACAAGCAAGAUGAACAUGGGGUGGUGGUACGCAACAAAGCAAGACUUGUGGCAAAAGGGUUUUCUCAAGUCGAAGGUUUGGAUUUUGGUGAAACUUUUGCUCCGGUCGCAAGACUUGAAGCUAUCCGCAUUCUUCUUGCUUACUCUUCACAUCAUAAUAUUAAGUUAUAUCAAAUGGAUGUGAAAAGUGCUUUCUUAAAUGGCUUUAUUAACGAACUUGUUUAUGUUGAGCAACCUCCCGGGUUUGAAGAUCCGAGGAAUCCUAACUAUGUUUAUAGGUUGCACAAGGCACUCUAUGGACUCAAACAAGCUCCAAGGGCUUGGUAUGAGAGGCUUCGUGACUUCCUAAUCAUGCAAGGUUUCAAGAUCGGGAGGGUGGACACCACUUUGUUCACAAAAGACGUCAACGGGGAUCUUUUCAUUUGUCAAAUUUAUAUUGACGAUAUUAUCUUUGGCUCAACUAAUGAUUUACUAAGCCAUGAGUUUGAUACCAUGAUGUCUAGGGAAUUCGAGAUGUCCAUGAUUGGCGAAUUGACUUUCUUACUUGGUUUUCAAAUCAAACAAAUGAAGGAAGGGACAUUCAUCUAUCAAGAAAAAUAUACUAGAGAUAUCUUGAAGAAGUUCAAGAUGGAUGAAUGUAAGCCAAUUAAGACUCCUAUGGCUACAAAUGGGCAUCUCGACUUGGAUGUGGACGGUAAACCAGUUGAUCAAUCCCUCUAUCGUUCAAUGAUAGGGUCUUUGCUUUACCUUACCGCAUCUAGGCCCGAUAUAAUGUUUAGUGUGUGCUUGUGUGCCCGUUUUCAAGCUAACCCUAAGGAAUCACACCUUUCUGCUGUGAAUAGGAUCCUUCGGUAUCUCAAGCACACUCCUAGCAUAGGCUUGUGGUACCCUAAAGGCGCUAGCUUAGAUCUCUUGGGAUACUCGGAUUCGGAUUUUGCCGGAAGCCGUGUGGAUCGCAAGAGUACCUCCGGGGGUUGCCACUUGUUUGGGCGUUCUCUAGUUUCUUGGUCGAGUAAGAACCAAAAUUCCGUGGCUUUGUCCACCGCGGAAGCGGAAUAUAUAGCAGCUGGUGCAUGUUGUGCCCAAAUUCUAUAUAUGAAGCAAACCCUUUUGGACUUUGGUGUGAAACUGGGAAGAAUACCACUCCUUUGUGACAAUGAAAGUGCCGUAAAAAUUGCCAAGAAUCCGGUUCAACACUCUCGCACAAAGCACAUUGAUAUUCGCCAUCACUUCUUGCAUGAUCACGAAGCCAAGGGGGACAUUUCCCUUCAAGGUGUGAGAUCCGAGGAGCAAUUGGCGGAUAUUUUCACAAAACCUUUAGACGAGAGUACCUUUGUUAGGCUAAGAAAUGAGCUAAAUGUGUUAGAUGCGGCAAACGUCAUGUAAGUUGGCAUGUCAUAUAGAAAAAUGCAUACAUAUAGGACACUUGUCUAACCAUGGUAAGAUAGUGAUGAGCAAGGGUUUAGCUAGAGGUGGUGGUCCACUUGUUUUUCCUCUAGGCUUGUAGAAAGGCUCGUCAUGAUGAAGCUUUCCGUGGGAUCAAACUUGACAAGUAGAUUUUAAAUUCUCACCAUGCAUUUGCUUGACAUAUAGUUGUGCACUUCAUGUUUAACUUUCCUUCGCAUGUGGUUGUUGUUUGCAUUAUCAUUGCAUGCGUAAGGGUCACAAAGGAGAUCACUUGAUGAAAAUGAGACUUGUUUUACGUAAAAGAUCUUAAUUCAUGAGAAGUGAAAAGAGUAAAGUGUUAGGUGCAUUAUUGCCUAGUGAGCAAUGUCAUUGUGAGUUUGAAGCUUUUCUCCUUCAAUAUUCCUAUGACAUGGCUCAUACAUUUUAAUUUGGCGCUUUGUCUCUCUUGCGACUUAUUCUUGAUUUUGAAAAGAAAAACUAUUUAAGUUAUUAAGCUAUCCUAUUUAAUUUGAGGGGUAAAGUCGCCUAUGCAAGUCCAUUAACUUGAGUUUAGUUGAAUCUUAUAAGUUCAUUGGACUUAGCAUAGAAAAAGUGAGCUGAGAGAGGGUUUUUAGGUUCACCGGUUAAACCGACGUUCAAUGGAUCUAUACCCAUCGGUUUAACCGGCGUUACUAAGUGUCAGCUUCAGCUCAGUCAUUUCAGGCGUUCAACCGGUGUAUACAAAGUUCGCAGCAUCGGAUCAACCGGUGAACAGAUCACAAAUUUGACCUGAAAAUCAACUGUUAUUUGCAUCGUUCAACCGACGAGUUCACAUUUCGCAUCAUCGGUUCAACCGGCGUACAGAUGCAGAUUUGGCAGAGUUUCUGGUAAACUACACCGACGCAAUCAACCGGUGUUCAAAACCUAAGCGUCGGUUCAACCGGCGAUAAGAAAAUCUGCGGGGCCCACAUGUCAUAUAUCUCUCUUGCUACCGCGCCGCUCACUCUUCCGUUUUUGCCGCCCGUCCACCUUCUGCCGUCCGCUGCCCGCGCUCACCCUCACCGCCGUCAACUCCUCCACCGCGCCGCCGUCCGCCGCCAUCUGUCGCCUCCGCCGCCGCCUGCACCCGCACUCUUUCCGCGCCGUCACUGUUUGCCGCCCACGCACAACCACCGACCGCCGUCGCACCGCAUCCCGUCACGCCGCCGCUCGUUGCGCCGCCGCCCUGCGUCGUUCACGCCACCCCAGCCGCGCCCGUACGCCGCCUGCACCGCAACCUCGCCGCCGCCAUCCGCCGCCCGCGUGUCACCGCACCAGCGCUUCCUGCUCCGCACGCACUGCACCUCCGCCGUGCCACCGCCCACGUGCAUUGCACCACUCUUGUGCAUCCACGCCGCGCACGCCAUGUGUUCGGCAUUUUGCCCUAGCUCGCCGCGCCGCGUUCCUGUUACUCACUGUGUCGUGAUGGGUCGUGACAAGAGGAAGGGGAAGGAGAUAGUGGUCGAGGAGCCCGCGCGCAAGCGGACUCGCGCAGCGAGAGAGGCCGAGAGGGCCGAGAUGGUGGCCAAGGCCGCCGAGGAGCAGGCGUCAGGCCGUGCUCGUCCGUUCGCGAUCAGAGAUACGCCAGCCAGGGGCAGAGGCAGAGGCAGAGGGAUGGGCCGAGUCAGAGGUGCCAGGGCCACCAGAGCCGCAGAGUCAGAGCAGUCACCUUCAGCGGCAGAGUCCGAUUCAGAUUCAGAGACAGAGCAGUCUGAGCAGUCUCAGGGGCAGGAUACACAGCAGUCACCAGCUCUACGACGUUCUGGCCGCACCCGGCAGACGUCCCCCGCAGAGGAGACUUCACCAGCGACCGAGCGUCGCACCGGACUGAGGACGCGAGGAGGCCACCAGCCACAGGAGCCUCGCAGGUCCACCGCAGCAGCAGCUGCAGCCCGUCGAGCCGAGGCCCUAGCGGCCGAGCGCGCAGUGUUCCGCAUGGACACUGUCGUGCGUCUGGAGCCAGGUGUGCUGCUCCAGAACUUGACCAAGGCCAAUGCGGCGAAGGUCAAGAGGCUCAGGUGGAGCGUACAGGAGGAGGAGUGGUUCCCCGUGACCCGUGACAGCAGGGUCGAUCGCAGAUUCUGGACACUCCUUCAGGCCAGUUUCUACGAGACCUAUCAGAGGCGGGGCCACAGGAUCUUUCCUCACAGAGUACUAGACUGGGUUUCACUGAGGACAGCUGCAGGGGGAGCCGAUGUCAGGGAGCACUUUGCUCACUUCAGGGGUCUGCCCAGGUUGCUUUCUAUUGAGCGGAACAGAUAUAUCGAGGAUUGGGUCAGGGUAUUCUAUGCCAAAGCUUGGAUAGCCCCAGAGCGCAGAGCUGUUCACUUCAUGUUUGGAGGGCAGGUAUUUGGUUUGUCCAGAGCGACACUUGCAGGGAUUCUAGGAGUUGAUUUGGUUGACGUCUCCCUGCACGAGAUGGUAUAUGGUGAUGCAGAUCCACCGCGCAGAGCCAUGAUUGGCGGGAUUGCACCUUCUCACGAGGCAAUCUCACAGUGCUUCCGCCAGCCCUUCCCGGCUUCUUAUGCCAGAGUCCCGAGCCUACUGACCCCAGAGGCCUACGCUGUUCACAUGGCACUCCGGAGGACUUUGCUCCCGAGGAGUGGCUACCCAGAGGGGUUCACAGGACUGCAGCAGCUGCUACUUCUUCACAUACUCACUCAUGAGCCAUUUGACAUAGUUGAUUUUAUCUUGGCUGAAAUUGAGGAUGUCAUCACUGAUGGGAUGGGGGUCGUGCGUCAGUUUCCAUAUGCUCACUGGAUCAGUUUUAUCUGCUCUAUGAUUGUGCCAGCUGAGUCACCAGUCAGUGCAGUAUACCGGCAGGACGAGGUCCCCUGGUUUCCAGUUUACCGACCGACUGCACCCUCAGACAGGAGGAGAGGGAGACAGGCAGAUCGUGCUGCCAUGGCAUGGCUGUCACCUGAGGUUCAGGCCCGUGUUGCCCAGGAGGACGAGGCACUGCUGGCCGCAGAGGCACAGCUUCCCGGAGGAGAUGAUGAGAUACAUUGGUCAGACUUAGAGUCAGACUCCUCCGAGGACGAGGAGUACUUCCCUGCACCUGCUCCAGCGAGUCAUGAUCACGAGGCAGGAGGUUCCGGAGAGCCAGCUCCAGUGACAGCUGCUGCUACUACUGUCUCAGAGUCACAGGUGUCUCAGCCGUCUGAGCUCACCGCACUUCUGCAGCAGCUGGUCACAUAGCAGAGAGAGGACCGUCGCGCUCAGGAGGAGGCCAGGAGAGCCCAUGAGGCCCAGCUUGCAGAGAUACAGAGAGAGGCCGCCCGAGAGCGAGCUACUACAGAGGAGCGUUUUGUCGGCCUCAUUGACAGAGUAUCUCAGAGGACAGACGCUCAGUUUCAGCAGAUGCAGCAGGGCAUGAUGGCGAUGUUCGGGAUGAUCUCACAGCUAUACUCUCACACCGGACUCGCCCCACAGCAGCCAGGACAGACAGGCCUUCAGAGUGCUGGAGCACCACCACUUGCAGUUACACCAGCUCCAGCCUCCACUGCUCCAGCUUCUUCCGCGACCCCAGAGAUCAUGUUCUCAUUGUCAGCACUGCUUGGGUCUGCGAGUCGUCCCCUCUUCUCUCCUCUGCCUGCGACCUCACUCUUGCAGGAGUCACCCUCUGCAGUGCAGUCUGCCGGCCUCCCCGUCGUUCCACAGACACUACCUUCAGGGGGAGGAGGAGAGGUCUCUUUGGUUCAGCAGUCGUCACAGCCGGCAGCAUCAGCACUCACUACUUCAGAUGUUGACACAUCCUCUGCUGAGCCGGCUACUACAUCGACGGACCUUCCUCCAGGCAGCGCCAGCACACGAGCCUCCACGACAGCUACUCCUCCGGUCAGCUCAGCACCAGCAGGCACUUCAGAUCAGCAGCUACCUUCAGUCUCCGAGGAUCCACCGUCCGACGACGACGACGUCGAUGACCCAGAUCGCUUUCUUGCAGUACCUCGUCAGCUGGAUCCGUAGAUCGCUCCUUUUUGGGCUUUGAUGCCAAAGGGGGAGAGGGAGUCAGGGGGAGAGGGAGUCAGGGGGAGGGUAGCAUUAGAGAGAGCUCGUGAUCAGGACUUUGUUGUUUCUUAUUGUAUUAUAUAUUGUAUUAUAUUUGGUUUUAGUUCAUGGAUAUGUACAUUUGUCAUUUGAGCAUGCUGAGCUUUUGAGACAUAUCUAUGGAUUUCGUUUGAGCCAUUGAGCUCUUUGGUUCUUUUCUUUCGAGUUUGCUUGUGUUUAUUCUUGGCAUAUCUUUCUCGCUCUCUCGUUAUUUAUGUCUGUGUUGUCAUCAAUCACCAAAAAGGGGGAGAUUGUAAGCAUCUAGGCCCUUAAGGUAUGUUUCGGUGAUUAAUGACAACCAUUAUUGUGACUAAUGAGUUUGUGCAGAUUUUUAGAUCAUUAUCGCUCAUUUGGUUAUAUGUCAAAAGAGGCCCCUAAUUUUCAUUAUUCAAAAAGGCGAUCUCGGCAUUCAACUCAAUAAUAUGUCAAGACUAAGGAUCUUUCUAGUCCUAAGUGUUAUAAGGUUGAGAAGGACACUUAGGUUAGUAUAGGUUUUAUAGUUUUGUAGUGAUCGCACUAUUAAGAGGGGUUUAGGCUUAGUAACUUGAGCAUGGAUAUGGUCAUUUGAAAAUGGAUGCACACAAUGGUCACUCAAGUUUCUAGAAGCUCAAAUAAGUGGUUCUCAACUUAUAUCUCAAGAAAUAUUUGGAUUUCAUUCAAGACUCAAGUCAGAAAAGGCAAAAUCAGAAAAAUCCUAUUCACCGGUUUAACCGACGCUUCAACUCUUCUAUACGUCGGUUAAACAAGGUCAGCAGAGUUUGACAAGUCAAUUCACCGGUUCAACCGAUGAUAUUUGAAAAAGGUCGUCAGUGCAGUUGUCCAGAGACUUUGUUUUUUUUCAGUUGAUCAGCGGACAGCUACACUCACCGGUUAAACCGACGAUAUUUGAAAUUGGACGUCGGUACAGUUGUCCAGAGACUUGGUGUUUCAGUUGAUCAGUGGAUGGCUACACUCACCGGUUAAACCGAUGUCACGUCGGUUAAUCUUCCCAAACAGUAACGGCUAGUUUUCAGAAGGGGAGUUUACAUUCACCGGUUAAAACGACGAUGACUAUUGGAGGGACGUCGGAUUAACCGGCGCUACGCAGUUUUCUGGCAGCUUUUUCUCCAACGGCUCUAUUCGUGUGAGCUGCCCAUAUAUACCCCUCCAAUGGGUCAUUCUACUACUCUUGACACCAGGAAACACCCAAACACACAUAAUAUAGUCAAGAGCCACCUUGAGCUUCAACAUUUCAUACACUUGUUCAUUCAAUCAUUCAAGAUGCAAGAUUAAGGACUUGAGUAGAGAGAAGCUUGUGUGCAUCCAUUCUUGGUGAUUGGUUCUUGCUCAAGUGAAGGCCUUAGCUUGUUACUCUUGGUGAUUGGCAUCACCUAGGCGAUCUUGGUGAUCGAGGUGAUUCUCGCGGAGCUUGCCAAGGAUUGUGGAAGCCCGGAGAAGAGAUUUGUACGUGGCUUGAUCUCCACCACACCGGGAUGGUGAACGGAGACUCUUAGAGAGCGCCCUCGUCUUGGUGACUUGGGAGGUGACAAUACUCUUUGUGAGUGUCACAACGUGGAUUAGAGGUGUGUGCCAACACAUCGAUACCACGGGAAAAAAUCCGGUUGUCCCUUGUCCACUUUACUUAUUCAAGCAUUAUCUUUCAUGCAAUUCAUUCAUGUGCUUGAUUUAGGAAUCACUAGUUAGCUCUACCUUGCUAGGCUUUAUUCUUUUUUCCUUAUCUAGCUUGUGUAGGUCUUUUAGUUAUCCGGUUGGUGAAUUGGAGCCUUUCUAGUUUUGCAUAGGUUAAGGUUGCUUUAUCUUGUUUAGAAAUUUAAAAAGGCCCAAUUCACCCCCCCCCCUCUUGGUCCAUCGAUCCUUUCAUCCGUAUGUUCCCAAGUUGUUCAAUUUCAUAAAUGCUCCCAAACAGGUAAGAGUAAGUAGUCAUUGUUCUUCAUCGAGUACUUUUGAAUCAUUAAUAGUGACUUAUAUUAAUACUCAUGCUGAAUCGCUUGACUUGUAGGAUGAUAUCAACGUGUACAGGAGCAUGCCUCCCAUGCCGGAUAUUGAGCGUCCCUGCCGCAUGCUGGCGACGGCUCAUCGGAACAUCUCCUCCCAUCCUGACAUCAAUUCGGUGAUGGAGGAAGAAGAUAUUGAUUCUGAUGAUGGCCGCACCCUCUCUGACUUGAAGAGGAAAAGGGGGACAAUUACCUCCUAGGGGAAUACGACUUCUCCUGGUGGAGAGAUCUUUCCUGCCCCUCCCAAGAAGCCUAGGAUGGCGACACAGAAGCGCAGGGCUGGGGCCUCUACGAGUAAUGACAAUGAUAAGCAACCAAUGUAAGUAUCGAAUCCGGACUUUUACGAAUACUUCCCUUAGUUCGCCUUUUUCAUUGGGAUCUCCAGCUCUGACUGGGAGAGCCGCUGCGCGGCCACGAGUACUUCUGAUGAAGAAUCUGGCAUGCUCGUAGUCGAAGCAUACUCGAUGGCCUCCUGGUCGUAGUCGUACGACUUCUUCAAGUCGCCGCGGAAGGUGAGCACUUCACUCUUUCCUGGCAUCUUAAGAAGCAAGUAGACGAAAUGAGGCACGACCAUGAAUUUGGCCAAUGCGGGUCUUCCCAGGAUGUCGUGGUAUGAAGAUUCGAAGUCUCCCACCUCAAACUUGAUGUAGUCGGUCCUGUAGUUCUCCCUCGUGCCAAAGGUGAUGUCCCUAGUACGAUGUCGUAGAAGGGAGCCUUGAUUGGAGUGAGCAUAUCUGUGAUGUCCAAUCCCAUCUUCUUCAAAGUGUGCUUGGAGGUUAAACACCGACAAAGUGUGCCGGCUCCGUCGGCACUCUUCUCCAAGCUUGUACAUCGACAUAUGCCUUUCUAAUUAAAGUAAGUGUUUGUGAUUUCUCUAUGUGCUUUAAGUUUCUUAUUUAAUUAUGUUCUAUUCUUAGUUGCUUGCGGGAUCAUCAUUCAUGAGUUUGGUAGAUACUCUAGUACUAAGAUUCUGGAGAAAGAAGGAAGUUCUUGCGCGAGGCUAGAGUAGUAAUCGAUAGUGUAGGCAUGGUGUCUAGGCUAGAUGUUACCUUUGUUUGCCUUGUGCCCAUGGUUUGUAGAGUUAGGCGGUAGAUGCUUACAACCAUAUUCUUCCUUCGUAAUCCUCCACAUUCGGGUACAUCGUAGAGCCACAGGUCGGAGGAAUCUGGCAAUGUCCAGGGACAUGUCGGCGCCCAAAGUAAGCAAUUAGGAACAACUCUAUCUUAUCUUAAGACUGUUAGCCAUAGCAAAUCCUCUCUAUCCUGUCCUUUGAAAACUCUUGUUAUCCUUGGACGAACAUGACCUGUAGAUAGAACACUCACAUUCACUGUGGAUACGAUAUCCUGGAAUACACUUGGGUGAAAGGUACAACAGUAUUUGUACGCUUGCGGAUUUAUCUAUUAUCGUUGAAAAUACCAGCAUCUAGUUUCUUAGUUUGGGAUAUUUAUAACCCAUGAUCUUCUCCUUUGAAGGUGGUUGGUUGUUUCCUAUUCUUCAGCGUGCCAAAGCCUUUCCAACACUAGUAGAGUUCUUACCAACCUACCUUUUUGAGACUUGCUUUGUUUGGUUGAAAUAUUUGAGUUUGGUUAAGAGACUGGUUGUGUGUCAGCACUAGAGAGCUAUCCACAACUUGAGCAUUUAUGGUUGACGUCGAGGCAAUUUGUGUAUUCCUGGAGAUGAAGGCUCCUACAUGGCUAGGUCUUGUUGCGGUAAGUUUGUAAAGACUGCCUUCUUGCCUCUAUAAGGGAAAAUAUCAUCUAGUGGAAUCAAGAAAAGUUGUUGAAAGUAACCCGGCUCAAAGGAAAGAGUUGAAAAAAGACCCAUAUACCAAAGAGCUCCUCAAUGGAGACGUAGAAUCACAGGGGUGAAUCUAAACUUCAGGAAUCAAAUCUUCGUGUCUCCAAUUUUUAUUUGCCUCACUUGUCCAUUUCUAGCAUUUACUUCUGCUUCCACUUCGAUCUACUUGGGUGAGCUUAUUAUGUCUGCAGGGAUAUUUUGAAUCUAUAUGAAUUCAUCAACAGAAGCUACGCUCUAUGUUUGAUUUGUGCUAGAACGUGUAGAGGGGUUUAAACUUUCAACCGCCACCAUUCUUUUUGAGAUGUUUAUUGGUUCCCUCAAAUGAAUAUAGACCUUUAAUUCCUUUAUGAUCUAGAUUAGUUAAGAUUUCCUUCUACUAAAAUGCAGGAGUAGCAUCUAAAAUGUGGGAGUAGCAUUCUUAACGGGUAAUAUGGUAAUUUUCUACCAAAACUAGAAUAUGCAACUGAGUAAUUUCCACACUAGCCACUCCCUAAUUUUCGCAGGCAGUUUCUUAACCUGGUCCUACAAAUGGAAACCAGCAGAUUCUUAUAAACCAAUCUAACUAUGAUAUUAGGAAGCUUGGUGUAAAAUUUGUGCUCCAGAAGAUCCCUUUAUAGUUUACCCUUUUCCAAUAAUUAUUAGGUUGAACUAAUAAUCCAUCCCAAUUUACCCCAAAUUGUGGGGAAGUAAGAGCAUCUCUACCUCAAUUCACCCCUUCACUAUAAAAGCAACUACCCAAUGAUAAUGAAAGAGAUAUCAGAUUGGGACAUCCCCAUUAGUCGUGCGACAUGUCCUACUGCACUGCCACCGUCACUAGGAUCGAGCACCCAAAGGAGUCCUCCGGUCGUACGCUUGAAGUGAAGGGGACGAGCCUCCGCAGCCCCAUCGCGGAGUUGGGCAUCAGGUUGCGGCCUCCACCGCUGCCCUCUUCAAUUUUGUGGCUGGGGGAGUUGGCGCGACGGCGCUACACUAGAGAGCAGUGGCGACAAAUAAGGUUUUAUCAAAUAGGAGUGGUGGAGUCGAGUAACUAGGUUGUCACUCCGCUCGUGGGCUAUCGUGAGCCGAUGGCCCAUUGUGUUUGCUCAUUUCGUUUAGCUCUCGAGCUGCUCUAGCCAGCUCGUUAUAAUUUCCGAGCUUAAAAUCCACGCUUGGUUCUUUAAGAAAUUGCAACGAGCCGAGCCAAGCGAGCUAAUGAGCCAUAAACUUUUGCUCCAGUGCCCUAGUUAUUAGGGAACUGUUGGAAAUGCUUAGCUAGGUAAUAAUUAAGGAACCACAACUACAACCAUGGUAACCUAUCUUAUUGACAAUCAUCCACGUCUAAAUCCCAUGUGAGACCGUACAUAUUGGCCGUAGGGAGAAAAUCUUGUACCACCAUAAAUCAUGGACCGACAAGAUUUGCAGUAACCAGCAUGAACUUGAACAUAAUCAUAGUACAACUAGAGCCAACGCCAUUACGAAGCAUCACUACUGCACAUAGGGCUAUCACCGCCGGGUUAAAAAUGCCAUCAUCGCCGAUUCCGGGAUCUAUUAAAUCAUGGUCGGCACCGGGUCUAGAACCGGCGGUGAUGCCAUUUUUAGAAAAUAAAAAUGCUCCGCGCUGCGCGCUCGCCCGCGCUCCACGCCACCGCAGAGAGGAGGGGAGGCGGCAGCGGCGGGGGAGAGGAGGGGAGGAGGAGACGACGAGGGGGGGAGGAGGGGAGGCUGGGGAGAGAAUAAUGAGAGAGAGGGGGAGAGAGAGACGGGGGGGGGGGGGGGUAGCUAUGGUGGUGAUUGCAUCACCAUCGGUUCGUAAUAUGACCCGGCAGUAAUGUUCACUCUCACUGCCUGACUAUCUUUGCAAUGACAUGGUCUGUAGUAGUGCAUAUUGCUAUAAUGCCGGUCAAUAUGGUCUGCAUACAGAUCCGGCGAGGUAGCAGCGUUGGCUAAUGUGCAAAGGCACCACAUCCGUGUGGUGUACAAUCUCUACUGCGACUCUUUUCAUGUCAGAUAAAAAAGAAGUCUAAAAUGCCCAUAACAUAUCAACAGUUAGAUUCAUUUUCUACUCCUGGCCCCCACAAGAGGAAAUGCCAUACAAUCUCUCUUUUCUACUGUUAUUUAGAACAUCAAUAUAAAGAUGUUCAACUUCAACAUUAUUCUUUACAAUUAUUGAAUAGUAAAAGUGCUAAGGAUAGAAUCAUAUAAUAGUUUUCUACAUUACUAAUUCACUUAUUCCAUUAUCCUGUGUCAAAAAUGCUAACGGUUUUGUUUUGAAAUUUGACUGCAUGCAUUCUCAAAGGAGAUGCAUUUUAGAACGGAGAAAGCAUAAAACUAAAACGACCAAAAAGAAUAGUGUUGCGUUCAAGUCAGCUAAUUGUAUUCAAUAAUUUUUCAUGGUCUACUUCUAAAACUGGGCAAAUGAACAAUGAAUUUCUUUUAUUAUAAUCCCAUUUUUGUAUAGAAUAGGUAAGAGACAUGCUAAUCCAAAUUUUACCCAUUUAUUGAGUUCAUAAUAAUGACCCUUAAAAUUGUCCUUACACAAAUUAUUAGGUUGUCUGCACAAUAGAGACUCUAUGCAUGUCGUUUCUAAGUUCGUAGGGAAUAAUAAACUGUUUCUAUUGUGGUUAUUAGCCAAAUACAACAAAACAAUAUUUACGGCAAACUGCAACCAUAGCCAAACAGAGAGUAUGUAAGCUCUGCAUCUCUAUAUAACUAUCUGAUGGGCUCAAGAUUAUUGGUUCGACAGUCUGGUGUGGUCCCAAGAUUAUCGGUUCAUUCAGAUUUAAAAAAUAAACCAUUUCAUUAUUCCAUUUUGUAUAGCCUUCAAAUAUUUAAAAUGUGGAAAUUCGUAUACCUCACUUCUAAAUGCUUCGAAAGCAUCACUUGAAAUAUCUUGUUGCAAGAAUCUCUUGAUUGUGACUUCCUGCACAGAGGAGCAAAUUGCUAUGAUGCAACAAAAGCAGUACAAAGAUGCCCCCAGUAGGAGGGUCCAACCACUGGUGUGGCACCCUCCCUCUAUUUUUAGGGUUGCGACAAGGAGAAUUUUCUAUUUUGCUGCCACCAGGAUUUGAACCAUGGCUGGUGUAUCUCUUAAUUGGAGAGCUUACGGUUACACUACAAGAGUGUUGGUAGAGGGUGCUAGACAAGCACUAGGUUGUCACAUGAAAUUAAUGUUCCUUUCCAGCUAACUGUAAUUUAAUUUCUUAUAUAUUUUUAUGGUCUAUACAUAAAACAUGGGCCAUGUCAAUAGUUCAAAUCGUACUGAGAGUUAAAGCAUCCCAAGGAUCAGGCCAUUCUUAGUGGGGGUUUAUAAAUUCAAUCUCAUUAAAUGAUAUCCCACAUUAGUAAAUAUGAUGACAUGACAGAGUAUUUAAGAAGGAGAAGAGAUGAGUUUCAUCAAAAUAAAAUUGGUUGUACAUUGCUUUGAGACUAUGAAAUGUAUUGAAACUGCCAUUGAGGGGUAUAGAGCUCAUUUCAUCUGGUUUAGUCCAAUCCGGUGCAUCACAUUUAAUUAAAAUAUAUGGCUUGCCUAUAAAACCGUGACAUGAAACUGUGCAUUGGAGAUAUGGUUUCAUUCAUCAACAAACAUUAGUUUACAUAAUGUGGCCUAAUUGUUACUUUGCCUCUCAUAAACCAUACAAAUCAUGUUCCAUUUACAGUUUGUAAAUCCUUUUUAAAUGAUCCGCACUAAUGUGAACCUGAUCCGUUAACAGAAACAACAUUCACUACCACCUCCUUAAUAGAAUAAACAAAAACUGAUAACUGACAAAUAACAAGAAAUAGAGGAUAAUUUAGAAAUUAACAAAUAUUACAAGAUAAUAUAGAUGAAGAACUUACUAGUCCAUGCCAUUCCCCUCUGAACACUUCUCCAAAAGAAUCUAGAGACAGAAGAAGAAAAAAUUUGGACAACAUUGAAAUCAAGGUAUGUUAUGUGUUAUUUCAAGUCAAUGAAAACCAUAUCUUGGGAAUGCUUAACUCAAUUAUACUGCAAACAAAUUAUUGAUACUAGUUGAAAUACAUAUUCUUCCUUUGUUUGACCAAGGAUAUUUCGCUUCGUUAAGACAAGCAUUUCAACAAUAAUUGCUUUAUUAAUACAUGAUUUUUUUGAACAAAAUAUUGUUAUUAGAUACAUAGUAUUUGAAAUGCUUACUUAUAAGUAUGGUUUUGGAUCACAUAAAUGGAAUAUCAAUUGAGUAAUUUUUUUUGUCGAGCCUUAUUCUAGCAAAACAAAAUACACCCAUUAAAAAAAUGGAGAGAGUACUAUCAAUGAUGAUAAUGAAGAAACUGAGAGGGUGUUUAGUUACCCGGGGCUUAUUUUAAGCCAUGUCAUAUCGAAUGUUUCAAUACCAAUUAGAAAGGUUAAAUAUAAGCUAAUUAUAAAACUAACUGCAUAAGCCUAGGGCUUAUUCACGAGAUGAAUCUAUUAAGCCUAACUAAUCCAUAAUUAGCAUAUAUUUAUUGUAGCAUUACAUGGGCUAAUCAUGGACUAAUUAGGUUUAAUAGAUUCAUCUCACGAAUAAACUAGAUGUUAUGGAAUUUGUUUUAUCAUUAGUUUAUAUUUAAUAUUCUUAAUUAGCAAUCCGAUAUGACGGGGCUUAAAAUAAACCCUCGGGAACCAAACACCCCCUGAAUUCAUGAGAUUCAAUAGAAGUGUACCCAGCCCAAGUCUUUCUCCAAUGGCAACUUCUUCCCAGAUGAUUUCAGACUCUGCCAUAUCAUCUAGACAAAUUCCAAAUCUUGCACUCUCUGUCCCAGUCAGCGUUUGAGAGAUCCCUUCAGCUCCCUGAGGCGCUUCAAUAUAAUCCAUUUCUUGGUCCUGGGAAUUACCCUGUCAAUGAUUUGUCUCCAGCUGAUUAUUAUUCCAUAAUUCAUGUUUUCUCUAGAUUAAUUUCGGAGAAUUUAGCAAGCUAAACAAUUGACUGGAACCUAUUCAUAGACUAGCUAUUAUUGGUCAAAGCAGGAAGUUGGACACAGUCAAAAUAUGCCUUAGGAAAGGUGUAUGAUUCUACCCCUAUUUUUUUCUCUAAUCAUUAGAGGGAAUGUCAGAUUUAACCAGCUUUCUAAUGAGUUAUGGCCAAAUUACUAAUCAGUUUUACACUUCACAGUGGUUAGAUAUUGAAAAUAAGAGUAUCUUGAAGAGACUCUUUAGAGAUUUUGGUUAAAAAUUACUUUCCAACGGUCUCUUCAAUUGGAUAUCUAAAUAUAGACCUCCUCUAUUCCGAAUUUCUCGCUAGCUAAAGAUGGAGGGCAAGAAUUGAUCUCUAGACUAAGCACCAGAUAUAGAAAAGCUGUUGGAAAGUACAAAGAUAUAUAAAAUUAUUUUUACUUAAAUAACUCUCUAAAUGAUGAUUUAGAGAGUAGAUUUUAGAAAAACUUUUAGAGAUGCUCUAAUAGACCAGGAAGCUUGCUCGAAAGACUAUAGCUGGUGGUGAUGGCAAACACACACUGGAACUCACCUCAGAUGGGGCACCGGAACUCGGGUAGUCGGACAGAAGGCUUCUGGACGGUGUUUGUAUUGGCGUGUAACCAACCGUCAGCCUUACCUUUUGCACCAUGUCGAUCCGCAUACCGUCAAACAUAUCUGCAGUGAUGGGCUUGGGUAUGGCGGUAUACCCCCACACUGCGAUGCUCUGCACAAGGAAUUCAUCGCCGCACAGCAAGUCCCAUGAUGCCGCCUCAUGAUCUUCUUCCAUUGUUACACGUACAAAAGAAGUGGACAGUGGCAGCAGAAGGCCACUGGUCGGUUCAAUAAGGUAGUUGUUUUUGGCCUUGGUAACCCCAAAAUAAAAUGCAGCAUAGUUGUCAGUCUUGUUGGUUAGCUUUACGAUGCAGGGCACCCGCUUGUUCCGCUCCAAGGAAAAGUAGAGCUCAAGAGGGGUGAUCUCAAGCAACUCCUUUGGCUUGUGUGCUACCUGCAGCGAAGAAAUGUUAUCCAAACAUUAUAAUUCUGACUGACGCAACAAGCUAUCCCUCCAAAACCACUGCUUGAGGAACCCCCGUUUGCUUUUGAUAAAAAAGAAAACAGAUGAAAUUUAGGAACCUGCUUGCAUGGUAGAAAACAACUAUUUGGUUUUUGGCGGUUUGGAAAUAUAUAUACAUGUAUUCUACGAUUGUCAUUCAUGCUUAGGGGUGGUAACAGAUCAUGGCCAUAAUACUCUCUUCACAAUCCAACAUAGCCCUUAUGUAUAUUUAGCUCAAAAUUGAAAAAUUCCGUUUGCUUUUGAUAAAAAAGGAAACAGAUGAAAUUUAGGAAACUGCUGGCAUGAUAGAAAUCGACUAUUUUAGGUUUUGGCGGGUGGGAAAUAUAUGUACAUGUAUUCUACGGUUGUCAUUCGUGAUAUCUCUUAUUUUGAAAGCUCUUGCGCUUAUCUCACUCCUAUCCAGUUUUCAGUCUCUUCCGAUUCUAGAGAGCCCAUUUUCUCACCAACCCUUUGAAGAGGGGCAAAGGUUGACUUCUUUACCUGUUGCUCUUAUGGAUGAUCAGAGACUGUGGAUGCGUAGAUCUCGAUCGAAUGCAUUCAUUUGACUACACAUAUGUAUUGUUUGGAGUUCAGAUCAUGGAGUUACAUUUUUCCAAAAAAAAAAAGGGAGGGGGGGGGGUACAUAACUGUGGUGGCCCAGGUAAUUGACAGCAAAAAACGCAUUUAUAGGUGCUUGUUACAUAGCAACAUGCUUUAUUUGUUCUUGUAUACUAUAAUGGUGCAUUUUAUUAGAGGUUUUGGUAUUACCAUAUUAGAAAAUAAUAAAAAAUUCCUAAUCGUGAAACAAAUUCCUAAGCAAAUUGAUGGUAUCUCUUCCAAAAGUGAUAUAGGUACCUGGCUUGCAUGUGGCCUGCUCUCCUCGCCAACAUAGCAAUGUGUGCUUUCCCACGUAUUAAGAAUCUCGAUAAUUUUAUUUAUUGUCAGCCUUUUCCUUCGGUCAAAAUCAGUGCAAGUUAUGCCUAUUUCAAGGCAAAUCUCUAUCUGUUGGUAAUCUGUUUCUAGUGAUGCAUACUUGGGUGCUGCUUCCCUCUUUUUCCAAUUUUGAAGUACCUGUGAAAUCUGGAUCAGAGAACAUAAUACUGUGCAAUGAUAAAAUCUGGAUCAAAAAUUAAAGAACCUCAAUCUUGAAUGUUGGCACACUAUUUCUUACAGGUUCAACAAAGUCCCUGCAGAAUGUUUCAGUACCAGAAGGCCCAUAUUUGUGCCCUGUUAUUAUCUCUAUAAUUAUUACUCCCAAACUGUAUAUGUCUGCCAUAGGCGAGAUUAUACUUUCCCAUAUGUAUUCCGGUGCCAUGUAACCCCUGCACCACAACAUAUGCAUUGGAACUCUAGGGAAACUUCAAAGAAGACACAUUUUUGCUGAUCAUAAAAGCCAAUGGAUAACGUGGAACUUACUUCGAUCCAACAAGAGAUGUGGCACAGGUUUGAGUUUUUUUGUCGCUAAAGUGUCUUGCUAAACCAAAAUCAGCAAUUUUUGGCAUCAUAUUGUCAUCAAGCAAUAUGUUCUCAGGUUUUAGGUCCAAGUGAAUAACAGAGCCAUUUAUUUCACAUUCAUUGUGAAGGUAAUGUAAACCACAACAAAUCCCCUUAAUUACUUUGUAGCGUUCAUUCCAAUCAAGUCCGCAAGAUUCCUCUGGAUAUGUAACCAAGAAGGUAUCAGCCAACAAAUGAAUCCAUUACUGUGGUGAGCAAGUAAAAGAAUGUGAAAGAACUACAACAGUAUGUCUGUUUGCUUUUCAUUCAUCAACCAAGAUCGGCAUCAUAUAUUAUAUUGUUCUGCGUAGCAUUUCAUAGAAUGUAUUAUCAAGUUAGAUUAGUACAUCAGAGCUAAUAUUAUCUGCAUUGGCUUCUCAAAAGAAAAUUGAAAAAUCAAGAAGGACAGAUGCCUUAUUAAUUUGUAUGAGGUACAUAGUCUUCAGAGUUAACAAUUGAACAUUUACUUCUGAUAGAUAUCAAUUCAGUACAAGCAGAUAAUCAAAAUCACAUAAAGAACUUUGAUACUGAUUUAUUGAUGUUUAUUUGCAUCACAAUACACAACAGUUGUAAUGUUUGCACCAGGUUUAACUUGAAAUGUGUGUGCCCUAAUAAAUAUCAGUGAUGGAGCAAGUCUCAUUUUGAGUAGUCAUACCUGAAAUAUACUUAUCAAGACUUCCAUUGGUCAUGUAUUCAAAGCAAAGCAACCUUUUAGGCAUAUCCACAAAAACAUUUAUUCCAUUAUAUGUUGUGUAUUUGUGCUGUGUUUCGCAACAAUAUCCCACAAACCUUACUAUAUUUUUAUGUCUAACUUUCAUUAAAUUGUCAACCUCAUUUUUAAAUUCUCUUUCGUGGCACAACGAUAUUGACAGAAGAUUCUUCACAGCAACCAUUUUUCCAUUUGGUAACACUCCCUGUUUUAAAAGCUCUUAUUAAAAUGGACACAGGUAUUCCGGUAAACUUCUAUUAAACAUGUUUGAAAUGACAUAAAGGGAAUUAUUUAGUUUUACCUUAUAUACCACACCGAAACCGCCUCUACCAAGUUCUUGAUCACCAGAAAAAUUAUUUGUGAUAUCUCUCAAAUAUUGUAAUGGUAUGAUACAUGGUUCUUCAUUUGGAUCUUGCAAUACAGUCUCCAAGUUAACAUGUACACUAAAUACAUCAUCCAUCUUGGCGCUUACUUAUGAUGGCACCAAUGCUAGUACAACGUCCUUUUACAAGGGAAAAAUAAAGGAAAUUACAAAAGUUCUGAAUACAGGAUUCCUGUAAGACACAAUAUUUGAUAUGGCAUUUUUGGAAAGGUACUCCCUAAGCUCACACCUGAUGUUCUGGAAUCAUGAAAAUUCUCAAUCUUCAAGAGUCUGACCAUGAAUAAGUUUGACCAUGAAUAUGUUUAAGACUCCCUAUGAAGAGCUACAUGGAAGCUAUAUUAAAAAUUUGGUUGUGCUUUCAUAACAUGACAUUUUGUUGCUAUGCAUUGACAAUAAAGUUAUAAGAGCAUAUCCAACAAUAGAGUCAGCUACUAGCUAUAUAUUAUAUUAUAUUAUAUAUACAUAUAUACGGUAAUACUAUUCUACACCUUAGGUGUAGCAUGUAUUCUAUACCUAGCAGUCAAAUUAGUGACCGAACUGAUCAAAAAUUACUGAACCAAGUUGCCGAAUUACUAAAUCAUGUUCAAUGUUCAGUUUUAGUAAUCGCGCGCAGUAGUUAUUACUGAAAAUUUGUUCAGUAAUUAGUUGGGUGUAGCUACAACUAAGAUGUAGAAUAGCAUGUGUGUGUGUGUAAAAGAUUUGUCCAAAUAUAAUAUAUAGAUAGCAUAAUACGCAGAUAAUCCUCCAAUGGAUUCAACGAGGAUCCACAUAUAAUAGGGUGAAUAGAAGCAUGCAUGCAUCUUGAAAAGCGCUAUAGACAUUCUUUCUACUAUUCAUUAACUUUAGAAUCCAUAUGGCCCUAAAUCUUAUGUGGGUUUCCUUAAAGCUAGCUGGCAUGGAUUGUUGGAGACACCCUAACAAUAGUGGCCUAAGUUACCUUUUGGAUCUUUUAAAGAAAAAAAUUACCUUUUGAAUAUCACAAAUAGUCAAUACAGUCAUAGAAAAAGCAAGCUACUUCCUCCGAUCAGAAUAUAAGUCAUCUAAGUUUGUACUAAGUCAAAUUUUUUUAAUUCUUAUUAGCAAUAUCUAAAAUUUUAUAUAGAUUGACAAUACAGGAAUGGUAUACUAUAUUCAUUAUGGAAAACACUUUCAUCAGGCACUGAACGCUUCCUAGGCUGCGACCAGAAUUGUCCAAAAUUAAAACCUUGAUAUCCCUAUUCAAACUUAGCACGCAUGGAUCUGAAAUAUAAGUUUGUAUGGAUUAAUUUGGUGCUCCAAUCAGAAAGCUUUGAAAGGUGGGGAAGAAACGAACAAGUUAAUUUUGGACCUUGCAGAGUAGUAAACUUACAGAUCAGUGCAUGAGAACACGAACCGCUGCUGCAAUCUCCAAAACUUCUACACGAGAAGAACCCGGAGGAAAAGAUUAUAACUAACCUGGAGAAGAAUUAGGUCCUCAUUCAGAGUUAGCUUAGAGAGAUGCUUCACCUGGAAAGCAAGGGUUGGCUAGCCUGCAUCAAAACCAUCAAGGUGACCCUGCGUUGAGGGCUUGAAGUAAGCAAGGGUUGGUGAAGCAAGGCUUGGCAGCCAAGCAGAGAGGAGCAGGUUAGGUAGCAGACCUGAGAUGACAUUUUAUUCUCAAUACACCAGCAAAAAAAAGCAUGAGAUGGCGUUGAUUCCUGGAAAUGACGCUCGCGCGUUUUGCACAUUCGUGAACCUUUACUGGUACCUUUCCUUUUUUUAUUUCCACUUGCCAAGCUUUUCCUUUAUUUAAACAUUCCGCGUGCUAAGCUGUUCCCCACUAUCCUUAUCCAUUCCUCUCGAAUUUUUUUUUCAAAAUAAUAUUAUUUUUAUAUAAAAUCAUAAAAGUUGCAAUUCCAGUAGUCUGUUGGUUAAUGUUCAGCCGAUAUCCGAGCUAUCAAUUUUGGGCCAGCUGAUAGGUCUAUGCACGGCCCAAAAUUUCCUUAGUUUUUAGUUACGUUUCUAUUUUCCAGCACUAUGCAUGUAGAGAAAACAUUUAACCAUUUUUGAAAUUGAAUUAAACCAGUUAUACAGAACUAACUGAUGACCGUAUAUGCAAAAUGGAACAUAAACAUGUUAAAUAGUAUGUUUGUAAAGUUUGACAAAUUUAGAAAUACAUUUGCUAUUUCUUUUAGAAUAUUGAAUGAGGGUAAACAAUCUAUUUGUAGAUGUUAAUUCUGCGGGUGACCGGAGGUUCGGAGACGCAGAGGUGUUGAGCUGAUUCACGUUGUAGGUUUCACGCCCGCGUCAUUCUCUCCUCCCCUCCUCAUCCAACAGCCAGCCUUUUCCUUUCCUUUUCUCCGUUCCCUUUCCUCUUCUGCAAGAGGAGGCGCGCGGGGGGAGCGGUGGGGUUGCGUAUGGCCCCCGACGAGACCGGCGCCGUGACAAUGGAACGCGGCCGCUACCUCAAUUUUUUUCUCCUUUUCUUUUAUUUUAUAUUUUUUUCUAAAAGUUGUUCAUAAAACUUAUGCUGUUUCAUGAAAUUGUUGUUCAGAUUUUUUUUGUUUGAUAUUUUUUUAUUGUGAUUUUUUGUUUCAACCUCUUCAAAAGUUUUUCUCUGAAAUUUGUUUCCCAAAUUUCUCAAUAAAAGUUACAUUUUCUUUAAAUUGAAUGCUCGGUGCUUUUCCUUUUGUCUUUAUCAAUCUUUUAUGCACCCUACUUAGUUUCUCAAUUCUGUUUUGCCUACUGUUUCAUGCAGGGAUCCAAGGUUGCGGCCAUCAUUUUCAGAGAUCAUGGCUGCUUUGAGACCAUUAUUGAAAAACAUGCCUGCUAACCAACCUACCAGAAAGCGGACACAGCAAACAGAUGAUUAAGAAUAUGGUGGUUAGUAUCAGCUGACGACACAAACCGAAAAGAGAGGGCAUUGGUCUGUCUUGCCUUCCCGGCUUCAAGCAACUGACCACCUGUAACUAUUACCAUUUUUUUUGUACAGUACGCCAGAUGAAUAUCUGAUGAAAAAUAGGCGAAUUUUUUUUGCCCCUUUGCCCUCAAAAUACAGCAUUAGGUUCUCCAUUGAAGCCAGCAGAGUCUGUCCAUCUGCUGAAACCUGACCCAAAUAACACAGUUCAAUCAAACAAAAAGAAAAGAAAGGGGAAACGGAGUUGGUGAAGGUUGCUGCAUAAUAUUGUCGCAGGCACAAUGGUGUACUGGAGCCAGAAGUUGACAUGCCAGGUAAACCAGGUCCAUCGUCUUCUGUUCAGCCGGGCAUUACUUUUGUUGGCUAGCUACUGACGGCCUGGCCACCUUGCCAUCUUAUCAGUUCGUAGGCAGUUCUCUAUUGGUCGAUACCAACAUGUCAGUCCUAGCAAGAGCGAUAGCGUUGUCGCGUGACAGACUACUACAAUUCCAAAAUUUAUAAAACACCAUAUUUUUUAUAAAAAAAAUUCAAAGUAAUAUUAUUUUAGAAAAAAAUUUCAUUCCUCUCACCUCUCGGUCCCUCCCCUCAUCAUCUCAUGGAGCGGCCAAACGCAGCUCCUCUAUUUUAGGACCUCCAUUUCAAAUUAUAGGUUAAUUUCUAUUUUUUUAAUGUAUAAUUUUUAUUAUUCGUUACACAUAGCAUACGUUUAGACCCAUAAUCAAUAUGCGUAUCUAAAAAUUAAAUUAAAACGAUCAAUAAUUUAGAAAUGAGGGAGCAGAACGUUGCCACAAUUUAUCGAGCAGCAUCGGCAUGCGAACGCUACAGCUCAACAUUGGAUGUAAAUUUUAGAAACUAUUUGCGCGCGUCACCGCAGUGGUGCAUGCUGUUAAUAUUCAGCACACAUCUCAUGUACAGUAGAAGCGUGCGGUUUCACCUAUUGGUCUACCCUCAAUAGGGCGCAAAGAAUGAUGACUUCACGUAAAAUAACAGCGAAUAAAAGAGGCAAGAAGAGAGGCUCGACAUUUUCCCCCGGUAAAGAAUGAUGGUUUUAAUUACAAACAACAGAUUUUCUUUGGUAAUCUAAUUGUCAAUUACAUCAAAUUUGCUGGGACGUGAUAUACACAUGGGCGAUGGGCCUGGAAGCGAGAUUCUUCAAUGUUGAAGCUAAGGGCGAAAUGACCUUUCGGUCGAAGAACAUUACAAAUUGAUGGAUGGGGCCUUAAAGAUGAAUACUCCAUUAGGUCGAGGACUAACAAAAGUAAUGCCCGGCUGAACAGAAGACGAUGGACCUGGUUUACCUGGCAUGUCAACUUCUGGCUCCAGUACACCAUUGUGCCUGCGACAAUAUUAUGCAGCAACCUUCACCAACUCCGUUUCCCCUUUCUUUUCUUUUUGUUUGAUUGAACUGUGUUAUUUGGGUCAGGUUUCAGCAGAUGGACAGACUCUGCUGGCUUCAAUGGAGAACCUAAUGCUGUAUUUUGAGGGCAAAGGGGCAAAAAAUUCGCCUAUUUUUCAUCAGAUAUGCAUUUGGCGUACUGUACAAAAAAAUGGUAAUAGUUACAGGUGGUCAGUUGCUUGAAGCCGGGAAGGCAAGACAGACCAAUGCCCUCUCUUUUUGGUUUGUGUCGUCAGCUGAUACUAACCACCAUAUUCUUAAUCAUCUGUUUGCUGUGUCCGCUUUCUGGUAGGUUGGUUAGCAGGCGUGUUUUUCAAUAAUGGUCUCAAAGCAGCCAUGAUCUCUGAAAAUGAUGGCCGCAACCUUGGAUCCCUGCAUGAAACAGUACACAAAACAGAAUUGAGAAACUAAGUAGGGUGCAUAAAAGAUUGAUAAAGACAAAAGGAAAAGCACCGAGCAUUCAAUUUAAAGAAAAUGUAACUGAGUGUUCAGAAUACUUGCUUUUUCAGUAUAUCCAAAAUAUUAUGUUUUAUCUCUCUUCACACAGUUAAUUUUUUUCAAAGGAUAUACUCCAACGAUGCAUAAAUUGAAUGUCUGCUUUUACUUUCACAAUUUCAUGAUAGUAUUUAUGUGACAGAAAAAUUAUCAAUUUACAUUGCAACUGUUUAAGUAAAUAACAACACAUCUAAGGCCUCAACAAAUUUUGUAACACUUUAUAAAUAUUAAAGUUCCAUUGCAGCCCAGGAGUUAAAGCAUACUAACGUCUGCCAGCAUCUCUUGAUUAUCUCUGCUACAGCAGGAUCCACACUGCCUGGAAUAUCAAGUCGUCGGUGCUGAAAACCAACAGCUCCAACAACCUGCAUGGGAUUCAUACCUUCCCAUGGCUGUAGUAAUGUACAAAGUUCCCAUAAUAUGACCCCAUAGCUGAAAACGUCACACCUGAAAACAAAUGCACAAUGCAUUCAUCAAUCACAAAACCAUUUCGAAUCAAAGAGAGGGACAUGUAAAACCUACUUCUCAUCUGAUGGUUCAUUUCGAAGUACUUCUGGUGCCAUCCACUCCGCCUGCAUUUGAUAUAGCGCAGACAGUUAGCAGCUUCAGUAUUUAGCCUAAAGCAGCUUGCGAGUUUUUGAUUAAGAAAAUCUAUUCAAAGUGCAAAAGCUUAUAAAAGACUGCUGAUAUGACAUCAUCAAAGUACCAAAUUCUAACACAGAUACAAGGAGAAAAAUCAGGAAGCUUAGAAAAGACUGCUAAUUUGACAUCACCAAAGUUCCAAAUUCUAACAGAUACAAGGGAAAAAGAAAACAGAACUGGCUAAAUACUGUAAAUGAUUCAGAAUCUAAUGAUCCUCUCCAAUCCAUCUCAUCCUCACGCACACGCAUGACAUGAAAGAAAUUAUAGUUUGCAAACAACAGCAAUCAAAAUACAAAUCACAUGUUCAAGUUUACGUUGAUAUCAAGAUAAAGUGAAUUAUGAGUUUUAAACAAGCUCCUGGAGCUGGCCUGCACGAUUACAGACCCCACUAGCUACACAACUUAAUAUUUCAGCAAAAAUUUUCAGAACCUAACAAUCCUCUCCAAUCCAUCAAACCAUCAGAGAGUAAAUUUUAGCAUAAUCAAUAGCCAGACCAGACAUGCAAGUUUAUACUCAUCUCAACAUAAAAUGAAUUAUGAGUUUCAAAUAGUAGGCAUCUAGCUCUGACAAACAUAUCAAUCCUAAUGCUAAAAAUAAAAGUCAAUAGCGAGCAUUUCAAUCAUUUUCCUACUAUUGGGAGGUAUCCUAUAUAGAUUCACACAGCAUGCAACAGAAAUGAGUUUUACAAAUGAGCAGAACUAAAAGGCAAGCCAAAUAUAAACUUGGUGUUUUCAAGAACAAGUUUCUUAUUAUAAGAAAUGGAAAAUGUUUGAUUUAAUAUAAUUAAGCAAGCUUACUGUUCCGGCUGUGGAUCUUGAGGAGAGGAAGGUAUUAUGCUUUAUACGUGAUAAACCAAAAUCACAAACCUAAACACAAGACAAGUAAUAAUUGUUAUAUAUCUAGAAAUGUCCAAGACCCAAAGUGUACCACUGUUAAAGGACCUGUUUAUUACCUUCACAACCCAAUUUUUGUCAACAAGUAGAUUUGGAGACUUCAAAUCUCGGUGAACUAUGACAGGGGUGCAAUUGUGUAAAUAAUUCAUGCCACGGGCCUGUGGCAGACAACAACCAAGUAUUAGAAAAGACAGAGCGAAGUUCUCAAUAUGAAUGAGACAAAAACAAAAGGUAACUUCGGCAUACCACAUCAAGUGCCAUCCUUAGACGCCUUCUUUCAUCCAACUGGUUAUUGGGCCGAUGGAUCAACCGAAAUAAGCUACCUCUGCAUUGUCAGGACUACAGUUAGCAAUUGUAUAUUUAUGCAAGUCAACUUGUACAGAAACCACAAAGAUAAUACAUAAUAACUGACCGCCCUGAUAGCCUAUACCUGAAUAAUGCUUUAAAUACUAUGCAUAUGCAGCUACAAACGACAAGAUCUUGUACUCUCAUUAAGGUCCUGCAAUGUGUUUAUAUUGUAAACUAUUCUUAUACAUCUGGGGGGAGGGGGGAGGCUUUAUAUAUAUGGUCAUGUAUGAUUUGUACAAGAGUACAAAUACAAUUCUACACAUAUCUCUAGUACUAUGCGCAUAACCUCCCAUUUUCUUAGAAGCAUUUUAGUGCACUAUUCCAAAACUCUACAAUAAUCAGUGCUUUUGUAUAAAUAUGCAGAGAAAAUUCAAGGCAAGCGAGAGGCUGAGAUUAAAUGAUACUUUCCCCACUAAUACUUUCUAGGAAGAGUACUUUGGCCAUUUCAAAAAGACUGUCAUUUGACAAAGCUGGACCAGCAGGAAUACAAAAGGCAAUCCAUCAACAGUUCCAUAUUUUAUACGAGAGGGAUUAGCUUUGUCAAGGGGAAAAAAAAUCAAUGGUGAUGAAUCAAUAAACUACCAAGUAAAGGUAACAAAGAACCAGAACGGGAGAAAGAGGAGGACUGGAUAGAGGAGCAGAAGGAUGGCGGAAGCAAAGGGUGUAGAUUUUUGCCUGAGUAUUGUAGAUUGAGUACUCCAGUUCGAGGAUUUGAUCAUUUUACAAUCCACCCCCCCGCCCCCAACACACACACACACAAGUAAUAACAGGGUAACUUUGCGAUUUGUGAAAUCUUAUCACAUUUUUUGCUCUGACAAUUUCAAUAAUUUAACCACAAAAUUUUUAGAUUCUUUUAGAGGACUUGAUGAUUUCACACACACCCCACAAGUAAUAACAGAGUAACUUUAAGAUUUGUGACAUUACAUUUUUUUUACUCUGGAAUAUUCAUUAGUUUAACCACAAAAGUAUCUGUACAAGACACUAUACAUGUUACAUCCAUUAAGUUCCUUUAUUUAUAGAACACAUUCUUCAAAAAAGGGGGAUCAAACAUUAUUUAACAAAGAUUGGCACUGUCAUUAUAAUCCACGAAGUAGUUGAAGAUUCAAAAACUAAAAUAAAAUAUCAACAAGGAAGAAAAGGUACCUUGGAAGAAAUUCAGUCACGAUGGAUAGAUGAGGUACACGAGUGACAGCCCCCAUGAAAAGAACAACAUUAGGAUGACGCAAUCUUCUCAUUAUUCCCACCUAAACAGAAACAAAUAGUGUACUAAAUAACAUGAGAAAUUUUGGCGGUUGAAAAUUAUCAUUAUAAUGUAGACGUGCCGACAGAUAAUUCGAUGCCAUACCAUGCAGUUGGUGUAGGACGAACCAACACUAACUUCUUUUGUGAGGAAAAUACUUUUGAACUUUAAUGUAUUACCAAAAUCAUUAAAAAAGAUUGUGUUCAAGCCAGCUAACUGUAAUUUGUUGGAUUUUGUUAGUCUCCAUGGUCUACUUCGGAACUGUGCAGAUCAACAGUGCUUGGUUUAUUAUCAUGCUUGUCACUUUCAUGUCAUACUCAUACCAUGCCGAGUGCCAAACAAGCACUAACUUAUACUGUGACCUAGAUGUGUUUGAAGUACCACUACUGUUCUUUUUUGAGCUGUUUUACAGUUACCUCAAAUGAACACAACCUUCAUUCCUUUUCAUGAAAUGGUCUAGAUUAAUUAAGAUUUGCAUCUACUUCACCUGCUAAAAUGCAGGAGUAGCAUCUGUUAAGGGCUUAUGUGGUACGUUGGUGUAAGUACUAGGAUAUGCAGCUGAGUAAUUUUUCAAUGCUGGCCCUUCCCUAAUUUCCGCUGGCAAUUCCUUAAUAUUCUCCUGGUCCUAACAAUAGAAAGCUUAGCCAGGUAACAAUUAUGGAACACCAUUCACUAGUCAAGGUAACCGACCAUCGUCCACAUCGAUCCCAUUCCCGUGUCAGACCAUAUAGAUUGGCCGCAGAGAACAAAUAUGCUGCUGCAUGUGGACUGACAACAGUUGCAGUAACCAGCCUGUACUUGAACAUAAAUCGCAGCACAGCUAGAGCCAACGCCGUCAAGAAGCAUGCAGUGAAGCAUGUUGCAGCAAUGCUGGUCCAUAGGAUCUGCAGACAGGUUUGGCAAGGUGGCAGUGUUGGCUACAUGUGCGCAGCUACAAGGAACAAUGCAACAAUCCACGUGACAACCUCCACAAUAAGUCUUCUUAUAUUAGAUUAGAAAAAAAGUCUAGAUGCCACAUAACAUAUCAACAGUUAAAUUCAAUUUCUACUGCCGACUCUACAGGAGUAGUAUGCGCCGUAGAAUCUCUCUUUUUUUACUUGUCGUUUAGAAAAUCAACAUGGCCUUGAAUAAAUUUGUUUAGCAUUAUUCUUUACAAUUAUUUAUCAGUAAAAACUACUAAGGAUAUAAUCAUAUAAUAGUUUUUAAUGUCUAGUUCACUCAUUUCAUUUUCAUGUGCCAAAUGUUAGAUUUUGUUUUUGAGAUUUGCUGCAUGCAUUCUAAAAAGAGAUUAAUUCAGGUGAGAGAGCACAAAAUUAAAACAAGAAAAAGAAUUGUGCUGUGUUCAAGUCAGCUAAUUGUAUUCAUUAAUUUUUCAUGGUCUACUUCAAAACUGGGCAGAUCAACACAUCAUGGUUUAUUACGACACCAUCUUGUAUUGAAUAGGUAAGACAUGCCAAUACAAAAUUUAACCAUUUUCUUUAAGUUAAUCAUGCUGACCGUUAAAAAUGUCCCAACACUAAAUAUUAGGUUGCCUGUUCUAACCGAUACAUACACUGUGUCAUUUUUAAGCUCGCAUAGGACUAAUAAUAAAAUGUUGCUAUUGGGAUUUGGGAUUAUUAGUCAAACACAACACAACAAUUGCAAAAGGUAACCUUAGCCAAAUGGAAGGUAUAAGUUCUGCAUAUCUAUAUAACUAUCUGACAAGCUCAAGAUUAUUGGUUCAACUGUCAGAUGUUCUCAGGAUUAUUGGUUAAUUAAGAUUAAGAAAAUAAAUCAUUUCAUUAUAAAGCUAACACUAUUCCAUUUUGUAGCCUUCAGAUAUUUAAAAUGCGAAAAUCCAUAUACCUCAGUUCUAAAUUCUUCAAGAGCAUCACUUGAAAUAUCUUGUUGCAAGAAUUUCUUGACCGCGACUUCCUACACAGAGGGGCAAAUUGCUAUGAUGCAAUAGAAGCAGCACAAAGAUGGAAAUGGUAGACAGUUUUUACUAAUCAUGCAGAGUGAAAAAAAAAUGAGCUCUGUAUAAGUUAAAUCAAAUCAAUCAUUUGUAGGUUAGCUGCUUCAAUUUUAACAUUCUUCACCUUCAAGUCCAAGCAUCUACAGUUCAGGCAGGAACACAUAAUAAUAAUAAUAAUAAUAUAGUUGUGAUAACUAUUAUAAUAUGUCAGAAACCUUUUUUAGGGAGAAUGAAAUGCCUAAGGCUAAGAAAUUGUUUAAAUAUACCUUGAUGACUACUAGAUUGACAUUGACUUAAAAGUGGAUCUCAUGUCGAUAUAUAGAAAUGAGUAAAAUGCACCCCAAGGUCCCUAAACUUGUACGCUGUGUCAGUUAGGUCCCUAAACUUUCAAAAUGCAUAUUUGGGUCCCUAAACCAUUUAAAGGGGUUCAUCCCGGGUCCCAAGCACGCCGGCCUUUUUUUUUAGUAUCGACGUGGCAUGCCACGUGGUCGCCAUGCUGGCAAACAUUUAUAAAAAUCACCCUGCAGAGUGUUCUCUACUCCUAUUUACUCUUCUAUCUCUCCCUCUGAAUGGCAACUCAAGGGCGAGCUGCCCAAGGCCAGGCCAUAGCCGGUGGUGGCUUGGCCGGCCGUGGGCUGCUGGCGUUGGGCUGGACGGUGGUGGCGCCGUGGCCAGCACUCAUAGGCGCAGGGCCGCACGGAGGUGGCCUGCAACGGGUGGAGCGGUGGCAGCGAGUUGGCCGCGGCGGCGCGAGGGGCAGCCGAGAAAAGGGUCGGGGAGGCGAGGGCGGCGCCAUGUUGUUCACUGUGGGCUUGUCUUGGGUGGAGGAAGGCCGGAGGAGGUUUGUCGGCGUGCGGCUCGGAGCUCCGGCGGACUUCAAUGGCGACCGGCUGGGUGGAGACGAUUCCGGCCGGAAAACGGCAGGAAUGGGUGGGGAAAGUGGCAGGGAAGUUGGAGGAGGAGGUGGGGGAGGCUAUCGCGGAGAGAAUCGAGGAGGGAAGGGGUGUGGCCAGCGUAUUGCGGCCGGCGGCGGAGGCAACUCAGCUCGGCCGAGCUGGAAGAAGAGAGAAAGGGGAAGAAUGAGGGGAAUGGUGCCGAGGAAAAGGGAGCGCUGGCCUGAGGCGCCCGCAGCCCCACGUGUUGCUGGCGCACCUGCCCGUGGUCAUCCGGUCCUCCACAAGCAGGCAAGCCUCAUGCCACUUGUGGAACUCGACCCGUCCGUGGCGUGCUUCGUGACGCACGGCGGGUGGAACUCGACCCUAGAGGGCGUGGCUUGCGGCGUGCCGCUGGUCGUGGCGCCGCAGUACUCAGACCCUGGCUCGUCGCGGAACAAACGGGCGCCAUCGUCCACGCGCGAGGUGGACGUCACCGUGGAGGCCGCGGAGCUGGCGCGGUGCGUGGCGGGUGUGACAUCAAGGGCGGUUGCGUCCUGUGGAGGUAGGAGGCGAGGGCGGCCAUGGCCGGGGGGGAGGGGGCUCGAACUGGAGCCUGACGGAGUUCCUGAGGCAACUAGCAGAUCACGCGUAGCUCGCUCCGUUUCCAGCGAAAAAUGAACGAUAAUUGAGUGUGAUUUGGUCGAGAAAUCGAUUGCUAGUUUUAAAAAUGGGAAUAAAACUCCAUUGAAGGAGAUCGACACGGAUGGCUCCAAUCCAAAAUGGCGCAGGCCGGAGAGAGAGAGAGAGAUUGGAGAAGAAGAGAGAGGGGGAAGGAGGGAGAGAGAGAGGAUGCGGAAUGUGGAGGACUCUUUUGCAUAUCGAUGCCAUGGUGGCAUGCCACGUCGGCACUGGGAGCACGCGUGGCGUGUUUGGGACCUGAGAUGGACCCCUUUAAACGGUUUAGGGACCCAAAUAUGCAUUUUGAGAGUUUAGGGACCCAACUGGCAGUCUGGCACAGUAGUACAAGUUUGGGGACAUGUGUGCACUUUACUUUAUAGAAAUAAUACCCCCUCGGGUAUUCAAGGUUAGUACUAUAUCGUUGUGGUACUUAAUUGCUCAAAUACAAAAUUCAAGACAUGAUUUAUUGCAGCCAUGUGCCUAGCUGUAACUUGUAACAAGAUUUAGCAAACAAUGUGCCUAGCUGUAACUUGUAACAAGAUGUAGCGCUACCUCAGUUAGGUGGCGUUCAGUGGCCCUAUAAAAAGGAGUGCAGGACUUCCUAUGCAGUUGCAACAAAGAAUGGAAACUGUUCUAAAUUUUGCCAAGGUGAAAUAGCGGGGAUUAUUCGAACAUAAUCUUUCUUCAUCACAUUAGAUCUCAUUCUACCAUAAGUUUAGGCUUAUUAUUCCAACCUGAUCUCAUUCUAAUUUAGUGAGACAAGGCAGAUGAAGAACUUACUGUUCCAUGCCAUUCACCUCUGUAUACUUCUCCAAAAGAUCCUGGAGAUUAAAGAAGCAAGUCAGAACAGCAUUGAAAAUACAAGGCGGUGUGAUUUCACGUUUCAAAGUAUAUUUUAUAUUAUUUUCAGUUAAGAAAAGCCGUGACUUAGGAAUGGCAAUCUUUAGCCAGUAACAUUGCAAAUAAAUUGAUAGUUAUACAAACUGAGCAAUGAAGAAAUUGAAUUUGAAAAAAAUCAAGAGAAUUGUACCCAGCCCAACACGUUCUCCAAGAGUAAGAUCUUCCCAUUGGAUUUCAAAUUCUGCAACAUCAUCCAGAGCAAUUUCAGAUCUUGCACUCUCUGUCCCAGUUGACCUAUCAGAAACUCGCUCAGCUUCCUGAGGUGCUUGAACCGAAUCCUUUUCAUGCUCGACGGCAUUAUCCAGCUGAUCGUUUUCCAACAAGUCAUGUUUACCUUUUUGGAUUGAUUUGGUUGAUGAACUUGGCAAGCAAAGCAAUUGACAACCAGGAUCAAGAUAUUCAUAUUGCUUGUUAACAGCAGCAGUAGUAGCGACAACUGCAGCAGCAGUGGCUGCAGCUGCAACUGGCACAUCUAGUUUGAUAUCGCUGUUAGAUUUAGCUGCAGCAACGACCAUUGAAGACGCGACCACGGCAGCUGUUGCAACAGCAGCAGCUGUAACAGGCAUUUGCUUUAUAAGUUGUAAUGGAUUUUCCUGGGGAGGUGCAGAUGGUUCAGACAGAGGUACAGAGGGAGCAGCAUUAUCCCGGGAAUCAAAUGGAUGGUAAACACCCAAUCCCUGGACAGGCUUAAGGUCAAGAGGCGUCCGAUAAGGAACAAUCUUGAGCUCAUGUCCAGGAUGAUGUGGCAUUGGAGGACCAUGGCCACCAGAACAGUCGUGUGCUGUGGAUUCAAGCUCAUUCAUUGUCCUUAUCAUUUCAUCUUUCGUUUGAAAUACAGAUGUGUCGUAAACAAUCAGGUCUUUUGGUUGUUCCUUUGAUUCUUCUGAAAACAAGUCAGGUGGUGGCACAACUCCACUUUCAAGUAAUACAGCAUGGAUCUUUUCUGCCAACUGGGGGUUCUCCUUUGCAGCACUAAUCAUAUACUCUGAGACAUCUUUCACUUUCUUCCUCCGUACAGCUGGAGUACUGCCCAUCUCAGAAGAUGGAGGCGAACUUGAUGACGAAUUAUUUGAUGUGAUCGACUUAUCUUUGCUUUUUGAAGUCAUGAUAUGAUCUGCACUAGAUUCAUGAAUAAUAGGCACAUUUUCACUUGCAUAUGUGGAAAUUGAUAGUUCCUCAAAUGAACUUGAUACCCCAGACCCAGAUACGUCAUUAUCAGUCUGGGCAUUUGUUGCUCCAUAUGGACCAGAAUGCCCAGCAUUUCUAGGUGUGAAUCCUUUUUCAAGCGAUUCAUUUUCAAAUGAACCGUGAAUGGAACUUGAAGCUUCACUGAAAGAAUAAACCAACUGAGUGUCGCUGUCAUGUUGAUCAUCAACGAAUAAACUGUCUUCCACUUCUCUACCCAGGUCGGCACCAUCUGAUGGAAUCAGAGUACCAGGAUCUACCAUGAGAUCGACAAUGCAUUCCCUGUAAACAUGUUGUGCGUUACCGAUGGUAAUGUAUUAACUUAAUGCAAUACCCAUUACUAACAUAAGGGGCUGAAAUCAGAAAUCUGGACAAACCGAUCAUAAUCCCUAAUAUCCAAGUACUAAAAGAAUAACUUCUACCAUCAAGGGAUUGGUAAGCACAGUACCUUCCAUCAUUAAAUUUCACAAUGUUCAAAGCUCCAUCAUCUGAUCCAGUGUACUGCCUUCCUUUAACUAGUCGACAAGGAACAGCAAGGCUGUCUGCCAACACCUAGAUGCAAGUAUGCAGAGAAUAGGCAUCAAAAUACUGAAAGACCAGAAACAAAUAAGUUUGCAAGCAUCAACACAAGUUGAACCGUUAUGUCAGGAGUUCAGCUGGGUACAUUACAAAAAUGAAGUCAGGUUUUGUGCUACUAACUAAACAAGGAUAACAAGAAAAUGAUCAUGUCAAAUUUUGUAUUGAACAGAAGAUAUUGCAUUUCAAAAUGAUUGCCAUCCACGAUUGCAUCUCUACUGCUUAUUGUUUAUGACAGAUUUCAUAAUACCAAAAGUAAUGCGCCUCAGAUUGCUCACCACAAUGUGAUUUGUUACUGACCUUAAAAAGCAGUGCACGGUGCCGAGCCAAACCAACUUUUAGCCGCCCAAGAGGUAUAACUGCACUUCUUAUAUCAGCUCUCAAUGCACUGGUCAUAUUCCGGUACUUCAACAGCAUGCUUUCUGGAUCAACCACUGGUCCACCCAUAUAGUUGGAAACUAAAUUAGCUAGAGUCUGAACCAAAGUGCGGCCAACAAACUCUGAAUUUUUCGAGCGAAAUUCCACACUCAUGAUAAAUGCCUUCUGCUCCAGUGCUACAAGCUCAGAGUCUAGUGUUCUGUUGACCAAUACAGCUUCGGUUUUGGCUCCAUGUGAAAAAGGCAGCGCUUGCAGUUCCAUCAGAGAGGGUAUGGUCGAUAAUGUUGGCAUGGCCGAUAAUGUCGGCUCAUCCCCAGUUGCACAAAGGUCAUAGAAACCAUCCAAAAUUUUGUCGUCGUAGCUAAGGGCAUUGAAACUCUGUGAAGCACGAACAAAUCUACCAUAUGAGAAGUAAGAAAAUGGUAAGAGUCACAAAUACAUACAGCAGUUUUACUUCUUUACAAUAUCUGACGAAGGAGAACAUCUAAUGGUGGCUAGUGGCUGCUGCUAAUUCUAGGCUGCUGAUUGAGUGUUUCAGUGCAUUGCAAAUGCGCCUCCUAAAAAAGCAUGGUAGCCAUUAGCUUCUAUAAAGCAAGCCAGAUGUUCAUUAUGGUGAAAAACAACUAAACCAAACAACUAAACCCCACUACUGCAAAUCAUGGUCUAACUUUUUUUCCUUCAAAAAAUAAAAGAAGGUCGGAUUAUGAAUGGUAGACCAAUCCAUGGUGUACUGUUCCUGACUAACGUAAUUUCAGAGAUAUACCAGAAAAGGAAAUAAGCAUACAUACCAUAACGAGCUAAGUUACGUAACUACACUAUCCCAUGCUCCGAUACCCAUUCCGUUCCAGGAUAGAGUUCAACAUCUAUCAGAAGAACACCACCAUGAUGCAACUCACGUCUGGCCAAACUACCGCACGAAAUCCCAUUUCGGCUCUGACGUUCAAUUCGCAUGAACAUAGCACGAUUCAGAUCGCAUCACAGUAAGGGAACAAUCUACUUACUAGAAGAUAGUCAGAUACUAGGAUGGAGAGGUGGGGAUGGAGAUGCUGAGUACCCAGUAUCGGAAGGCGACGACCUCCGCGGGGGAGCUCUGGAGCGGGCAGGAGCCGAGGCUGAUCUGCUUGGCCACCUCGAUCUGCAUCGCCUCGGGGUCCUCCCGCACGCUCAUCUCGAGCGCUAGCUGCAUGUGGUAGUCCUCCAGCUCCGCCUCCCGCUUCUCCUUCUUCUCCAUCUCCACCUCCCGCUUCCUCUCGUCCUCCGCCUCCUUCCGGGACUCCUCCUCCCGGGCAGCCCUCCUCUCCUCAACCGACGAAGCCAGCGCAGUCGCCAACGCGUUCUCCUCCGCCUCCACCUCUGCCGCCGUCGCAGCAGCAGCAGGCGCCGGGAGGGGCGGCGGCGCGUGCGGCCGCCCAGUCACGGAGCUUAGCCAGCCCGACAACCCGGAGGCGUGCUUGUGCUCGCCCCCGCCGCCGCCGCCCUUCUUCGUCGGCGGCGGGGGAGGUGCCGACAGCGACGAGGCGCCGUCGCCGCCGGCUGAGUCGCCGAUGUGCAGCUUCCUGAGGAAGUUCUUCAUCCCUCCGGCGCCGCCGCAGCUACCGGUGGUGGGGCGGUGGAUCCAGCAUGGCUACGGAUGCGGCUGCGGAGGCGGGCAGGAGGUGGAGUGCGAGGAUUGACCUGCUCGCGUGCACCCCAAGCCGCAUUAAAUUAUUCCCGUUAUUUGCUUCGCCCGCUGCAACUGGCUGCUGCUCCGCUCCGCUUGCUUGCUCGCUCCCACGACGAGCUGACGCAAGCAGUAAUCCAAAUUUAGUCUGGCUGAACCGGAAAUUCGGGUGCUCGAGUGCGAUUGGUGGGCGGCGACUAAUUAAAUACGGAAGGGCGCCCGGCUGGCGGCUUUCGACUUCACACCUAGUUCGCGUGACAUGUAGGGUCGCGGCUGAGUGGCCCCACGAGCCAGUGAAAGCAUUACGUGGCGCCUGCGUGACGUAACCUGACCGGCGGGGUGUACGAGCGGAAGUGAUUAGUCUGACGAGAGCAAAGAAAAAGGGCGACAAGCAGGACGGGGACUCGAUCUGGCAUGCUGGUGGGGGCCGCCUGCGGUCGGCCCACUUGACCGUCGCCGGGUCGGGAGCAGGCAGGCAAGUUGGCCACUGGUGGGUCUUCGCUUGCUCGGGCCCCGCCCCUCGUAGGCCGCGCGCCCACCACCAUGUGGGGCCCGGGACCCGCGCGCGGGUGGUGCUGCGGAACCGACGGCGCACGCAGGUGGGCGCGCGGGUGUGUGGUUGCGUGUGGUGGGACCCACCCCGCGCAGCCACGAGCGUGUGGGCCCUCCCCCUCGUGGAAUUUCUCGGGCUGUAACCUGGUUGGCUCGGUGCUCGCAGUGGCUCAUCGCUUGUUUGUAGUGGCGCUUUCACGCGGUGUAGCGUAGGGGUUGUUUGGUUGUCUGCCUCGGACGCCGCGUCACAUCACAUAUCUCACGCCGUAGGUGUAGCGGCCGAAUCGGCCGCUUGGUUGUUUGCCUCGGACGCCGCGUCACAUCACAUAUCUCGCGCCUCGCGCCGUAAGUGUAGCGGCCUUCUUAACUCGGAGAUACUCCUUCGGUACUACUUGGCUACUAUUUGAACAGAAGGCCGCCGCACCUUAGACGCGGUGUGGCACCAUCGGUGAGUGGGCAGGCAAACAGCCCUUUAACCUCCUCUUCUAUCUUCGCUUCGCACGACGGAGGGAGGCCCAGUUUACGGGUGCGUGCACGUGGAAAGUUCGUGCGGCCACGGUGGCAUUGAAGAUUCUGCGUUCUAGACUAAUCCCCGCCUUCGGUAGGCGGUAUACGUACCAGUAGUAAGUAGUCACUUCUUGGUCAAAUUUUAGCGUUGCAAACAUUUUAAGCUUCUUUUUUUCUUUUGCGAAACGCAGCUUUGUGGUCGCAGCUUCUUGUGAACGGUAUAUUUGCCUAUUUUUUGUGUGCAUGUUUCUUCAAAGUCAUGGCACGAGACUUCUCUAUUCUCACGGAGAACUGCUGAACUGUACACAUCUGUUGACAAUGGUUCUGCUGGCAUGGCCAGGCUUUUUUUUUUCCCCUGCUGAAGUCUGUAUAGUUAUCAAGUGUAGACAGGAGAUAAAAUAAGUCAGAAAUGAGAAAGAUACAAUAUGGCAGGAUGUGGAGACUUGUUCAACGGGGAGCAGAGCUUGGAGUGUAGUAUGAAGCUUCCUCGCGACGCCGGAUGCGAGGGCUACUGCUAAAACCCGACAAAUGCCUAGCACUGGCAGCCUGGGAGAGAUCGAAGGCACAGUUGGACAAACAAGUCGCGAGUAUUUAAAUACGGGUUACGAGAUGCACAUCCACUGGGUUGAACGGACAAACGGUUAUUAAUAACCUAGUGGGACAAAAAUAUUCUUGCAUGUAAAAGAGGGGUUCUUUUCCCCGGUGAGUGUAGGUGGAUCUAGAAUCAAUUGUGUAGGCAAGAACUUUCUUUUUUGCGAAUGUGUAGGCAAGUACUUUAACGACAUGUAGUAUACUAGUUUAAGAUUUGGAAUAGUUUGAUUCAGAACAAACUUAAAAAUACCUACAUUUUAGAACGGGUGAGUAUUUGCCAGAGACUUCUUCUGAAGUUUCCAAGUAAAUCAUCACACAUUUGAAAAAAUAAAUUAGAAAUCUCCAUGUUAUAUUACUAAUAGGGGUGUACAACUACGUUUUGGAUUAAAACCAAACCCAACCAGUCCCUCUCCUUAUGAACGUACAGUAACAACGGGGGUUAUACUUGUACAUACCUUACUGCUGCCGGUUUGGACAAUUUGGGUUUCAAACCAGUCUGAGCACCCCUAAUUACUAGUUAAGAGACCUCUUGGACUUAUCCUGAAAUCUGAAUGACACAGGAUGCACUAGAAAAAAAAAUAGAAAUUCUAAAAAAUAUUAAAGCAAUUUUGAAUAUUGGUUACUCAUGAAUGUCCAAUCCUUAUAUAUUCAAAAUUAAUAGUUGAUAGAUUAGUUUAUAUAUGAAUAUGAAUGUAUGACGGGAGAACUGCUCUGGUGGUUUGUAUGAUGCAAGGGCACAGAAUUUGACUUGGUUCGUGUUUGGCUCAAUUGACAAUUAUUAGUUCAAACGAAAGCAGUCUUAACCAGUUAUUAUGGGCUUAUGUCACCCCUGAAAGGAUUGUUUCUUCAUGGCGUGGUGUAUUUUGGAGAAUUGGUGAUUGAUUUCUUCGUUGUUCCUGACAACCCAUGACCUGAGUCAAGAAAAAUCGCCCACAACAGCCUUUCGUUUUCUUUUCUUUCUCUACAGUUUCUAGCAAACAGGUUGUGCUCCUGUUCAAUAUUUCAUUGAUUAAUUCGUACCCAUCCUCCGAAUAUCCGUACUGUGAAAUUAAGUCGUAAAUUGUAAAAAAAAAAUUUGAGGAACUAAACAACAGUUUCGUAGCGUAAGCAUUUGAUACUAUGAUUAUGAAGUUUCAAAUAUUCCUAUGUUUAACCUUUUAUACCACCAUCACAGCUGUGCCAUUCCAAAUUGCUCCUCAAAUAGUUAACAUUUUGACACCCUCAGAACAGUAACUAACUGCACACAAUUAUUAUCAGAUAAAGGAUGCUACCAAUAUGAAAGAAUAAGUAUUACAUUUAUAUUACACUACAUUAUCCUUUGCUCACAUUAAGAAAAAUAGAGAAAUAUUUAGGCAGCCGGAGGUAUUCAGCAAUGACUAAACAUACUAGGAUCGCAUAGUUUACAUUCAAUUAAAUGUGAACCUCAUUUCUUUUGAUCCAAUAGCCUACAUGAUUUCAAACUUUCAUCUAGCCUUCCGGUAGAAAAGGGGGGUAGCAAAACACCUCGCGUGAGUGGUAGAAGGUAAUGUAGGCUUUUUCAUGGAAGUAAAACUCGUUUACAAUAACUGUGUUCUACCAAAGCUAACAUGAAAAAAAUCUUUGAAGGUGACGUAAACGCAAAAGAAGAGUUCGCAAGAAUAAAACUCCACAUGGCAUCAGCAAAAUGGCUGCAGACAGUUGAUAUUUUGCCUCCACCGCUGCUGCCCGGCCAAUGCUGCUGGUACGCACCAGCUGACACCAUGGGGACUAGUUGACUUGCAUGACAUGUACCAAACUACACAGCUGAUCAGCUUCAACAUCAAAUUGAAGAAACCUAUGUAGACUCCUAAAUGGGAUCUUCACUGCAUCUGCAUACUGAAUUAUCGAAGGGGUCGUCUGUGACCAAAUCAUGAAUAUGCCUAACGUGUACCAAACCAAAUAACUCAUUAUCAAACUUGAUAUCAAACUCUGCAAUGUGAGAAGAUCUGGUCUCCAGCUGUAGCUUCUUACGCAUAACAGCCAAGAAUCAUCAUAUGUUCCAGCACUCUGGCAUUCACGACAAAGAACUUGGCGAAAUUUACUUCUGAUUCGCUCCCCGCAUAACAGGUUCACACCAACCUUUUGAGGUGGAGAUCAAGGCAUUCUAGUUGAUCAUAGCGCUGCUCAUUUUUGCAAUUACGUUGACUGUACAACUGAUAAGAAAACUGAAAGGAGAAACAAGCACGCAUGGAAAGCAUUUCAAAUAUGAACAGUUGUGGGACAAAAUGAGCAACAGUAAAUUAAAAUCAUCUCACCUCAAUAUAUAACUUCUCCACACAUGGAAAGCAUUUCAAAAGACCAAUGACAAGAUCCAGAUUAGAAGCAAUGAUUAGAGCCAAAGUCUUCACUGUACGCACCGAGGUAGACAAGGUAACAGGCAUCAUUUUCUGAAACAGGCCAGAAACAUGAAAUGUAAGAGUGAGAGCAUAUAAACAUAAAUAAAUGGUUAGGACAUUUAUGACUGCAGCUACCUCGAAAACCAGGGUCCCAAACUGAAAUGUGGAUAUGCAGUGAUCCUCUAGAUAUCCCAAUAUCUUCAGUUUGGGAGCCUGAAGCACCCGGAUUACCAUAAAAUAUCUAACAUUGCGGGGAAUCAGCCUUUCUAACAGUGGGACAUCCUCAACAAUGAGUUCUUCGAGCUCCCCCGGUUGCCUACAGUCACCAUUGGACACACCAAGGCUCCGAAGUGUCGGGGAUCUUAUCCGGAGACGACGAUAGCCAACAUUACAACAAAGGAGCAAGCUCUCCAGGACAGAGGCAUCCUGAUAGCAUUCCAUGGAGGGAGCUCUCGGAGAUUCCGACGCGCUUGAGAGUGAGUUGCUUGAGGCGAGGGAAGCUGAGAGUGCGCAGGCGUUCUCCGUGGGGAGCCGAAGCACGCGGUAGCUCGAGCAGAUGCAAAGGUUGCAGAGGGUGGAUGAGAAGCGACACGUGUGGAUAGCGGCAGCAAGAGAUCCCCCCGGCGUUGGAUAUACCACGUCCAAAGGCAUGGUAGAACAGCUCGAACUCAUGGAGGGGCGGACAAACGGAGCCAGCCGUCGACGGUGACGGCGAGGAGGCGGCGGGACCAGCUGAUGUCGUCUUCCUCGUACCAAUGGAGGGAGAAGCGGCGCGUGCGGCCCUGGUGAGAGGAGAGGAUACCGGAGGCCAGCCUCACCAGCUCCUCUUCCUCGUCGCUGUUAACGACCACAGCAUUGAGGUUGAGGGGGGACGAGCGCCACAGGGGCCGCCACCGGCGCGAGAGGGCUUGGGUGCGGGCGCCUUCCUCGGGUGGGAGGAGGGUGAUGAUGUCACCGAGGACGCCAUCCGGGAGGAGGCUGAUGAGGACGCGGCCUUCGUCUUCAUCGAUCCCGGCUGCUUGCAGCUUCCGUCUCUUCGACCCGGUUACCACCUCCAUGGAGGGAUCGUCUCACCUAGCGAUUAAGGCCUAGGAUUGGUAAACAAAGGUGCGAUUAGGAGGAUUCGAAACACGAUUCCAUCCAUUCUACGUCUAUCCAUUGAUCACUGCAACUUGGAUUGGAAGCACACACUUAAAAAUUGAAAUUGGGGCAAGGCAAACCCGAAUGGAGUAUCACCUGCGUGCUGCCUGUCAGAAGCCCCCGGCUUCCCGUCGAACAAGCAGGUGCACAGGUUCGACGCCAACACGCCCCCGCCGUCUCCGCGGAACGGUCGCCGCCGCCGAUAGGGAUAGCAAGAAAUCGGAGUCGGAAUGGUUAAAAGAUGCUCGUGUUUGCUAUGCUCUCCGCGCUUCCCGCGUCAAAUCGGACGCGUGUCGAUCAGCGUGCGGAGGCCGCGCAUCAGCCGAGGAGUCCGUCGCGUGAAAGCACGUGCCGCCGGGUUCAGAUUGUCUAACGUGCUGAAGCGAAGUCACGCGUGAUGCACUCCGUUUGCCAUCCAAUCGAACGGUUGAUGAAGGUACAUCUUUCCCAGCACCUAUGUAGAGCGUCAGCCCAGCUGCCAAUUCUAGUCUAAAUAUGGCCCAGUUCGCGAGAAGAGUAAGGAAACAGAGCUGAACAGAUAUUUCAGUGCAUUAAAACUCUGCUUUUGUACAAAAUUAAACAAGAAUUUCACUUUAACUAAAAUAACCGUAAUAAGCUUUACUAAUGACUACUAAUCCAACGACUCAUAUAGCUCAAAAAAACAAUUAAUAUGACAAUGGAAGCUGUAGAAUAAAUAGACAUUUCGUUUACAGUUUCAUCAGUUCCAUGCUCUGAAUAUCUAAUAUAAUCCCAUCCAAAAGGCACUGCUACAACUAGCGACAUUGUACAGUCAGCCGUAGAUUUUGCUUGGCUAUGGGAGCUCCACCAAAGACCACCAAUUAGCAAAUUUGUGGCAAUGGGAGCUCCACCAAAAACCACCAAUUAGCACAUUUGUGCUAAACGCAUCCUCCCAAAAGAACAAAAUAACAUUACAAAAGAACAAAGAUCCUUGCAGAUGGCAAUAGCUACAGAUUUAGGUCCCUAAAGAAGUUCAUGAAUAGGGAUAUCAUCAAUUUCACUAGGAUCCUGCAUAAGACAUAAGAAAGGUUAAAACAGGGCAACAGUAAAACUAGUUUAGACAAGUUGAAAUAGAGCAACGCUGAGUUAAAAUUACCAUAAGCAAAUCUCUAAAGUUAGUAAAGGCAUUACUGUCCUUGUGAGUAUUGUCCAUUGGUGUUUGAGUUCCUGCAUCACAACCAUCGUCUUGAUGCUGCAUAAAGCGUAUAACCGUGUUAUUUAGAAGACAACAGCGAAUAACUUAAAUAUAAUACAAGGGUUUUGCAGCAGCAUACAUUAGAUUUAUUUGACACUUUCUUUUUGAAUUUCCUUGUCUUGUCGAGCCAGCUUCUAGGUCGCUUCGAACUUCUUGGUUGGACAUCUUUUUUCUUUAGGCGAGCAGCACCAAGUAAAUCAUCGCCUUGUUGAACAUUAGGCUGGGCAGUACACGAUUCACUCAAAAUACUUCUAGAUGCACUGAUUUUGUCCUCUAGUUGCUUACCAAGGCUAUCAAGUGUACUAUCUAUCACUGAACAACAUUCCAGAGAGCUUGCAGCUUGAUAUGCCAAGAUCAAAAAUUUGUGAGACAAAUACCUAUAGCGAAGCAUAGCAUCCAAUUUUGGAUUUUCAAUGAUGCUCCUUCCUUUGUUGUCAUGUAUAGUGCCAUGCCUUGCUUCGCUUGUCCAACGUUUCAGAAUACAAUGGUCUGGUAGUAACUUAAUAUUCAUCAAGUCGAGAACUUUCAAAGCAUGGGCACACAAUACCCCGGUCCUUGUAAACUGCUCACAAUUACAUGAUGCCCUUUGCUCCAAAGAAUUACCAUCAACUAUGCGCUCUUGUUCAGAACUUAAAUCACCAUUAGCCCUCACAAUUGCAACAGCAUAUGUGUUAUUUCCACCCAAUGAUCUAGCACAAGCAGCCAUGCUUAUUUCAUAUUCGGUUUGGAAUGAUUCAAAUAUCGGGGGGUGUAAAUUUUGCUUGCUUGCACUAACAUAGGUGUGUUCAUUCUUAUUCUAGGUAGCUUUUUUCUAGCUUCGAAUACUUCAUCAAGCUCUUUGUUUCUUUUUAUUUGCACAGCCUUUUCAAAAUGCUUCAAGAAACGAAUGAUGUCAAGAUCCAACUUCAAAUGUGUUUUUAAGUCACUAUUAAAACUCUCACUUAGUUGUGUGCUUCUCAUUCCCAAUGUAAAAAUAUCCCUCAUGUAACAUUCAGCCCACUGUUCCUUGAACUUGUAGAUGUUAUCUAGCCAUGAUGCCUUUUUUUUGUCCACCUUACUCCUUAUGAUGUCAAAUGCUUCCGCAAAGGCUCCUUUGUCCUCAAUGUUAUACAUGCAAGCACUAAACUCCGAGAGAAUGUGAGGCUCUUCUUUUUCUUUAUCAUCAUCAUCAUUUUUACCAUUGCUUAAGUGCUUGACAGCAUUCUGCAUUAUGUGAAAGGUGCAUAAUCCAUGCCAAGCUUCUACAAAUACCUCUCGAACGGCCUUUCCCAUUGCGAUAUCUUGAUCAGUAAAUAUAGUUCUAGACUGUUUACCAUUAUGUGCUGACAGAAAAGUCUGAAACAGCCAUGUGAAAGAAGCACAUGUUUCAUCAAACAAAAGAGCAGCUCCAAAAAUGACGGUUUCUCUAAAUUGAUUGAACCCAACAAAGACGCCGAAAGGCCUAUAUUCUUUGUUUAUACCAAAGGUAGUGUCAAAUGUGACAACAUCCCCAAAGUGAGCAUAAUCAAUUAUCAUCUUAGCAUUAGCCCAAAAUAUAUUGGAUAUUUGUUCCUCACAGUCCAAUUGCACAGCAUAGUGAAAAGAUGGGUUCUCAGAUAUCUUAUCUUGAAAAUAUUUCAACAUGCUUCCUGCUUGCCCAUAUGUCAACUCUCUUUGGCGCUUGCCCCGUAAAUAAUUUUUGUGAUCACGACAAGUGUAACUAAGAUUCAUUGCCCCUCCAACUUGCCGACUAGCCAAUUCAUGUGCAGUUUUUGAUCUAAUUCAUGAAUCAUCGGCGGCCUCAAUUUCAAAGGCCUGCACUUCUGAAAUCCUCCUUUGUGAUAACAUUAGAUGGAAGGUUUGUGGUAAGUGAAGGAUAUGAUUAUGCACAAGAAUUAGAUCGAACAAUUCAUAAUUUUCUUGUUCUCGAUCUAACGUAAGACCCAUCCGAACUGGACAACCUGUUCUUGUUUCAGCUCGAGGAUUUUUGGUGGCAUGGUCUCUCUUGUCUCGUGCUCUACAACCCUCUUUGGCACACACAUAUCUACAUGAAGUUACUUUCCCAUCGUAUUUGCUCUCAUUUGUGUACCUUUUUCUGACCUCAAAGCCUACAUGACCUCCAUAUUCCACCUAAAAUAUCCAAGCAUCAUCCAAAUUUCUAAAUUUCUGGCCAAUUUGAGGUACCCAAAUAGGACUGACAUUCUCCUUGUAUGGAAUUAGAUGCAUACAUAUCACUGCUACCAGAUAUCUGGACGGAAACAAAAUAAAGGAAAACGAUUGCAAGUCUAACUUACCUGUUGCCUUCUUCCACCGAAUCGUGGUUGGUUGUUGGUUGCAGCACUGCCUCCAGCAAGCUUGAACGCGGUCCCCCUCCAUCUCCUCCCGGCAGCACUGCCAUCCAGAGCACGUGAGGUCAGCCACUCUUCCGCAGCUCGCACAGGAGCGGAGGUCGCCCGCAGUAGGAGCAAGCUCCGUGCCGCGUCUUCCGCGCCAAUCUCGUCCAGCGGCGGCAAGCCACAGCGGCUGUUGUCCUUCCCCUUCUCGCGAACUGGGCCAUAUUUGGGCUAGAAUUGGCAGCUGGGCUGACGCUCUACGCACUGGGAAAGAUGUACCUUCAUCAACCGUUGGAUGGCAAACGGAGGGCAUCGGGCGAUGCGCAAGUCACGCGUGACUUCGCUUCAGCAUGUUAGAGAAUCUGAACCCCGUGCUGCCCCCAUCCACAUGCACGGGCCCACUAUAUCCUUCCCCCUUGCGCUUGUAGCGCCCCAAUCUUAAAUAUAGCUCAAUUGUAUUCGUACAUUGAGUAAAUUUGAGUUUAUAUGUUGGUGAGACUCAUCUCAACUAGCAAGGUAGGACAGUUCUACUCGCACGUUGAGUAAAACACGCACUCGCACCAACCCCGCUUACGCUUUCGUCCUCGCUUCGCGCAAAAGGUUAACCCGAAGGUUGAAAUGCACUUGGCACUUGGAUUUAUAUAUUGGUAAAACUCACCCUCAAUUAGUAAGAUGGGACAAUUCCCUACACAUAUCAUACCACUCACUCUUAGACCACUUGCGCGCUCAAAUCGCUGUUGGGUCGGGAUGUCACAACCUUCGCCGCUGCGGCGGCAGCGCCACCGCAGGCACUGCAAUACGGGCGCGUGCGAGGCGCAGCUGCCGGCGCGUCCGAGGCGAGCGCUGACGGGCGUCUGUGACAACGCAUAAACCUCGGCCGGGUUCAGCCGCGCGGAUGGAGCAGGCCGCCUGGCGAGGCCUACGAACGAGCUGACGCGGCGCGAGGCACGAGGCGGGCGAGAACGGCGAAGCGGUGAACGGCCGUUCUGGCCCGAGACUGACGGCAGAAGCGGCACGCGGCGGCGCGGUGAGAGAACGCGGCGACACGCGCGGAGCGGUAUGGUUCCCGUUGUUCCGACACGCGAGAGGUAUUCACACCCCAACUCUAGCCUCUUUCUUCUCCGAUCCGUCGCCGCCUCCCAUCCAUCCCAAUCUCCCUCUCACUCAAGGAAACACGGUGACAACGCGUGAUGGCGCGCGACUGCCCGGCGAGCCUGGCGGAGCUCGACGCCUUGGCACAUGCUCCACCUGAGCUCCUGAGCUCGGCGACCAUUGGUGCUCUUCUCCACCAGAUCGACAGCCAGCACCAGCAAAGCAUCUUCUCCUUCCUUUUUUAUUUUUCCAGCAAAGCAACAAAAGCUUCAUUGAUUCCCUUUGCUCUGGAAAAUUUCGAUAUUUGAUAUUAAAUCCGCGCGCCUCACUACUUUUGACAUUCAAUUUAUAAGCCUUUCAAAAUAUAAGGUUUUGUAUGCGAAUUGCUUUUAGAUUUAAGGAAUUUCUUUCCCUUUUCUUGAUUUCGUAAUUUUCUUUUUCGUUUUCAUUUUACAGCACACAUGAACUGACUGUUUUGUCCCUUACCUUAUCUCUCCUGCCCCUCUCGCUCGUCCCUGUCUCUCUCGCUCUCUUCUCACUCUUCUCAAUCGCCGGCCUCGGCUGCCCCUCCACUUCCACCACCGCCCCUGCUCCCACGCCUCGCACGCGUGCCACCUGCGUCUAUCCCGUCAUGGCGCCGCUUGCGCGUGGCCUGCUAGCCUUCGUCCGCCGCGGCACGCCGCUCGCAGUCGGCCUGGGACACCAUCCUGCCGGCUGAACUGCUCUCGCGUGAAGCCGCCCGCAGCAAGGCUGGACGACGACGUCCGCGGCGAGGCUGGAUGAGGCUGCCCGAAGUGAGUCCUCCACGCCGCUGCUCACACCUAGACGAGUUCGAUCUAGCGGAGAGGAGCUCAAUUCAGUAGGGAAUGAGCCUAAUUUAGUCUAGAAGACAUAGAAGACAUUGAUUUGGUUAGGAAGGAUUUUGCUCCGGUGGGAGCUCGGGGAGGAUUUCGAUCCAGCGUGAAACACCGUAUCUUGUUUUUCUUUUUAUUUCUUGCUGGUGAAAGGGAUUAUGGCACUUUCACUUACCAAAGCAUGGAGCCCGACGCAAGCUCGACGCGAUAGUCCGCUCUCAGCUUGAUUAGGGAAAAGUUAGGGAGGAUGUGGAUUAAUUUGGGCAGAGAAACUAAGAGAGAGCUGUUGGUUCGAUGAGGAAAGAGAGCAGAGGAAGAAGUAAGUUGGUGAAUGGGGAGGAAGGAGAUGUGCUACUUGCUGUUGCUAUUUGGAUUUGGAAGGGAGAGAUCGAUGGAGAAAGGAUGGAUGAUGGUUAGUGCCUGGGAGCCGCAGCUUCUUGCUUUCCCCAUUGGAAACGAAAGCUAAGAAGAAAGGAGGAGCUGCUGGCUUGCUUCACGUUCGUCGAGCUCGCAUGGCCGGCGGCCGGCGCAUCCAGCGACCGUCCAAGUGGUUUACAGAGGAAGGAGAGAGAAAGAAUUGAGCUACAACAUUUAUUAUGGACCUAUAUGAAGAAAUUAUAGGCAAUGGAGACCGUGGGAGCGGGGACGGCGGCGGGAGCGGAGGGGCAGCGGAGGCCGGUGAUUGAGAAGAACGGGAAUAGAGCGAGAGAGACAUGGACGAGCGAGAGAGGCCGGGAGAGACGAGGUGAGGGGUAAAACGGUCCGUUCAUGGGUACUGUAAAAUGAAAAUGAAAAAGAAAAUCUUGAAAUCAAGAAAAGAAGAAGAAAUCCCCUGAAUCGAAACAAUUCGCAUGUAGAGGGUUAUAUUUCGAAAGACUUGCGAAUUGGAUGUCAAAAACAGUGAGACACGCGGAUUCGAUGUCAAAUAUUGAAAUUUCUCCCUUUGCUCCGUACCUCCAAUCGCAUUCCAAUCCAAUAUGUAGCAGCUGCCCUUAAAUCCUCUUUACUCCUCAUGCCGCAUCUAUGUGUUUUCCCCACCGUGAAGGAGCAACAGCAGCAGAGAAAGGCCGCGGCUUCUCCCCACCGUCUCCCUCAAAUCGAUAGCCUUUCUUCUUCCACUGGAAGCCCCUCUGCACCUCAUCCAGCCACCUCUCCAAUUCACCAGCACUCCCCCGUGCUCCCUGUUUUUGGCAUAGACACUUCCAUCGACGAUGCCCUCAAUGUGUUCAAUGAAAUGGGCACAAGGUAUACUUGUCUUUCUAUUUUUUCCUCUUUCGAUUUUGCUUACUAAUUUUGUACAGUCCCGUAUCUAUAAGUUGUGCUUGGCAUAUUCAGGUUCAAAGGACAGUACAGAGAUUGACAUGGUGUUCUCGACUUCUUGUCCUAGAGAUACUUUGUUUCGAAUUCAUGUGCUGGUUCUUUACCAUUAGGUUAUCAGUGGACUAUUUCUUUGUCACCUUGCUGUCAAUAUGCUACAUUUGCUAGGUACGGGUACAUAAACAUACACUCUAUUUCAGUUUGGAUAUAUGUUUUAAUGCAUUAUUUAACUACUCAUCAAAAUCCCCACUACAGUCAGACUAAUGUACGUGUACCUUGUUGCUAAAAUUAUUCCCUUCCAAGCUUGCCUUCUAGAUUUCUAGGUUUACUGGGCAAAGGAAAAAGAAAGAAAAUACAGUAUAAAUCAAAUGUGCAUAUAUAUAUUAUUUAUCUUUUUUUCAGAGAUGUUAUCAUGCAAGUUUUUAUAAAAAAUAUAGAAUAGCUUUUUUUUGAAUUCUCUGCCAAAUGCUUAUUUCCUUUUUGAUAAUGUAAACUAUGUCUUCCAUUUAAUAGAUCUUUCUUGUCUAACAUCUUUCCACCGGAACAUUGGUUGAUUACAUCAUAUAUGCCAUCAAAGUUUUAUUUACCAAUGAUAUUCAUAAUAUUUAAAAUGAAUUGAUCUCUGAUAAUUGAAAACGUGGAAGGACGAACUUACCAUGAUUCAUUUGAGUCCAAUUUUUCUAAUGUCCGAAAUGCUAAAUUAGGGGAUACUUUAUUGGUACAUAUUUUAAACAAAUUUUUAUGUAUACUCAAUUAUCGACUUUGCCUUCUCAUUAUCCAUGUGCUCUCCGCGUAAAGCAAUUGGCUGCAAUAAUGAUGAGAAAAGUUGCAGUAAUAAAGGUAGUUACUUCGAUGUCUUCCUCUCUUAGCAGCUCAUCAGUGGGAUGCUUUCUUAUCCAUGGCUAAAUAUAUCUUGUAGAGUUGAGGUCUGGCAAAAAUAUGCUUUCAUGUUUCAUCCACAUUUGUUAUUAGUCUAAGACGUGCUGUACUUGACAGGAUCGUGCAAUGUCUUAAACUGCUUGUCACUGUGAAAUUUGACAUGAUGCGUAAUCUGAAACUUACAUUUGAAUAAGCCUAUUGUUUAUGUUUAUUUUUCAUAUUUUAGUCCAGCAUGUUUCACCUUUUAGUUUAUCUAUCUCAUAUCUGAUCUGCUUGCUUGUAUGUUAUUAGUUAGAUAUGGAGCAUAUUGCUCCUAUAUUCUUUUCAUUUGAUCUGCUUGCUUGAUACGUUUUUAGUUAGAUAUGGAGCAUACUUGUGCUCAUCCAUAAAACCUAAUACUCUCUAGGUGUUUCAUUGAUGUGUUUUGUUACCUUAAUGAGAUAGAUGGAUGGCUUCCUGUGUUUUACCGUUGACAUUUGGCUUCUCGACGUGUUUAUUUCUUUGCUCUAAUCAGGCUUUGAACUAUAUGCGCAUCAAAUUGCUACGUGCAGACUGAUGCCAUCUCUGUUUCUUUUUAAUGUCAUACGCAGCCUCUCUGUUUACUGUUUUUCUGGAAUAUGACAUCCGAUGCCCGAGUAUUGUUGGUUGUACCUCAAUGCGCAAUGUUAUUAAUGCAAAUGCUUUCUAGGGGACUUGGAUGGUUUGACAAUUGCAAUGUACGUCCAUAAGCAAAGCUUUGCUAGCUUUGAUUUUUGUUGCUGUGUUAAUUCUCCUAACAUAUCUACAUUUUAAUUUUCACAGAAAGCUAUCAGUUUAAUAGUGCAUAAUGUUAGAGCUAUCCUAUCUUUGAUUAUCUGUUUCUUUAAUUGCACGUAGAUUUAUGGUGCUUGGAUAUGCUGUAAUACUGAUGCUCCAAAGGCUGGAUAGACACCUGAUGGACAGGAUAGCCUGGUGCUUGAAUAUCCUGUAAUAUUGAUGCUCCAAAUGCUGGAAAAACACCGGAUGGACAGGAUGGCCUGAUGCUCGGAUGUGCUGUCAUAGUGCUAAGACGUACUGUAAUAUUCCAAGUUUUCGGACAGACACUUCAUGGAUAGGAUAGCCUGUGCUCUCAGAUAUGUUGUAAUCUUCAUAAUUCAAAUGCUGGAUAGACACCUAUGAUGGAUAGUGUACGCACACUGCUCAAAUGUUAGCAUAUUAACGAUGUAUUUGUUACCAUAUGCUAUGAUUUUGUGUUGAAUUUAUCCUAUACCAUGCAUGCUAUUUGUUACAUUGCACUACCUUCAGUUUAUUAUCUUUGAUUUACUUAUAUUUGAUUGUUUAAACGGUAGGGCACGUGUCGCGCGCCUAAUCUUCUAGUUUCGGAAAGGGGGCCUGCCCUGCCGCCUGGGUGCGGCAGCGGCGCAGCGCAAGGGAAGUGACGAUAGCGGAGAAAUGGACUGUUACUGGACCGGGCCGGAGUGACUUCUUUCAGCCAAAAAGGUCCAACUAGGUCACACGAUUUGAAUCGUUUUCUUUUUUGCUAUUUUAUUUUUCUUUUCUGAUUUUUGCAUGUCCUGUACGAGUAAUGAAUAAUGAUACUGGUGUUCAGCGGUUACCACUUUCUUAAGUGAUAAUUAUGCACAAUAAGGCAUGCCAAUCUUACAUGUCAUGAGUUAGACAGAGUGUUAGACUGAUAUAUAGAAGCAGAGCUUGAGGGAAAUGAAAUCAAAUAAGCGAGGGCCGCCUGGUCACUCGCAUGCAGCGUAAGCUAAUUAUACUUAGAGUAUCUCCAAAAGUCUUUGUAUCCUAAAAAAGAGAAAUUCUAUCAAAACUGGAUCCAACAGAGGCUGUAUUUUCCUCGGAUCGCUAUCCUACUCGAUAUUUCGCCCUCCUCGCUCGGCAAAGAAGCCAAGCCCCUCCCGCUCGCCAUCCCACCCUCCCGCGCUCCCCGCCCUGCCCUCCCGCGCUCCCCGGCUCUCCGCCCUCCCGCGCCCCGGUAGGGAUGUCGUUGGCGGGGUCGAACAAGGCGGCGAGCCAAGCGGGAGACCUCACGCUGCCACCGCCACCGGGACCUCGCGCCCUCCGCCGCUGCGCUGGGACCUCGUGCCGCCGCCACCCUCCACGGCGUCUCCUCCCUCUGUCGCGUCUCCUCCUCCACCGGCGCCUCGUCCCUCCAUCGUGGGAGCGCGCCUUCCUCCGCCACGCACGCGCCACGGGGCCGGCUGCCAGCGUGAGCACCGUGCGGGACGCCACAGGACAGCAGAACAGUUUUUUUGAGUGGAGAAGGGGAUGGAUGAAGAGUCCGUUGGUUACCCCACCUUUUGAGAAGCUAUCUAUUUUUUUACAGACCUGCUAAAACUCUAAAUUUAGCUAGAAUUUUAGCUGGCCUCUUGGAGAUGCUGUGCGUGACAAGUAUCGCAUUUAAAUGGAAGAUAUUCCAUUCAAUGCUUUUAAGAUUUAAAUAAAAGUUAAUCCAAACACAAAACUUUUCGCAAUUGUUGUAUCAUAAAAGGGAAGAAGACCACCAGUUCUGUUUUCUUUUACGCUUAUGUAUUUGAAUUUCUAGGCACUUUAGGACCAUUAGCUUUCGGAAUCUCCCAGUCAAAUGAUCUAAAAAACUAAGAGCCAAAAACACUACGAGCAUUUUAGUAUCUAGCUUUUGGAAGCAUGUGGCUUUUGAACAUCUCAAAAGCUAGUAAUCCAAAAGCCUCUAGAAGCAAAAAUAAACGUGAUCCUAGCAUCCAAGGAGUGUGCUAAGUGCCGGUAACUCAUAGCCUCAUUCAUGCUACUCACGCUCCACGCGCACAUGACCAACGGACCACGCACAUAGGAGUAGUUGUCUUUCCGAAACUACGCACACAUACACUUUCUUACUUUUGUUUGAAAUGCCGUAUUUUUCAAAAAAAAAUAUCUGUAAAAUUUUGUAUAUCAUAGAUCGUGUCAACGUCCUGAAUGACUUAUUUAUAUUUUGAAAUUUGAAUCGUGUCAACUUCCACUUAUCUGCAAAUGUGGUACACGAGAUAAUAAAAUCCAUAUGUUUGCUUGACACGCAGCAGGGCCCAUCUCACGAUCCAGGCGAGCUACUCCGCGCAGCGACCAAGCUCGGGCAGUGGCCACCCCAGUCGCCACCAGCCAAGCUGCGCAGCCCAAAAUCCACCAGGAAGCUUGACCACCGGGCGGUUUGCUCGCCCCCUCGCUUCCUCCGCCCGCCGGCCGCCGCGGCCAUACGCCUCCUCCGGAGCCCCGACCACCGCCUCGGCCGGCUCCGCCCUUGCGCAGUCAGGCUCGUCUAUACCCGCAUGGCUCUCCGCGCCGCGUGCGCUGCGGGCCGUGGCCUCCCGUCGUCCUCCUCGCCCCCUCGCGCCGGCGGCAGGCCCGGCAGCGUCGCCUUUGCCGCGCCGCUCGGGACGCGCGCAGGUACUGGGUGCGGUGUGCGUGGGCUUAGUACGCGCGCUGUUAAGAGCGUGCUCCGUUUGCAGCUGUUCAGCAUACGGUUCGCUGCCACUACUCUUCAUUGGGGCUAUGCGGCUACGCUUUAAAAAUCAACUCUGUUUUUGUAGCAGCAGCGCUAAGAGAUGGGCUUUGGGAACUUGGGGAUGGUACUUGAAAUACGAGAUAGGUGUGUAUGGCCUAGCAUGUGAUUUCAGUGCAAAUGGUACUUGAAACUGGAGGCAUUGGCAUGGGUUGGUUUGGGAGGGUGUUUUGUGUUCUGCAAAGCUGGUUGCUCUACCAGUUCCAAGGGGGUGUUUGGAUCCUAAGGGCAUCAGGAUGUUCGGAUGUUAAUUAGGAGGACUAAACAUGAAUUAAUUAUAAAACUAAUUGCAUAACCCCGGUCUAAUUCGCGAGAUGAAUCUAAUUAAUCCACCAUUAGCAUAUGUUUACUGAAGCGCCACAUUAUCAAACCAUGGACUAAUUAGGCUUAAUGGAUUCAUCUCGUGAAUUAGCCCGAGGGUUAUGCAAUUAAUUUUGUCAUUAGUCUACGUUUAAUACUUCUAAUUCGUAUCCAAACAUCCAAACAUACUUCUAAGUUUAGCCCUGCUAGAACCAAACACCCCCUAAAUGUCCAAUGCGCAGUUUUGGAUGUUGAAGUCAUACUGACCCGUGUACAUCUGCAUGAAACAUGAGUCAACAAUGUAGCAAUUCAAUGCUCUAAACAGGCUAUGCUAAGUUAUUAAUUAAAGCAGCAUCCCUUCUGCUUGAUACAAUGGGGUCACUUUACUUGUAGCUUGGCAUUUGCAUGCUAACUAAUUCUUUUUGUUGAAGUUAUGGUUCCUAAAACAUAAAGCGGCAUAGUGCUAGUAUCUUGGUUGCCUGAUCUGCCUUUGGUUACUCUUUAAAUUUUUCUGUUAAUGGAACUGGAAUUGGCUCUACAACUCUCACGUGCAUUGAUAGUGAUUGUUAUGGACCCGUCUGCGGUCACUCACUUUACAAUAUAAUGUUUUUUGAUAAAUAGAAAGAUGCUUUGUCAAUUUAACACGAUGCUGUCAAAUCCAAAGAAUCUGAUUUGAUUCCUGUUUGAUUCACCUAGUUCAAACAAAGGCGGUCUUAAGCAGUGAUGGUGCCCCUGGAAUGAGCAAUUCUCCCCAUGUAGUGUGCUUUGGCGAAUUGCUAAUUGACUUCGUUCCAACUGUCAAUGGAGUGUCAUUGGCAGAAGCACCAGCCUUCAAGAAGGCUCCAGGGGGUGCACCUGCCAAUGUUGCAGUUGGAAUCGCUCGUCUUGGUGGGUCAUCAGCUUUCAUUGGGAAGGUAACAUAUUUGCAUCUGUACUGUUUAUCUCUAUCCAGAUGUUAGUGCAACUACAGGGGUCACGGGUUACAAGCAUGUGCAAAUCCACUUUUCUGUUUGAAACCUUGGAAAGGAAAAUACAUGGGAUUUAUAUGGUAUCGAUUCACAUUUUUUUACAUUCUCGUAUGUACUUACAGUUAACUAGUGCUUGCGUUGCACUAUACGUUCAUUUAUAUUCCUGAUAGUGGUUUGUUACUUAUCCUUUUCAUCUGCAAAAUAGACCAGUCUUGUUUAUCGUCAUUGUUUAUUUUCUAUCUUCUCUGGUUUCUACUAAUAUAUUUUACACUUGUAGGUUGGUGAUGACGAAUUUGGCUAUAUGCUAGCUGAUAUAUUGAAGCAGAAUAAUGUAAACACUCAAGGAUUAAUUUUUGAUGCUCAUGCUAGAACAGCUUUGGCUUUUGUGACACUACGAAGUGAUGGUGAACGUGAAUUUAUGUUCUAUCGUAAUCCAAGUGCUGAUAUGCUACUUGAAGAAAAAGAACUUGAACUUGAUCUAAUAAGGAAGGUAUCAGAAGGCACUAUAUUGCCAUUUCAAUAGUUGCUGUCGCCACUUCUAGUAUUUCUGUAAUCAUGUAACGUAUAUUCAUGAAAAACUGAUUGUAUCCUAAUCAUGUUAUAUAUGCUAGGCAAAAAUAUUCCAUCAUGGCUCAAUAAGUCUUAUAACUGAGCCUUGUAAAACUGCACACAUUGCAGCUGCCAAAGCAGCUAGAGAUGCUGGAGUACUUGUUUCAUAUGAUCCGAAUUUGAGGCUUCCAUUGUGGUCAUCAGCUGAGGAUGCUAGACAUGGUAUCCUGAGCAUAUGGGAAACUGCUGAUGUUAUCAAGGUAACAAGUAUAGUAAUUUGUUUUAAAUGCAAAAAGUAUGUUGGUUUCUUAUUUUGUAUCUGUUGUUAAAAGAUAAGUGAAGAGGAAGUUUCCUUUCUGACGAACGGGGAGGAUCCAUAUGAUGAUGCUGUUGUGAAGAAACUUAUUCACUCCAACCUGAAGUUGCUUCUUGUCACUGAAGGUCCAGAUGGCUGUAGGUAUUAUUCUAAGGUAAUUUUACACACCUCUGAUAUGGAGACUACUACUAUUAUUCCUUGUUGUGACAUGUCAUUUUCUUUUUCUUUUCCUCCAUGAGCAUAAGCAUACUUCAUUGUCCGAUAAAAGUCACAGGAUAUUUGAUAUAAUAUUAAUGGAAUUAUUCAUUUCUAGCAAUAUGUUAACCUAGAUAUUACAUUCUUGUUUUAUACUUUCUUCAAUUCACUUGGUAAUUGUAUCUUAUGUAAGGAGGCCUAAAAUCAUUUAAAGUGCAUUUUGUAAAUAACAGGAUUUUAGUGGGAGAGUUGGUGGACUGAAGGUAACUGCUGUUGAUACAACUGGUGCUGGAGAUGCCUUCGUUGCUGGCGUACUAUCUCAAUUAGCCACAGAUUUUUCAUUGCUCCAGGUAUGACUAGAACCUACAGCUUACAUAAUAUGAGCCUGCACUUGAUUUAUUUUCUUCUUUCAGGAAGUAGGUCAAACUCUGCUGUAGGUGGUCCUGCAGUUUGCUGCACUGUUCCUGCUCUCUUUUAAUACAGACGGAUGCAUGAAAUAAUUUUAAAAUGAACUAAUGUGACAGUGUGACACAAAUGUUUGGUAUAUUUACUUCAUAGAGUCAAAGGUGCUCAGUUGGAUAUCUAUAGAGACAUGCACAAUCCGCUAAAAGCUGAGAAAUUUUCAGCAUAUGUGUAUGAAACUAAACUUUUCAUAUCCUGAAUAUUGAAAACACCCAAAAUCCAGAAGCUAUGGAUUUGAAAACUAUGGCAAAAUAAGGAAAAAAAAUCUUUGUCAAUAUAACUUCAUAUGGAACUUUGGCUUCGAAGUUUAAGAAUAGGGUCGUGUGAACUCCAUGAUAAAAGAAAAAGGCUGGCACACCUAAAAAAGAUCUAUGGUUGGUGUACUGAAUUAAAUUUGGAUUCACCAUUUUGCUUUUCUAUCAAUUCAUCUAGUUUACAUCUGAAACAAGGAAGCACCAAACCAUGUCCAGCUGUGGUUGGGGGGACUGAACGGCGUAACGGCAAGAUUAACAGCACAUGCAUAUGUUGCUACUGGUGGUUAUAAAUUUCCUGGCAUUAGAGGCAUGUUCUUUAGUCACAUGGCGCUCAGUGAUUUAGAUAUUCGCUAUAGGCUAUUCCAUGAAUAUAUAAAGUCUCAGUACUUCUCUACCGAGAUAGGCAAAGCUGAUUUCUGGGCAUAUCUUCAGUUAGUACCUCACACCUACACAAACAAGUAAAUUAUGUGUUUUUCGUUCUUGUUUGGACAUCCUUGUUCUUCAGUCUAGCCUGCUAUUUCUUGUUCCGCACACAAAUUGAGCUACACAGUUGUGCUUAACAGCAACUCAUAUUAUCGUUUUGUGUCUUAAACAGGACGAAGGCCGAUUACGAGACGCCCUGAAGUUUGCAAACGUCUGUGGAGCUCUGACAGUGACAGAGAGAGGCGCGAUUCCAGCGCUGCCGACCCGACAGCAAGUGCUCGACUCCCUGACCAGCGUCGUUGCAUGAAUGACCAGCGUCCUACUUGCUGUGUAUGCCAAUGUGGAUCAGCAGAGCGCCAUGGUAGAUCAGGUGUGAUUUCGUUUGCCUACCAAUUGAGAUCCUGGCGGUGUGACCCCACAGGCCACAUAAUCCGGUGCGAGCGGCUGUUUCUUGUCUAUUUUUUACGUGUAUAAUAAAGUUGGGACUCUGAGCCAUCACCAUCAGGUUUAUGCGUGGUGGGCAUGCCUCUGAAUACCUGUACAGCCGUGCUGGAUAAUAACAGCAGUGCAUCACGAAGCAGUUUACCACGGGAAGCAUGUCUCGGCCUGCUGUUCCUGCUCUCUCUGUUCCCCGUGCUGCUGUGAUGCUGUGUGAUCAGCACAUCAUGUGUUCCGUUUGGGCUUGGGCCCAAUUUAGGUUACCAGGCCAGAGUAGUUUGAUCGAACUACAACCGGGAACAGUCCAAAUCUCGACAUGGUUGAUCCAGAAAUUAUUUAUAAAAAAAAAAUAUUGUGUGUACCCACGGGUGCAUGGUAAAGGGAGCAGACCAGAGAGAGACGCCUGCCCUCACUUUGCUUGCAGACACCAGUCCUGAACUUGGGGACAACCUCUCCCUAAAGGCGCCACGCUCGAGUGGCCUCCGAUCCACUCCGAAGAAUGUUGGCCGGAAUCACGCGAUCCUGUCCACCUAGGCGACGAUUCCUGCUGCUAGCCAGCCGGCCCCCUAUGCCUUAGCGAGCAGGUCAAAGCUUUUCAGCAUUGAGAUCAACCAUCCAUGCCACAAGCUCCCUACUUUAGGCAGUUAGGCUCCCCCACCCUGGCCAGAGUAGUAACAACUGCUCUCGCUUCCCCUCUCUGUACGUGUGUCUGGUGGCUGCCCAUGUUUCACGUGUGGCUCCAUUUCGACCAAAGAACCGGAAGGAUUGUACAUGUGCAUGUGCUCGUCCCCUAGCAAAUCCUUCACUAGGCCGAACUCGAGACUCACCGUUGCCGAGUCCCGACGGGCGCUGAAAACUGCAGCGGCUUUCAGGCUUCCAGCAGACUCCCACGCCGGAAUCAUGGCUCACGAGCAGCAGGUUGCUGGUGCGUGUGGACACCGCCGACCCGACCGCGUGCGCGAAGAGGAUGAGGACGGAGCAGCCGAUGCGCAGCCCGCGAGUCCCCAGGGAUCCCGCCCGAUCUCCGCCCGACAUGGAGAUCGCGCGCGCCCGGUUCUCGCAGGCGCCACACCACCGCGCGCCCACACCCAUCUCCAACGCGAGGACGGCAGGGGCUGCUCGCGCGUGCUCGGCCCCGUUCCAGCAGCGCGAUCUCCCCGCGGAUCCUGCAGCUCCGUGCGCGGUCGAUGAUCCAAUCCACGGCUCCACAAGUGCGGCAGCUAGCGCAGCUCGGUUCAUGAGUAUACAAGCUUAUCCGCUGCCUGCGAAACCGUGGCCCUGGUGAUGAUCAGGAACUUUGGUCUGCGUUUCUCGGCGCACACCAUUGUUCCAAGCAGCAGGGCUAAAAUCCCAGAUUGGUGAGGUGGUGUUGGUGUCCGAGGUCUGACCGGUCAGACUUAGCUGCGCAGUGUGUUCAGGUCAAUCGGUCAAAAACAUGGUGUGCUAGCUGGGCAGCGGGGGUUGAGAGGAGGGAAUGAGGACAGCAGGAGCACAUGCCCGCGUUCAUGGGGGGCCGUAAACAGUUUCUUGAUUCAGCAGGCCGACGCGAGAGGAGGAUAGCAGUGCAACAGAUGGGAGCCUAGUCGACAUCACCACGUGUGCACGUACGCCCAAGUGGGGGAAUUGGGAAAGAUAAAACGCUAGCGCUACGUGCAGAUCAGUAUACGUAUAUGGGAUUCUGGUAAGGCUGAACGCACUAGGCGGGUCUCAAUGUGCAGUUUUAUGGUAUUAUUAUCAAAAUUGAAAACUAUGUAACUAUGCCUGUUGAGUGUCAUGGGACGAAACUCUCUCUCGUCUCGUGAAACUUCCUUAAGAACUGCUAAUUUACGGGCGAGCGCUCAUACGGUUUUCAGCGAGCAAUUCCCAACAUUACUGUAUCCUCCCGAACCUAAAGCUUUAAUUCCCGCAACUUUCUGCUUUUAGAACAUCAUAAUUUAUAUACAUAAUUUAUACACAUAAUUUCUUGUUGAUAACUUCUUACGGAAUAAUUUUGUAGCAUAACUUUUUACGACAUACACACCAUAUACCUAUAACUUCUAGGAACAAAUUUCAAAUGAUAACUUAGCAGAAAGUUAUAAUAUAUAGUUAUACGUAUAAUUUUUUCACAACAUGUUCUCACUUGAUAAUUUUGUAUCAUAACUUUCAUGUCAUAUGUAACUUAUAAAUGUAGCUUUUGUCACAACUUCCAUAAGAAAUGUUGUUAGCUAACUCAUACACGUAAGCAAUAACAGUAUAAAAAAAUAAUUGAAUAAAUAAAAAAAAUGGAAAAGAAAAAUAGAUCCCACGGUCCAACGUCUUGGACGCGAGCGCAUAUGCGUGCGCAGUCCGCCGGUGCGUGUCUGCAUUGCUUGCUAAGAGCGAUCCUAGCAAGUGAAGGAUGAACCAGCUUCACGCUUCCUCUCCUCUCUUCUUUGCCAUGUCAGCAAAGUUGAUGAUAUGGUAUAAAAUUUAAUACCAUAAAACUUCCAUUAAAAUUGGCUUUAUUAGUCUCUAUUUGCAAACAAAUGUUAUAGUUAAAUUUGAGAAACUUCGAGUAUUUAUGUACAACAAAGUAUAAAGAGCUGUCACACAAAAACACUUGUAGCUGGGUUCAUGGGAAUGAAAUUUCUUUUUGAUCCCACAAAAUUCUCCCUCAUCUCCCUCAUAAUGACACUAUCAAAUUAGCAAAAUUGCUAAUGUGAUAUGUUAUUUAAUGCUCAUGAAACUUCUAUUAGAACUGCUCUUUACAUAUCUGAACACUAGAUACUUAAGAGCGGAGGAAGUAGCACUUUUUAAUUUUUAAUUAAGUCAGAUCCGUUCACACCACACCAUUUCCAUGUGGCAUGGCAAAAGUUGUCCAGGAAAUGUUACUAUCCAAACUUCAAAAAGCAAAAGUUCCUUGCACAUGCCUUCUACCGCAAUUUUUCAUUUUAUUUACCCAAGGCAUUUAGCGAGCGCUACCUUUGGUAGACCAUGCCGACGUGCACGAAGCACUCCACCGAUCCCGCUUGGUCCCUGCAAUGGAUUUACCGAAAGCUCAGUGGCAUCGACUCCCAUAAUUCUGUCCCCGACAUGCGCGCCCACCUCCUCCUCUCUCUCGCUCGACGGGCUCGUCGCAGCUGCCCCGUGCGUCGUCGCCUUUGGGCCAAGCCAACCAAGGCUCCCUUUCCCGAGCUGGGCCUCCCCUCUGCUGCUGGUGUCGUUGCGCUUCGGGAACGCAAGGGUGCAUGUGGGCCUCGCGCUUUCUUUUUUCUAUUUUCUCGCUAGAAAAAACGAAACCCGUCGCGAACCUCUAGGCAGUACGUGUCGAGUAUGUGCGCGUGAACAAUCGGGUCGCGCGGAUCAAGAGAGAUCCUGCCAGCGGGUGCGUGCAGGGGAAUGUGCAGCCGCGACAAGUGGCGGAGUAGCAAAAUCAUUUUUCCAAGUGUUGGGAGGCAAAAGAAAAAGAAAAAGGAUCCUUGUAGCAAUAUCAGUAUACGAUUACUUGAUUAGUGUGCGUGAUCUCGGAGAGGUGCCAAGUUAAAGACGUGCAACACGUAGGUACUCGGACGUUUGCAGUACUCCCCUCAGGGCCAGUGUGAUGCGAGUGGCCACAAUGAUGCUGCCAGUGGCCGCCACACCAGACCGAUCAGCUUCGUCCCCGGAUUCUGUAGCUCUUUGGUUUCUCAAGCAAGCUCUUCUCCGAUCCAGCAGCCAAGUGUACUACUAGCCUCUGAAUCCCCAAUGGACCCAGGAGUGGAUAUCGACGCAGACUGCACACUCAAUGCGUAGCGAUGAGCUCGCCAGCGAUGCAGAAUCAGGCGAGGCAAAGCAUGGAGUCCCCGGCACCGAAAGCCCAUGCCGGGGAUCUCCCUCCCCGGCCGGCGUUGGCACCGGGACGGAGCCGAGCGGCUGGAUCCGGCACGGGCUCGUGCCCUUGCUCGCCCCAACUUGUGGGGGCGUUGUGCCCCAUGGGCCACGGCACCCGCACCACAAACACUCGCUUCGCUUCACUUGCUCUGGACUCCAGGCGCAGUCAUGACCACGUCACGCGCUCGCGGAACACGCCAUCAUGUGGGCCGCUAUGUCUACGCAUACGAGGGGAAGACCCCAUCCCCCUACACAAACUAGCUGAUAGCCCCACCACUGAAUUCUGCUUCCGCGGAGCUGCAAGCCUGAAACAGCUCAGUUCCGGGAAACAGGCUUGGAUGGGGUGCUCAUCUCAUCUCGGGACAGACGUGCAAUUCGUGACGCACGCCCCAACACCAGAACGUGCCAUCAGGCCAUCGCUUUGCGCAAAGGGGUUCUACUUAAGGCAAGAACAUGGCCUAAUGAUCUCCGUGUUGCCCUCCUCCUGCAGCAGGGGGAGGAGAGCAUUUGGAAUCUUGGCAAAUACUACUGGUUUUCUGGUCACCCGGCGGCCCCUAAAAAGGCUUAGCUAGCUAGCAAGGCAGCGGAGCGAGCCUUUCUUCUCCCAUCAUCGUUGCUCCUCCUUUUCUGCGUUCCCUGCUCUAAUGAUUUCGCUGGAGGGCCGUCGAACAGGAACAGGGGCACCUUUGCGAGUGCUAGAUGCACAUACAGGCAUACACUAGGAAGUACUAAUAGUAACGGAUAAGCCGAUGCCGAUCUCAAAUAAAGAGAGAAUUUUUUCUCUCUAGUAUAUUACGAAGGGCCUGUUUGGAUCCAAGUGCAAAUGGCAAAAGGACAAAUGGUAAAAUUUUUGCUCCUGUCACAUCAGAUGUUUGGACGCUAAUUAGAAGUAUUAAAUAUAGUUUAAUUAAAAAACUAAUUACCAUAGAUGAGUACUAAAUGACGAGACGAAUCUAUUAAACCUAAUUAAUCCAUAAUUAGCAAAAUUACGGUAGCAUUUGCCCUUUUGCAUUUUGGGGUGUUUGGAUCCAAAAGUGCAAAAAAAAGUGCAAAAGAGCAAAAGUUUUGCACUUUCUCUUUCUCUUUCCAUUGGAUCCAAACAGGCCCGAAGUUAUUAGAGAACCGCAAAAGCAUCUCGCCGCCAAGGGCACACAAGCCUCACUCGAAUAUCGUCCGAGCUCAAUAGGACGAUGAAUGGACGGUAGACCUGAACCAGCGACACGCAGGCAUACCAGAAUGUUAGGUCCAGCGUGAUUGGAUCGCGCGGCAUCACAUCUGCCCCAGCCCCACCCACUACUUAGCUAACGGCACUGUCGCAUCUCGUAUGCCCUGUUGCCCUCUCCAGAGUAGUUUUUUUUUUUUUGCUGCUAGACAACCAAAAAUUCCAAAUGGGCAGGGCCAGUGAAGCUACCGUGACGAUAGCUUUAUCCAGCAGCCCUCACGUACGAAGAAACCUUACAAAAACCAUCCAAGACCAGGUUUACGGGGACAGCACACGCACGAAAGCCUGCCACACAAGCCUCACUUUUGGGGCGGGUAUAUUCGAGGGCCUCUAUGAUCUUUUCGUCCAUCUGUGCUAGUGCUACAAGAGCAGUGGCAGCAUGAACCGCAGAGACUGAGAGACAGAGCAAUUGAGCAAGAGAAAAAAAGCGCAGCUGGAACGAAGCUCUAGCCCACGAUAAACAACUGCGGCACAGUACGCGCUCAACUGGACCACCGGCAUAGAAAAACCUCCGAGCCCAUCUGCCCGCCCGGCCGUGUGCGUGCGUGCGUGCCGACGACGGCCGGGGACUGGAGGAGCGGCCGGCGGGCCAGCUUUUUGAGGCGCAUGGCGGCCAUGGCGCCAAAAGAGUUUUUCUAACGGUGCGCCACCACCACGCCGGACCCACCGGGUAGUCCGGCCCUUCCCCCCGUACUUCCCGUGCGUCGCGCGGCAGCCGGCAGGCGAUGAUGGCCGGAGGCGCGCACGCGGGGACGUGGGGGAGCACCGGAGCACGGAGCCACCGCGCGACGGGCCGCGCCGCGCCGCGCCGCGCCGCCGCCGGCGCCCGAGCGCGAGCUUUUACCACUGUUCCCUCCCUGGUCACGACGCCGCUGCGAGUGUCCCUGCGGCUCACCGGCGCUCCUUUCCGUUCGGUCCGCGCGCCGCGACGCGACGGGCAGCUGCGCGGAGGGCGCAAGGGCGCGGCGCCCGACGCGCGGGGCGCAGGGCGGCCUGGCGGGGGCUGCAGCGGCGCAGCGCAGCGCAGCUGGGUGGGCGGUUUGAUUAUUCGGGGGCGUCCUUGGAGUCGCGUCGCAGCUUUUUGGUUGCCCUGUCGGCGUUCCGGCGUGGCGCGGCGUGCGGGAGUUUUGCUCGCUCCUCGACCUGAGAAUUUCUUUUCGUUUCUGGCUGGAGCUUUGGUUCACCGUAUGGUGUGGCGCUAGAGCGGAUCAACUAGGGCAGGGGCGUUGCAGUAGUAAACAGUCUACGUGCACCGUUAAUGCGGCUGCUUCUCACGUAAAAAAAUGAGGCUGCUUCUCCAACGGUAGGUGGACGUGUCAGUCGGAAAUGACACGUCUCAGUAACUCCGUCCAUAUGAAGAUACCAUGCCAGUCAGUUAUGGAUGCCAUGCAGCAGCAGUGGGCUGGUAGCUACGGUGCAUUCCUGUCAAGCCUUUGACAUCCAAAGUCUAUUUUUUUAAUGAAAAUUGCCCACUACUGUUAAUGUUUUAUUUUCGUCCUGAAUAUCACAUUGUGCUGGAUAGCCAAUGUUUACCCAAUGAAAUGAAGUUCUUAGUCCAAAUUUCCGUAUGGGGUAAUUUUCGGUCAGACUACCCAAAAAAAAUGUCAUUUCAAUUUCUUUGUAUAUGAUGAGGAGGUAUUUUUUUCUGAAAAAAAUAAUCUGCGAGGACAUAUGGACCCAAUUUACAUUCCUUAAACCCACGGCCCAUCUUCAUGUCGGGGGUUGUGCAGUGCCCAUCUGAUGUGUAUAAAUAAUCACACCGCGCGCCUAUGCCCACACCCCCCUCCCUCCCUCCCUCCCUCCCUCAUUGGCUCCCCCGCCUGCCUCCGCUCCACGGCGGCUCCAGCCUCCACCCACUCACCGCAGCCGCACUCUCCCUCCCGCCGCGCCGCACCACGCCGCCGGCGCCACCAAGAGCGUUCCCCGGCGGCCGCGCACACGCCGAGGAGCAAGCGGCUCGCUGGUAGCGUGUCUCUCUGACGAUCUAGGCGCAGCGGCGGCGAGCGCGCCGGCAAGAUGAUCACGGGCACGGACUUCUACCACGUCAUGACGGCCAUGGUGCCGCUCUACGUCGCCAUGAUCCUGGCGUACGGCUCCGUCCGGUGGUGGCGCAUCUUCACCCCGGACCAGUGCUCCGGGAUCAACCGCUUCGUGGCGCUCUUCGCCGUGCCGCUGCUCUCCUUCCACUUCAUCUCCACCAACAACCCCUACACCAUGAACCUCCGCUUCAUCGCCGCCGACACGCUCCAGAAGCUCAUCGUCCUCGCGCUCCUCACCGCCUGGAGCUACCUCUCCCGCCGGGGCUGCCUCGAGUGGACCAUCACGCUCUUCUCCCUCUCCACGCUGCCCAACACGCUCGUCAUGGGCAUCCCGCUGCUCAAGGGCAUGUACGGCGACUUCUCCGGCAGCCUCAUGGUGCAGAUCGUCGUGCUCCAGUGCAUCAUCUGGUACACGCUCAUGCUCUUCAUGUUCGAGUACCGCGGCGCCAGGAUCCUCAUCACCGAGCAGUUCCCGGACACCGCGGGAGCCAUCGCAUCCAUCGUCGUCGACCCCGACGUCGUAUCGCUCGACGGCAGGAACGACGCCAUCGAGACGGAGGCCGAGGUCAAGGAGGACGGCAAGAUACACGUCACCGUGCGCCGAUCCAACGCCUCGCGCUCCGACAUCUACUCGCGCCGCUCCAUGGGCUUCUCCAGCACCACGCCGCGCCCCAGCAACCUGACCAACGCCGAGAUCUACUCGCUGCAGUCGUCGCGGAACCCCACGCCGCGGGGCUCCAGCUUCAACCACACCGACUUCUACUCCAUGGUCGGCCGCAGCUCCAACUUCGCCGCCGGGGACGCCUUCGGCGUGCGCACCGGCGCCACGCCCAGGCCGUCCAACUACGAGGAGGACGCGCCGGGGAAGGCCAACAAGUACGGCCAGUACCCGGCGCCCAACCCGGCCAUGGCGGCGCCUGCCAAGGGGCCCAAGAAGGCGGCCAACGGGCAGGCCAAGGGCGAGGACGGCAAGGACCUGCACAUGUUCGUCUGGAGCUCCAGCGCGUCGCCCGUGUCCGACGUGUUCGGCAACGGCAACGCCGAGUACAACGACGCCGCCGCCGUCAAGGAGGUCCGCAUGGCCGUUGCCUCCCCGCGCAAAGGUAGCGUCGUUUAUUUUUUUUCCCCCACUCGCCGCCUUGUUCCGCUCUGCGCGGCGCCGCAUGCUCAAACUUCCCUUCUGUGCUUGGACGACCAGUUGCGGCGGACGGGAGGAAGGAGAGGGGCGAGGACUUCGCGGAGCGCGACGACUUCAGCUUCGGGAACCGGGGCGGCGCCGAGAGGGACGCUGAGGCCGGCGACGAGAAGGCGGCGGUGGUCGGGCAGGGGAAUGCCGGCGCGGGGGCGCCCGCGGCGAUGCCGCCGACGAGCGUGAUGACGCGGCUCAUCCUCAUCAUGGUGUGGCGCAAGCUGAUCCGCAACCCCAACACCUACUCCAGCCUCAUCGGCCUCAUCUGGUCGCUCGUCUGCUUCCGGUAACUACUGAUCACUCCGCCGGCGACGCCCCGUUAAUCAAUCGUUCACUAAUCUGCUCGCCUGGCAUGCAGAUGGAACUUCGAGAUGCCGGCGAUCAUCCUCAAGUCCAUCUCGAUACUCUCCGACGCCGGCCUCGGCAUGGCCAUGUUCAGCCUCGGUCCGUGCAUCCAUCCGCUCUAUCCUCUCCGGACGGACGCCAGUCCACCUAUGGAACAGUAGGUGGAUCUUGCGCUCCCGAGUCACUGACUGACAACACCGCGACGUCGCUUUCCCCGUGCAGGGCUGUUCAUGGCGCUGCAGCCGCGGAUCAUCGCGUGCGGGAACAAGGUGGCGACGUUCGCCAUGGCCGUGCGGUUCCUGACCGGCCCGGCCGUCAUGGCCGCCGCCUCCUUCGCCGUCGGCCUCCGCGGCACGCUCCUCCACGUCGCCAUCGUCCAGGUAAAAAACCAAACCCGAACCACACCAAAAAACCUCACGACCAACCGACCAACCGCACAAACGAACCACAGGCAUGCCACUGACAAGAACCGCCUUUUGAUUCAAAAAAAAAUCCGAAAGAAAGAAGCAAACAGCCUUCAAGUGGCCGGCCGGGCAUGCCGGAUCGAUAUGCCCCCUGUGCCGGUAAAGCCCGGCACAGCUCGCUUUCCCUUUAGACUUUUGCACGCCCAACCAGCACCGAGGCGCCUGAAACGCCUCGCCCUUCCCCCCCUCCUCGCCGCCUCUCUUUCUCUCUCUCUGACUGACGCUCGUUUUGUUCUACUCCGACGACGCGCAGGCCGCGCUGCCGCAGGGCAUUGUCCCCUUCGUCUUCGCCAAGGAGUACGGCGUGCACCCUGACAUCCUCAGCACGGCGUAAGCGCUCGACCUUGUGCUCCGUCCAUCUCGCAGCAGGGAGGACGCCGGGAUUCUCGGCCUCCGCUGCUCGCUUUGCCUCUGGGGUUUUUGUCUCACCUGCUGUUUGUGGUUUGCAGAGUCAUCUUCGGCAUGCUCAUCGCGCUGCCCAUCACGCUCGUGUACUACAUCCUGCUGGGGCUGUGAGAGAAAAGGCGCGACAAGGUUGCAGGCCGGUCACAGCUCAGCGAUGCCGGGUGGAUGGAGUAGGAGACAGGGGAGGAGACAAAGGGUGCUGCAGCGGCUGCGCGUGCGUGCAGCGCAGGUUGGCAUGCAUGGAGGAGAUUAAUCUGUAGGAGUACUAUUCUUAGCUGUAGAGAUUUAGAGGCCACAAAGAAAUGUUUGGGACAAGAGCUGGGCUGGAGGAGGGCGGCAAGGGCAUGUGCAAAAGCUUUGGGAUGGCACGGUUUGCAAAGCAUCCGGAUGCUCAGGUUAUGGGUUUGUGAUGGGAGGGUUUUCCAUGGAUGGUUGGGCUGGCCUUGCCUUGUAAAAUGGAUGCAUGUCACUUUGAUGGAAUGCUAGAGCUCUCUUGCUCAUCUUAGCCUAUACUACUUCGGAAUGGCAGCAUGCAUGUUUUUGUUAAUCCCAUGCUUCAGUAACAGUGUUUGACAUGAAAAUGGAGUGGUGGUAACUCCAGUAACCAUUUUCACAGCAUUCGACAUGAGCCAAUUUUGUCUCUAAUCCUUCCUGAAUAAACUCUUCUUGUGCAAUUGGGUUAGGAUAUGCUCAGGGCUUCAGAACAAAAUCCAUUGGGUGGGGAGAAAAAUACAAAUCCUAUACUCAGGUCUAAUGAUUAAAAGUGUAAAAGUUCUCUGGGAAGUAGAUGUCAUUAAUUUUUCAAAAGUAAUUCAAAAUGUAUUAUAUUUGUAGUGCUGUCUUACCUCAACUGAGUCUUGUUACCCUCUGUCCGGGCUUGGCUAGCUCUUCCAAAUCCUAAUUUAAUUUUCCCUUGUAACUUUGAAAGAAAGUACACAGACCACAUUACGCCAAGUUUCAUGUGUAUUGUUGGAGUGCUAUUGAAUAUGACCACAAAUUGUGUUUCACACUUUCACUAUUUUAAUUGUCUCGCUGAUUGUUAACAUCAUCCAAAGCGGACCGAACAAAUAGAUUCGUCUUCUUUUUAAUGGAAAAUAUGUUCUUAAGCGAUAUUAGAGGCCUAAAUUGUGGCUAGCAGCCGGCUUGAUUAUCCGCUCACACAAUCCUUUAGAGUGAAGCUAAUUGGUCUCAGAAAGAAAGACUCAGUGUGAACAUGUGUUGCCGAGAAUUGUUAUGAAGCGUGAACGGGGGUAUGUUUGAAUGUCAUAGAUUCUUAUCACAUAGCCAAUUUAGUCAUUCCUUUUCUUGUCACUUUUUACAAGACAUCCGAAGCACUAAAAGAUUCAAGAUAGCAACAUCAUAGGCUUUAGUUAGGAUUGCAUAUCUACAUAAGAUCCAUAAAUUAGGUUUCAAGAAGAAUAUCACUUAUUUCGGUAGUUGUAAUGUCUUCCAUUAAAUUCCUUGUGGAUUGACGAUGUACGGAAAUUAGAUAAACUAACGUAUCAACAUGAGCUUCUGCACGACUAGUAACUGUAAGGAACAUAGUUUCUAAAAAUAACAUGGAUUAAUAUGGAGUGCACAACUAGCUUGAUUGUCUACUCAAAAUUCAUCAACUACAACAGAGAGUGAAGCCAGUCGGUCUUGGAACAACUCAAUGUGAACUUAUAUGGUGCACUAUAUGUUGCUGAGAAUAGUUGUGAAGUGUGAACGGAGGGAUAUAUAUCAAUAUCAUAGCAUUCUCAAUCACUGAACUUAUCAGCCAUUCCUCUACUUAUAUCCCCCUCCUAUUCUUUAUGUAGGGGUAUUAGGAUUUGAAAAGUUCAAACUUUGUACUGACCAACAAUUAUUUAAAUUAUAUGCAUGCGUAGUGUCUAAAUCUUGUACCAAUAUAUUCAUAUUUCACAUAUCUUUGAUAUGAUAUUGAUUGUAAAAAUUGAUACUAUACUUUAAUAGAAAUUAAUGAUCAAAACUUUGUUCCUGAAGGCUUUUUCAAAUGCUAAUACGCCUUACAUAAAGAAAAAGGAGGGAGUAGCUUUUCAUGAGACAUCCUCACCGAUUUGUUGAAUCGCCAAAAGAUUCAAGAUAACAGCAUUAUACACGAGAGUUAUGAUUGCUUAUUGACAGUACCUUUCUAGAGAAUGUCAAUAAAUUCCAAAAUCCAUUUCGUCGCCCAGUAGCUAUGACCGUUUUUUUAAUCGGUACUGCAGUAGCUCUUUGGUUAGGUAUUGGAGCAACAUUACCCAUUGAUAAAUCCUUAAUUUUAGGUCUUUUUUAGGGAUUUUUCGAGUUGAUUCAUUCAACCGCGAAGCCCCCUGCAUGGGUAUCUAGGAAAUAGUUACUUCCAAGUGAAUCUUCCCUAGAUACCUAAAAUCUAUUUUAUUAUGAUCCAUUUCGCGAAAAUAUAGAUUGUGCCAAAGAUGCAAAAUUGCUUUUUUUCUUUUUAUUCUAACUCAAAAAAAAAGAGGAAAAAUUGCAAUAGAUUUAAAGCGAGAACUUGUUCUUAGGUAAAUCAGUUGGGAGAUGCUUCUCUAGAGUGUCCCAUAUCAGUUUUCCAUCUUCCAUACGAAAACUGUAUCUCGAUAAGAAUCAUAUGUUAGGUUUCACGAAGUGUAUAAUUUAUUGUGGUAGUUGCAGUGUCCUCCACUAAAUUCCUUAACACCCCGUUUGGAUGUAGAUAUUGAACCCUAGAAUUCGAAAUUAGAAUUAGUUAUAUCCAAUAUUAGCUGUUUGGAUGGUUUAGACAUUGGUAUUAGAAACUGGCACCAAUAGCAAGCGGUAUUCAGGGGGCUGGCUUACCCCUCCCCACAAUUCCGACCCUCCCACUCCGUAUUCAAUGGCAAUCAUUUCCCCAUCAUCCCUCCACGUCUCCUCCGCCGUGCUGGACCCUGCUUCCCCCUCUCCUUCCUCCACAGCACUGCCCUGCGAUCCUCCUCCGAAGCGCUAGCCCUGCGCAGCAGCGCUGGACGCUGCUUCGCCCUCCCCUUCGAUGCCGUGCUGGACGCCGGUGCGCCCUCCCCUGAGGUGCCGCCGCGUCGGACGCCGGUUCACCUCCCCUCCAGUGCCACCGUGGUCCUCCGCUGCAGCGCCGGCCCUGCGCAGCCAUACCGGACGGUGCUCUACCCUCCCCUCCGCUGCCGCCAUGCCGGACGCCGGUCCACCCUCCCCUCCGCUGCCGCCGCGCUGGAUGCCGAUCAACCCUCGGCCUUCCCCUCUGCUGCCAUCGCGCUGGACGCUGGUCCGCCCUUCCCUCCAGUGCCGCCGCGCCGAACACCCUUCUGCCCUCCCCUCCGAUGCCACCAAGCCGGAUGUUGCUCUGCCACGACGCCUCCUCUGCAACGCCGCCCCGUUCGCCGCCGAGAUGGACACUGCUUCGCCGCGUUCUUCCUCCCGGGCGGCCCCUGCGCCCCACGCCGCCCUGAGCUCCGCCGCCUUGAGGCCAUCUACUCGUGGCAAUUCCAAUUCUACCGUAUGCACAUCUAAACACGAAUCAGUAUUUGCUUCCCAAUUGAAUUCCAUCUGGCAAAUUCAUCUACAUCCAAACAAUAGUUUUGGUAUUGAACCCAUUUCUAAAGCUAGCCUGCAUUGAUGUUGAACCGAAUUCAAUAUCAAGCUCUUCAAUAUCGAUAUCAAAAUGGAUCCUAAGCUAGUUUGAUGAUGAUGCCCAGAAAUUAGAUAAAUAAAAAUAUCCAUGAGAUUGUUGGAAUAAUGAAUCAGUCGAUCGACAUUUAUAGCCAUAAACCCUAUUUAUUUUAGCUUAUGGCCAAUUUUGAAGGCUCAAUUUUAAGAAAUUCAAAAGUCAGAGGACUCCUAAAAUCCAGAAUUGAGAAUCCGUAAUCAGCUGGAUUCUCGAUUCUCGAUUCUGGGAUCACCUGACUUUUGAAUUUCCUAAAAUAGAGCCUUUAAAAUUGGCCUUAAGCUGAAACAAACGGGACAAUAGGAUCAUAUAUUAACUGAGUACAGAUACGGAUUUGGAUAUUCUCGAAUACAAAUGCAAAACGGAUGCCUUGGAUUCGGAUUUGAAUUUGGAUAUUUACUCGAUAUAUAGGAUAACAUUUAGCUAUUUUCUUUAUUGGUAGUUUUAGAAUAUAAAAUUAUUAUUAUGUACAAACUAAAGUAUGACAAUAUAACAAAGAUAGCUAGGUAAAAAAUAGCUUAUUUAUCAACAAAUAUUUUAAUAAUAAAUACAUAAAAAUAAAACUAGAAAUAGAAAUAUAUUUUUAAUAAAUAUAUAAACAAUUUUUAUUAAUAAAUAAUAAAAAUUAUAAAAGUAAUUUCGCCUAUAAAUAGAUAAAACAGAAUCUUCUUAUAUCUUUAUUACAAAAAUUAAUAAUAUUGGUUAUAGAAAAUAAAUAUAAUUUUUUAAAUAGUUUUAUUGGAAACGGAUAUGGAUAGUGUUCGAUAUUGUCGAAUACGGAUGUGGAAUCGGAUAGAGAAAAACAAUAAAAAUCGAUAUUAAAUUCGAAUACGACCAUAUUGAUAUUCAAGCGAAUAUGAAUAUCGGAUAUUUCGGAUAUCCGCGUUAAUAUUUCCAUCCCUAUUCAUGUAGCUGCCCACAACCGCAGAAUUCGGUCGCUACGGGCAGUCCCAGCACCUCUACUUGUCUACUUGCAUCUUGAGCUUCACUAAUGUCUGUGGCAGUUUAGGAACGUCCAGUGCCGGCGGAACCCCACACCCCCAUUCAUUCGGUACCCAGAGAGAGCCACUACGCGUGCAAUGUGGGAUUCGACUUGGACGGCUCCGGCGUAUCCAACUACAGGCCGGGCCCUCGGCGCUUCCCGCUACGGGAUCCCGUACUACCCCUCGCUGUCGGACUCCCAGAGGACGGUUGGUACAACGAACCGAUGGCAGCCGGAGUUCUAUGCCAAGUUCCCAACCGAUUUUUCUUCAAAAAAAAAGUUGCCAACCGAUACGUUUCCCUUCCCCUGAACUCAUACAGGAGUAGUAUGCGAUUAUUCAGGUACCAAUCCUUUGCUUCCUAGCUGCUCCGUGCUAACAACUGCUGGGUACCUAAACCUUGAAGACCCCGGCAGCAUUCGUUAACAAAAAACGGAGCAGCGAUUUCCUGGGACGCUGUCGGCCGGUGGUGCGUACGACGAGGAGACAUGUACGCGUACGAGACGCAGCUUUUUGGUAUCAGCAGCCAACCGGGGCGAAUGAUGGUGGGUUCUCUCCAAAAAAGAUGACGGGAAAGGGGGGCCGAGCCGCGCAAUGAUUCCUCAUGAGAACGGGGGAGAGCUUGGCGCCACCAAAAGUGCCCGCAGGUUCGUCAGGCGUCGCACGGAAAUGUGUUGUUGCUCAGGUUCCUGCGUUGGUCGUCGAUCGAUCGCUACGAAACUUUUUUAUUUGUGAUCUCAAAGGGAUACAGUUUUCUUUUUUAUCUCAAAGGGAUGACGGAUAUACUACGACAUGGUGGCUCUGCCAUCUGGUGCGUGUGUGCAGCAGGGUCUCGGAAAAGGCUAGUUAGCUAGUGGCGAUUUGUUUACGGAGCAAGUUUUGAAGGAGGGCAGUGGGUUUGCGUUUUAGCAAACCAAUCAUGGAGACGGACGCCGCAACCAUGCUAACCCUGUACUUGCGUGGCUGCUCUAGGUUACAUGUCUAUUUCCAGGCCUAUCAUUACGCGGACUAAUUGUAGUAUAAAGUACUCCAGCCAAGUACUACCUGCUAGCUCAACCCUCCAAAUAAUGCAAGCAGCAUCCACUACUUGCCAUGCGCCCAUGCCACCUUUUUUUUCUGGAGUACAAUGUGCAACUUCUCCUGUGCUACCAGUAGUAGUUCAGUAACAGUCUAUGGAUCUGACCGACCACGCAAAUUCUCGUUCUGCAGUGAUGCAGACAGUGCUAAACAUGCGAUGCAUUGCACGGACGCAUCAUGCCGGCGUCUCGGCGUUCUCUCAUUCUCCGGCCUGGCCUCCCCCCAGCUGCAGGCGCGGCGGCAUUGGUCACAGUGCCUGCAGACGAGCCUGGUCGAUCGGGGCGCCAGCGAUGAUGGCUUGGCCGCUUUGGAGGUCGCGGCGGCCGGCAUGCAGUGGCAUGGAAAGGCAGCGGGGCGCGCAUGAUGGUGCCCCCGCGCGGAGGGGCACCGCGGGAUGGCCGCCCAGGCGGCCACUCAUCACGGCCACCGGGCGGGCGCGCGCGCGGGGCCAGGCCACCCCGCCCGCACCGCACGGACCACGGGUGCCACGCGAAUAAACAACCCGAAAAGGCACGGGGCUGGGCUGCCGCCUGCCGCGCCGCGCGUGGCACCUGGCACCCCGGCGUGGGGCGGGGCGCCGGGCGGGCGGCCGAGCACUAGCCGCGGUUGGGUUCGAGCGCGCGCGGGCGGGCGUAGGGCAGCGGCUUUCGGUUGGCACCAUCCCUUGCCUCGCCGCGCGGGGGGGGGGGGGGGGGGGGUGCGGGGCGCGGGAUGGGAGGAAGGAGAGAGGGGGUGCGUGCGCGGCGCGGUCGCGGGCUCGCGGCCCCCGCGCGUGGCGUGGUUCAGCCAGGCCGCCCUGCCUGCAUGCCGGGCCGGCAUCUGAGCUGGUGCGCCGGCCCCUCGCCUGCCGGCCUGCCCGCCCGCCCUCCCGCGCAGUGGCGCGCGUGUGGGGGUGUCGCGCUUGCGCCGGCCGGCCGCUGCCACAGCACGUCGUCGCAGGUGCCGCGGGUAGCGUGCCGGGUCGGCUCGCAAAACCAGUGGCUACCGUACAGCAUUAGUCCUGGACUUGCUCAUCCGAUGAGUCUCAUCGUCUCUCCCACCCGUCCCUCACCCUUUUCCCUUUGGCUUCGUCACGGCGACUCGAAGAUAGGGCGUGCUAGCUCCACUACCGCCUGCUUUUCAUCUCGACACCAUGAGACCGGCUCUGAACGAGCUCUGUGACGGUGGACACGCAUCAACGGCUUGCUGCCGAUCGUGCGUGCCCGAUCGGCCGACCUUUCCGCAGGCAACUCGAAUGGAACUCGGAGGAAUCGGAGCUCGCGCGGUGCAGAGCGUGACAGCGUCUCACUCAUACUAGUGGACGCCCAACUGGAAAGCUCGGGCCAGCAUCCCGUAGCAGGAUAUGCAGCGAAGGAACCGGAGAUUCUUGGACAUCCUCUGAAUCUUUACCAUCACCAGGCCAGUCCCUCUAGUCCAAAGAGGGACGGCACAGCGACGCGCGUGGCGAAGCCCUUUGUUCCAGGAGGCUGGAUCGCCGCUGAGGAGCCAAUGGGGGCGGCGAUUCAUGCGCGGCGCCACCCUUUCCUACCGCCCUGGCAAAAGCGACGCCGCUUUUGCCGUCACCGCAUCUGCUUUCGACCACAUGCCCGCCGUGCCGGCCUGACCUGACCGUCCGGCGGCAAUCGAGCGCCUGCCUGAAUCUUUCUCCGCUCCACUUGGCCCCGGCCCAGAAUGCGAGCGAGCAGUGUAUGCGAAUCGAAUCAGGACCCGACGCGACCUGCAUCCACUCCCCUAGCUUUGUUCUCGCUGUGCCGGCCGGCUAGAGCACGCACGCAACGCUCGUACGAGGAAAAAGCUUCUUCACGGCAUGGCGAGGCCGGUCGAGGGAGGGAGGCAAAGCAGCCGUUCCCGUGGAUACCAGGUGCCGAGGUUCCGUCCGUGUCCUUCCGAAUGAAAAAUCUUGGAUCCGUCGCCAUCGAUCCGGAGAUUCGACGGGCGAUGCCGGUACCCCCCGGAGUCCGAGGACGGAGCACUUUAGCCUUUGGGAGAUGCUGCACUGUUGGGUUCAUGAUUCAUGGGCAUCGAUGCAGCCGCCGUGGCCGUUGGUUGGUGCACAUGGAAGGCUUGUUGGAGUUGGAAAGUGGCAUCCUCUCUCUGCGUUGAUAGUCGAUACCCGGAUGGAGGUGGGGUCAAAAGGGGAACGGCAUGAGCUCAAAGGUUGAUUUUGGGUGUGUUCAUUUCCUUCCCUCUAAAGUUUAGAUCCAUCACAUCAAUUUUUUUUUUGCUAUUUAGAAGUAUUAAAUAAAAUCUGUUUAUAAAACUUUUUGCACAGACGGGUGUUAAUUCGCGAGACAAAUUUAAUGAGCCUAAUUAAUCCAUAAUUUGGCACAGUGAUGCUACAGUAAUUAUCCGCUAAUCAUGGACUAAUAUACCUUAUUAGAUUCGUCUCGUGAAUUAGCCCUGUGGUUCUGCAAUUAGUUUUGUAAUUAGACUUUAUUUAAUACUUAUAAAUAAUAAGAUUCUCUUUGAUGUGACACUUCUAAACUUUAGACCCUAAGAAACGAACACACCCUUUUAACAAAGAACAAAAAAAUGUAAGUGAACGGCAUGAGCUCAGAGGUUGAUUUUCUUUUUAAAAAAAUGUAAGUGCAAAUCCGAAAGUGGGUUAUUAGACUUCUCGAGUGGGAAGAUGAAAGGAAAUUGAGUUGAGGAUUUGGCUUUGUUUUUCCUCUUGGUUAUAUGAAUCCCUACUGGUUAUAUGAAUGAAUUGGAAUGCACUGUAUUUCUUUUAAAUAUUGAGAUCACUAACCCAUGACUAUUAUGAGAGAUCAGUUUGUUUUCGUUACGUGUGAGAAUUAUGUCACUUUGCUGCAUGGAAAGUGCAGGUGAUACUGUAUCUUAUCCAUCUGGAGGAUGAUGUUCCUAAACCCUGGAUCAAACUUCCAAUAAACUUUAACUGUAUCCUCAUGACUUGGCAUUUAAAUGGGUAACACAUGGUGUUUUCUGGAUCAGUUAGUUUCAUGUCAUGCUGUUUUAGUUUAUUUUGAUGACUUUUGUGUUGACUAGUAGCUCGAAACAGCACGUGGAAGUUACGUCCCUGCCCGCAAGACAUGAAUAUGAACGAAACAUCUUUGACAAUUCAAUGAAACCUGGACGUUCGAAGCUACCGCCGACUGCUAUCCUGAUCUCGGACGGUCUCGCACAUGAUCUGCGCCAGGGGAAUCGGAGCAUGACAUCCACUAGGCACCAUGCAUCAUGAUCUGAUGAUGAUGAUCCGGUGAUGUGCCGUGUGCAGCAGGGCGUGCAUGCAAUGCACCUUUCCAUGUCGAUGAUCUGCUGCCCGUUUCCUCCUGUCAGCUUCCAUUCUGGCAGCACAGCCAAACUGUUGCCCGGCCAGUGGACCGACAUUUAAGCGGCCCUGCGCGUAUGGCAGCUUCGUUCCCACCCGCGCGUGAGCUGCCAAAGCAUGGGGAGGCCGCCUGCACCUGUUGGAUCGCCGGCGAGAGAAGGCAAGCGGAUCAAACACCCAUCCCCGGCGAGCACUGGUCGGCCCGGCCAAUCGGCCACGUCCGUCCGUGCAGGCGCCUACGAGGGAGGCGGCUGCGCUGCACUGCUGCCCCCAUCCUCCGUACCAACUCGCGAUCGCGAUCACGACCGCGUGGAGGUCGGCGGCAAGCGGGCGGGCCGCGACGCGAUCGGCCAUGUCGCGCGGCAGUGCCUGAACGCGAUGCGGCGUCCGGACGCGCCCGGCCUCGUGCGCCCGCGGCAUCGACCGCCACGCCCGCGCGCGUCCAGAACGUGCCCCCUUGACGUGGACGGGGAGGCGCCUCGACGUGACGGAUCGGGUCCCGGCGCGGAUGGCGCGCGAGCAGCGGCCGGAUCGAGCUCGAUCGCAAGCUAGCCCGUGCCGGCUUCCUCCCGCACGACAGGACGCCAUGGGCCGCCGGUGCCGCGGGAAACGACGCGGCCGGGACAUGGUGGGGGCGGCAAGUGAAGUGAUCCGCGCGGUCCCUUCUAUCCAUCUCGUCGCCCCCAUACCCCCGUCGCCGUCCUACCCCCCCGCCGGCACUGUCGCGAAGCGGCGGAGCAGCGGCGCGCCUCCCCGGCGUCGUCGUCGAUCGCCGCAAGCGGACGAGCGGGAGGCCGGAUGCGCCCAUGGCAUGGAGCUGCGGCGCCGUGGCAGGGCCGCUGGUUUGGUGUGCCCGCCUGCCCGGCCUGCCACGCCCGGCGCCCCUAGCUCGUGGCGGUUUGGACGCGCGCGACGCGAGUGCAAUCGAGGCGGGCGGGGACGGGGCCCGUGCGGGAGCAGCGGUUUGAGGGGCACGCGAGGGGCUGGGGCCGCCGGUGCCCGGCCCGCGGCCGACCGGGCAGCGGUUGAUUGGAGGGGAGGGCAGGCGGGCCGAGGGCCGCGGUGCUACUGGUACUUCGGCUGUCUAGCUGUAGCCUCCCUUUCCCUUUGCCUUCCUAUUGGCCCGGGGUGGAUGUACCGUCUGCCUCUGCAAGCUCCAAGGUCAAGUCGGCAGGGAACAUGUUCAGAAAAGGAGAGCUGGAAUGCCACAGUGUGCUCAUCGCUUGCAGACCUCAGAAUCAGAAUGGCAGAAACGCCUGACGUGCCUGGCAUUGAUGGCCUCAUGGGGGACCCGGGCACCUUUCCACCGUCCGGAACGGCGCGCGCCGGCACGGUGAUCCGACGGUCAGGUGAACGCCGUAAAAACAGCUGGCCGUCGCGGUCGGGCACGGCGGCGGCGUACCUCUCCAACCAGCCAGCGCGCCGCCCGCUCGGACGCACGGCGACGGCCGGCCUCGUGCGACGCCAUCACGCCGCGCUCCCGUGGGGCAGACACCGAAUUGAAUGUCCCGCGUCACGACACUCCGGCCGCCGCCGCAGCGUUUCGACGAGCUUCUCUCUCCGCUCUGCUCUGCUCACCCGGCGUUAAUGCGGCAUGGCGAGCGCCGGAUGCGCCCGUGCGCGAGGUCGCCGCCGCACUGCUCGCCCGUGCCCGAGCAACAGUGGAAUUCCGGCAGGAGGGAACAGGAGCGCGGCCUCGCCGCCGGUGCCAGCGAGGGGCGUCUCGCGACCGGGGUACAGUGCCCCAGGAACGGCACCCCCAGUUCCCCACUGACACCGGGGAAUUUCGGCAGCGAUCGAUGGCAUCGGGCCAUGUGCGCGGGUGUCUGAAUCCCACGGGAAAGGGACGCGACGGGAGCGGCCUACAGUUUUGCACAGAAGGCGCCCAUGCCCCCUGCCCAUGCGAUGAGGCCGCCGCCGAUCUCAGGUUCCGCGCGCCGUGCUCACCCGAGCUUCCCUGGAAACGGACGGCGACGGCUUCCGGCGUCCGUGGCGCGUCGCCGUCUGCCGGGCAAAGCGUCCAUGCCGAGCCCCCUUGAUUUUCAGGCGUACGGUGCCGUCACGCAAGGUGCAACCUCGCGUCGCGGCGGCACAAGGGAAGACGAGCAUAGGGGACCAUCAUGUCAUGUGGCUUGCACAGCGGUCGCGUUAUCAGAGAGUUUCUGGCACUGAUAAAAUUCCUUUUUGUAUGCCGUCAUGGCACCUGUGGGACGUGAGAACGCACGAGCUUGGACGUGAUCUCUUCGGCGGAAAGCGAGAUGCUCCAUGGGGAUGCUCAAUCAAUGGAAAAACUCGGCGAUCAAAUCAAUCCAUGGUAUGGAACCUCGACGAUCAAUCGCGUGACGUGUGACACGUUCCCGGGGGGCGCCGAUUUCCCCACCUGCACCCGAUUCUUACCGAGACGCCCGGUGAUCCAACAAGAACAACCGCUAGCGAGCUAGAAGCUCAACAGAAGCAAGCAAGACGAUUGAUGGAAACGCAGCAACAUGAGACUGCACACGAACGAACGUGACGGAACAGUAUGGCAACUCGAAACGCGGCGCUCUGCUGGUUGCCAGUGCGGUGCACGAUGGGAGCACCGGAGCGCAUCCGUUGAUCCCGGCUCGCUUCCACAACAUGCCUGGAUGCAACACGCGCGCGGCCCGUCACACGAGCCAAACCCGGCAGAACAAACCGGAGGCAUCAGGUGUUGCGAGCUUUGGUGUGCGCGAAAGAGGCGCAGAAUCGUUGUUGUACGCAGCGAAAGAAGGGCGUGCGCAGGUGAACUGACGUAAGGGCUGUUUGGAGCAUCGCCUAACCCGCCACGGCGCGCCACACUUUUUCCGCCGCAGGUGUGGCGGCUGUUUUGAGCGCCAUAAGUUAGGCACGCUGUGGCGGGUUAGGCGGCACUCCAAACAGCCCUGUAAACCGCGCCUCGCACCACCCAGAAAGAAAAAAAAAAUGCGAAGCGGCGAGUGGAGACGCAGGACGACGCACCAUCCUCCCCAGACGGCCACUACCUCCAGUAACGUUGCGAAAACAUAAUUGUGACAAGUGACCAGCGACGACCGACGCACAUGUAACAAAAGAGAAAAGGAACAUAGCAAGCAUCCUUUCGAGAUAUCACCUUAUCUUAUGUGCGGGCACUCUUUUGGUCGAGCUGAUGCGAAGGCCGGAGUUGAGAGCGAACGAACCUGCUUACAUGGAACGCACACCGGGUUCCUUUGGCGUCAACUCUGCGCAGAUCUCAGGCUUGUGAUAAGCAGUAGUCAGAUCAGAGAGAUAUGAACAAUCCACAUGCCAAACCUCUGCUGCUAUUGUGUUUCCCAUGCAUCACCUACCACGGGCAUAAGCGUGACGGUUGGAACUUCCACGCCUCAAAUCAUGUAUGCUGAGUGCAAAGCUCUUGUCAAUCACUGCAGGUUCAGUGUCCCAAGUGUUGCAGAAACAGUGACGCUUCAAUGAACGCAUGCAAACGUUUGGAUAAAUAUAUUUGGAGGUUUGUAGCUUGAAAUCAGCCGAAAGGUAUCACUUUUGGUGGGACCUUGGAUUAGGAUGGGCCAAAUGAUUGUAACCUUGGCUCCAACAUUCAGUGUUUCCGCAAUUGCAUCCUUAAAUCACAAGGAACGGCCAUAAGUACGUAAUGAAACGGGUAAUUCUUUGUUUAAUCUUUCAUGAUUUCACCAAGAGGUUGGUCAGCACCACUGAUCAUUGGUUUGGAAUGUUUGUUAAACAAACGUUGCUAUUGUGCAUUAAACAACUACACAACAACUCCCCUUUGUUCAACAAAAUGGAGGUCGACAAUAAUGGUCAAUUCCAUGAGAGAUCUCUGAUUUUUAUUGACAUUGUCUAUGUCACACAGGAAGCAAAGGAGAUCAGAUAUGAAUAGCUUGCAUGCUAUGCUCUGGAAAAUUCCAAUAAAAACCCAACACCUUUCAUGUACAGACUUAAUUAACACAUGCGACGGACCUGUGCAUCUAGAUCCUCUGAUAGCCACGUCUCUCCUAAUACAAAAGAAACAUAACAUCACAUGAUAAGCCAUUUGGUACAAGCCAAUUAGCCAAAACAGCAUGUCUCUAUUAAAAUCAGUUAUACAUCACGUGAAACUGAUUUAAGCAAAGAAUGACAUCACAUAUCUCUAUUGCAAACAGCAGAAUGGUAGAUUCUCACUUUCCAACAGACAUUCACUACCAGCUCAGAUGGAGUGUCAACUGGCAGGGUCCAUUGAGAAGGAUACAGAAGAUAGUACUGUGAUAACUGACUUGGGGAAAUAGAAAUAUCUUGUGGGUUAUGGUUAAAUGCAGACAUGUUUGCACACAACCAAACUUUACUUUGGUCCCAAAAAAAAAAAUCAAACCUUACUUUAACAACUAAAAUUGGAUGAUCAUAAUAGCAAAAUAUUAUGUGAUGGUCUGGCUGCGAUGAUAUUAUUCAGCAUCAUCAAAGAAGCCAAACAUCAUGAUGUUACUGUCUUCUAUUUAGUUUCUACAUAUGAAUAAGUUGAGCUGACGCCAAAGUUCAGAAAGGGAAAGCAGUAUGAACUAUGACGAUAUAUUGGUUGCUGGGCUUGGUUUAGGAGGCCCAUAACAAGUUCACAACAGUUGCAGAGGUGCCACUAGCUUCUAGCCUAACGUAAUUUAGAAAUUAAAGGCCAAAGACUAAACCGCUACACAAAAAUUUGGCCAUCGUUAAGCGGGGGAAUAACUACUAUUGGAGUACUCUUAACCAUCAACAACAGAUAUUAAUGUUGUAUAAGCAAGUAGCAGAAAUGCCCGCCCAAUAACAUUAUAGACUGUUCGCUACAUAUGUUUUUCCUCAAAAAUGUAUUUUACACAUAAGAUUAAAUAUUGUUUUUGCAUAUAAUUAGCCAAUAACAAGCCUGCCUCCAUACUUCUAGUUUUAUGACAUAGGUAUGAACCGUGCAUCCUAUCAUCAUUAUUACCACAAAAGCAAUAGCAGAACAAGCAAAUCUAGACAUGCAAAUGUUCUUUCUUCUACAACGAGAAUAUAUAUAUGCAGUUUACCUAAACUUGUUACUUUACAAAUGUGAUUUAACCCAUGACUUUUGGGCGCCAUCCAGCAAUUACAUCCUCUUGCAGAGCUCGAGUUUUGACAAAAGAAUCCAUUGAGAAAAUUGACUGCAAAAGAAAAUUCAAAUGUUCCAGUAAGGAUAGAGUGCCCAAGGCCAACUCCUUAGGAAGAUGUCAAACAAAUGGAAGAGAUAAAGUAAACCAUAUGAAAUGAUAUCUAGCUGCAAAAACAUUUUAUUCUGGAACAAUAGAUGGCUUCAUGGGCAGCAGAUCAUGGAUCUUGUGCCCCGUCCCUUUCCCUGGUGCCCAAAGGAAAAGCAAAUAAACAUAUUGUUCUAGAAGCUCUCACAGAGAACACAUGGAUUUCCGAUUUCUGAGCUACAACGGGCACUCUCGCUGAGGGUUAUUGCUAAAUUCCUUGAGCUACAGGACGCCCUUGCUAAAGUGGUGUUGUGUGGCGUUUCUCCGUCUCUGGUCAAUAUACAGCUGAGUCAAACUAUGAAGGGGUUUUCCCCAGGGCUCUAUUAUUUUUAAACCUGGGAGCGCAUUUGGAAAUCCUGGGAGCCAGGCAAGUGCCGUUUCUUCAUGUGGCUGGUCGCACAUAACAAGAGCUGGACCGCUGAUCGACUUGCUAAAUGGGGCCAGAUGCACCCUGAUCGCUAUCCACUUUGUGACCAAUAGGCAGAGUUGAUUAAUCACCUACCGGUCGCUCAUGUUUUUGCUCAUCAAUUUUGGUUCGACUUAUGCAAAAGGUGGCUUUACAUAGCCUUUCUCCGCAGCCUGGAGAACUCUCCUUUGAUGAUUGGUGGGCUAAAGUUUCUGCACAGGUCGAUGGCCAAGUGCGGCAGGAUCUCAACUCCAUCGCCAUCUUAGGGGCUUGGUCAAUUUGGAAUCAUAGGAACAGAUGUGUCUUUAUGGAGCCUCUCCAAGCCUGGUUGGGGCCUUGAUGUUUGCUAGUGAUGAGAUGAAUUUGUGGUGUUUGUCUGGGGCUAGAAGUAUCUCUCACCUAAUAGCCCUAGCAUCUGAAGGAGGUUAGAUUCUUUGGCCAAGAUUGUUCUUGUUUUAUAGUCAUGGGCGUGAAACCUAAGAAUCUCUGGGGUGUGUGGGUGUGUUGUAAGGGUUCUACCCUUGCUCUACUUCUUAUUUAAUAUAACAAUACACAGCUAUCCUGCGUGUUCAAGGAAAAAAAAUAUCUAGCAGCAAAAAGUACUAUGCUCUCAUGCCUUGCUAAUACUUCUAUAGGAGUUCAUGGUGAUUUCCAGUGGUGUAUGUUGCAUUAUGCAUGCAACAUAAGAAUAACCAAUUUGCUGCUAUUUAAGAACUGGGAUAGUCGAGUUAAAAUGGACUUGGAUUCAUGAGUCAUCUCUUAAGCUCCCCAAUCGCCCACAAAAUAGUCAGCUUCUUUUUUCACUCCCACAAUAUGUUUCUUCAAACAUGAACAUAUGAACUACACAGCACAAAAAUUUCAUGCAACUGGUAGAGCACUUGUGUCUGCUGUUUAGGCGAAGGACAGAAAGGAGAAAUUAAUUGAACCUAGAACAGCUACCCUAGUUCCAUGUUCCUUGGAUCGACCUCAGGUUCAAGUACAGGUCAGUCUUAAAGAAAAACCAAGUACCAAAAAGACGAGAACAAAGUUUCUUGCACAAAAGAUGACAAUGUACCUUCAUGUAUUGUUUUACAUGUGAAAGUGAAUCCAGAACAGACCAAUUCUUGUAGUGACCCAGAGCUAUCUCCAUGUGAUAUAGUUUAGGAGCCAGAGAGAGAUCAGCAGCAGAAAUUGCUCCUCCAUUAAUAAAUGGACCCUGGACCAAACAGCAUCUCAGAAUAAGAACAUAGAUAAUUUCAGAUGAAGUACACAGAAAUGGAUAUUAAGUUAUUAAAUAAUAAAGCAUACUCUAAUCAUUAAACCCACAUAAAAGGGUUCUUGUGGAGUAAACAACACAUUUCACACAAACUGAAUGUAAUUUAAGGUUUUAUAUAACAAAUUCAUCUUAGCUGAUAAAACUUGCUAGACUGAAAUUGAGUUAAUUAACAAACACUCAAGGCUGUUCUACUUCUAAUUACUAAUGGUUCGCAAAUGAUAUCAUGAUAUUCCAUAUUUGAAAUUUAACAGAUCUAUAUAAGAACUGAUGUUAUAUUAAACAAACUGAGAACCAUGAAGUGAUGCAUUUGGUUUAUUGAAAUCUAAAAUAGCCUAACAUGUGCAAAAGGUAACUUUUGCAAUCACUGGAGGGCAAACUACAGUUUAGAUGACCAAUAAUUCUAAGGAACCAUACAAUUGUAAGUAAUUCAGGAUUAGUAGUCAGUUUUUUCCUAACUUCGAGCAUGCACUGAAACAAGUCAUUUUAGAAGCCAAAUUUUGCAGCUGGUAUCAUUGGUCACAAUGUAGCUUUAACCAUUUUAGCAUGUAAUGCAGCAGAAUAUGAAGCAAUAUUAGUGUCAUGUCAGGGUGGCAACGGGGUGGGGCAGGUUGGGGACACAGCUCCCGUCCCCGCUCCGAUCCCCGAGUCUUGUUCCCCGCCCCGGCCCCGAUACGCUCAACGGGGGGAAAUCCGUCCCCGACCCCAGCCCCGAUGGAUCCCCGGUCCCUGCGGGGCCCCGCGGGGGAAGGUGCCUCGACUCUCGAGGACGACCGGCGAGGAGCAACGAGGAGGCUAGCGGCACGGGCGUGAGGAGGCUGGCGGCGCGAGGAGCAGCAACGGGAUGGCCGGCGAGGCGCAACGAGGGCGCGGGCGGCGCGGAGGCUGGUGGCACGAGGAGCAGCGUGGACGUGGAGCAGCGGGCAGCGCGGAAGCCGGUGGUGCGAGGAGCGGCGAGGGGACGGCCGGCGAGGGCGCGAGAAGGCUGGCAAGGCGAGGGCGCGGUGACUGCUGGUGGCUGGUGGCGGCCGCCGCCUGUUUGCUGCAGUGAGGAGCGGGGUGGGUGGUGAUGGGGAGGAGGAUGAUGAGCUGAGGACGGGGCGCAUUAGAUACAUGGGACAUGAAAAUUUUGGAUAUAAGAUGUCAAAAUGUGCACCAGCUGUUGGGACUCGAGAGGGAUGGCCACACAUAAGCCAAAAAAAAGGGAAAGGAAAGAAAGAAAAGGGGCUACACAUAGUAUAUUUUUUUCAAUGCCUGUGACCAAACACAUGGUAUAAUUCAUGCAACACUGAACAGGGGUUUCUGAAAUGAGUAUGGAUAUGGCUAGUAGAAGGGCCUAUAGAGAUUAGGUAAUAUUGCAGCUCAUAAAACCAUGGUACUAGUUGGAAGCAGUCAUGUAACAUUACAAUUGACACUAACCCACUUACAUUAUCCUUUAGAUAACUAUCAAAUGAAGUCAGCUCAUCAAGUAGUGCCUGUUCUGUUCCAUCACUUGGAUCUUUGCUUUUGAGGAAACCGAUGAAGGUGGAAAAUAUUUUUGACCCUCUGCAAUGAAAUUUAUUGAAAAUAGUUAUGAUGCCGGUCCUAGCAUUACUGCCAAGUAUUAACAAAACAAAAGGAAGCUACCAAAGUUGUAGAUAACUCCAAGGUACAAAUCAAACAACAUAUCAUGUAGGAUGUGCCAAUACAAACACUGAUUUAAUGGAUAAAUACCAGGUCAAUUAGUCACAAUUUAUGGACAAUCACAAAGAAUGGCUACAGCACAGUUACAUUAGGUGAUGCAGAAAGAUGAAACGUAAUAUUUUGUAUGGUUAGCCAUACAUAGAUGCUCUUAAAAAAGAAUGAAACAGAUAAGGGCAGAAGAGAGGAAUUAACACAAAAUAUGCAUGGAUGGCUCACCAUUCAAAACAAUAGUGCUGAACAGAGAGCCCUUGCAAGAAGGUAAAACAGGGUCAUUCAUUAGGGCACUGGAAAAAUCACAUACAUUGAAGCUUUGUCUGCUGGAGUUGCCAAGGGUGGUUCAGGGUACUUCUCCUCUAAUGCUUGUGUUAUAACAUCGGAAUCAGCGAUCCAUUUGUCCUCAAGCUUCACAAUAGGCACCUUACCUUCUGGAUUGAUUUCAAAUAACCUGACAAAGCAACACAAGAAUGGCGAUUCAGGGCCAUCGAACAAUGAAGCCGAGAAACAUCCACUAAUAAUCUAAAUUCAGAAAGGUUAGUCUCAAAUUUCAGAGAGGUACCAAUCUGGUUUAUUAGCUAGAUCAACUAGCUUUAGAUUAUAUGGCAGAUGCUUCUCCUCUAUUGUCAACAAAACCCUUUGUGUGAAUGGACCUGUGGUCAACAUGUGAAAUAAAUGACAGUGUUUCAACAAUCAGACCAUAAAAACUUGCAAUAGCCAUAAGUUAUGGUUACACUUCUAACUUCAGUGAAAACAUGAUUCACACUCUUCCAUUCUGGGUAAUAUCAAUGCUGCCCACCUGUUUUUCUUUAGUAAUUAGUAUCAAUCAGAUGUUAAUAUUAAAGUGACGUUGCAAACAUUUAGUUAGAUUAAUGAAGUCACUAUUAAUAUGAUAAAUGGUGUUCCCUUGAAUACUAUGAUCUGUAAUAUGCAACUGGUAAUUCCCCUGCUCGAGCUAAACAUGUAGUAGAAACUGCAGAGCAACUUUUGCUAUUAGCAGGCAAAUGUAGAUUAGAAAAACGAUAAAACCUAGUUUAGUUUAUUUCUGAAUUCCGAGUGCUGAUAAUUCUAUCACAGGAACAGGUAAUCAAUUGAAGCUAAUACUCCCAGUAUAAAGCAUUUUUAUUCUACACAGAAAAGGAGAAGUUUCACUCUUAGUGUGAUCAUCACAUACUAUAUUUUAUCAAUCCUUAUAAAUGGUGUAAACUCACAACAAAAAUUAUCAAAAACGGAUCACAAUGCUAAGUUAUUAAAACUUAAGCAUAAAGAGAACAAAGCAUGUACCAAAUUCAAAGCCCAAAACUUUUUUUUUCCCAUAAACACUUAAACAGAUUAUACGGUCGUGGAAAACUUAAAGAAGGCAGCACAGGAGGGUGGAAGCAGCAUUUAAAUUAAUUAAGAAAUCGAACUCCAAAGAUCACCUUAACAUGUCCAUCUCUUAAAACACUACAACAAUAUUAACACCCACUGGCUCCAAACGCUGACGAAACAAAUAAAUCAACCUUCUCAAAUGAAAAUUGAUCAUAAAAAUACACCUUGGGAUUUUGCAACGCAGUAUGGUUGGCUACAUGAUUCACAGAACUUGCACGGUUUAUUUUGUUAUGUAGAUGAUGGCUCGAACAAGGACACCAAGUAAACACAUUUUGUUGCAAAUUGGAUAAGUGCAUAUUGGUGGAUGUUUUUUUCCUUCAAAACAAUUGCUGGAUGAAAAUUAGAUUGUCAAUCUGUCUAAUUAGCUAAAACCUACUACUAAGCUACCACCAUGCAUUUCACUCCAUCCUAGAUUGUUUUAGGACAUAUUACGUGUGUUAAUGUGUAUUCAUAAUCAUAAACCACUCAUGAGUCAUGAUAGCAACAUGGAAAUCAAACUUGCAAACCUACCAUCACUCUAAAAUUGAAAGUGAAACGUUCAAGCUAGCGUUCGCGGAUCAAGUCUUGACGCAGAAAAUUAAACUCAGAAUAACUCCCCGAAUCCAAAUAGCGGCCACCACAACCUGCAUUGUCAGUUCAGCUACUACCCCGCGUUCUACUGCUACAAGGAGCCGCGCGCGCGCACGAACAGGGAUAGAUUAGGAGCUCACAGUCGCCUAGGCGACCCGGGACGGUGAUGGAUUCCUUCGCGCAGACUUCGAGCGGCUGCGCCGAGGCGCGGGCCGCGAACGCGCGGCGGAGCCGCGGCGCUGCAGGCAGGAGGCGCCCGCAGCCGCGGGCGCGGCGGAAGGUGGUGGCGAGGAGCGCCGAGGAUGGAGCCGCCGUCGUGGCGGCGGCGGACGUGCCGCGGAGGAGGACGGCCAUGCCUAGCUCGCCGGAGCGGGUCGGCGCGCGGGGGAGAAGAUGCGGCUCGGCCACGAAGGGAGAGCGCGCGGCGAGCGGCUGUGGCCCGGGAGCGGAGACGGAGCAGAGAAGCUUAUCUUCGUGGACGUGGAGCGCGUGCGUGCGUUUCCAGAGGCUUCGUGUCGCGGCCUCUGGUCCCGAGCCGGCUCUGAAGGAGACAUGAUGGUUUCGGCCAGAUGGGGGAAGACGACGUGUGGAGAGAGCACUUGGGCCUUGGGCCUCAGGGAAGUGUUUUUUUUUUCCCUUUACCGGCUACGGCCUAUGAGCAGCAUUUGCAAGACAUUUGGUUCGAGUCUCGUAUCCGCAGGACCCGCCGUCUCUGCAAACUCUAGUUCUGCAGCAUUGAAAAACGAUAUCGUAGAUAUCGGGAAUUAAAAUUUGUAUCAUUAUAAAAGCGAGUAUAAAAUAGCUUAUUUCAUGCAUAUGUUUCCACUUAUUCCAGGGAAAAAAAAUUCUCGCCGCAACAUCGUUUUAUGUUUCAUACAACAUUGAAGAUGCAUUCCCUUUGUGUGCUGACCAAGAAUUUUUACAGGAGUUCAGUUAAAACCAUUGUAACAUCAAGAAUGGACAAUUUCAACAAGUCAUCUCACUUUUAGCAACAAUAUCAAGACAUAGAUUCGACGAACCACAAUGAAACAAAAAGAUGAGAUAGUCGAACCAAAAUUUUGCAACAUCCCAAAUCCUUUGUGAUUUCCUAUUCCUUCUGUCUUUUGGCCCUUGAAUCUAAUCACUGUCUACCAGCUCCGACAGAGGGUCGCUUGAUCUCGCAAAUUUGCUUUGAAGAAAUAAAAUAGUUAAGAUGGGCUAUCAUAGAGUACUAGAUGAAGGAACACUACAAAAUAUGAACCAUUCACUGAUUAAUGUGUCAUGAAGGAGCAUUUGAUGUAGCGAAUUAAUGUGACAUGAAGGAGCACUUGAUGCAAUUAGCUUUUAUCAAUGUGCACUGGCUCAGGUAGGAGCUUCUUCAACAAUGUGUCCAGCACGAGCGGAUCUAAGAUUUGAACUUUGGGUGGGUCGGGGGGGGGGGGGGGGGGGGGGGGCGAAUCAUACAAGCUAAAGCAGCCUAAUAUGGAUAUACUGAGAGGUCGCCCGGGAUGGCGCAUAUAUAUAUACAGCUCUCAUCAUCAAGACACAUCCUUCUUUCUUAUGAUUACUCCCUGCCACUUCUUGUCCAUGCCGGUCUAAGAGGCUCAUCAUUCUUCAAGAUUGUUGCCAACGGGCAAUCAGCCAAAGAUUCACAAUACAAAAUAUUUCGCCCAAAGAACUUCACCAAGAAAAUUCAUUUGUAGAUAAUAUUCCUUUAGUGUUUGCUAUUAGAAAAACUAGUAUGGGUGGUCCGCGCAAAUAGCGCAGGAAGCUAGUUUUUCUCUUUAUUCUUCCAUCUCCAAUUUCUAAAUUUUAUGCAUACACGCACCUAUAUUGUCGAUGAUGGCUGCUGUAUCCUUUUCCUCAUCAUAUGACAUGUAUGGGCUCUACAGAUUUACUAUUACACCUGGCAAGGUACAACUUUCUUCUUUAUGUUCGCCAUCCUCUAUGAUCGACGUCACUCUCUCUCUCUCUCUCUCUCUCUCUCUCUCGAAAUCUGACUCAUGUUAACUUUUUCUCUACUUUAUUUUACUCAUAGUUUUUGCCUUUAAACUAAUGCUAUUAAAUUGUGCUUCUCCAUAGCCAUGCUAAUGAUUUUUUAAGUUGCUAACACGCUUCCUAAAUUGCACAUUAACGACUUGUUUGGUUGGGCCUUAUCUUCUUCUAAAAUUGCUUUAGUUUUGGCUUCAAUGGUGAAACCAUAUUUUUCGUGGAGUCAAAACUGCUUUUCAAAAAUAUUUACUAAAGUAGCUUCUCAAUGGUAAUAUGGUAAUUCUAAGAACACUUUACAACUUAAGGGGUGAGGAGAAGCCGGUGAAACCAUUUUUUUUCUCCUCCUCUCUUUUUAAGCCAUUUUGGGAUUUCAUUUGAGUUUCUUGGACGAAGCCAUUUUAUAAUGAUGUAUUUGGUAGAACUUUACCGAAACCUAUUGGAGAAGCCCAACAAAUAAAUCCUAAUAAUCGUCAAGGUUACUUCGUUAUCGUCGAAGGUAUUGGUGUUUGAGAUAUUGAUAAUAUGCUAUAGUCAAGUCACUACUUAACUUCUGAUACAUGAUGAUUGAUUUGUAACAAUUAAUAUUUAUUUAUUUAUUUGUAACUCGAUCGGAAGUAGAAGCAUGCAUCUUUCUAACAUUUUCCAAAUUAAUAUCAUAGGAAAAUUGAACGUUAAAAGGUGGCAAUUGCCAUUACGUAGUUGUUAUACUCUGCACUGCCGGAAAACUGCUAAGCAAACCGCACACAUAUGUAAUUAUGUAAUUGAGAUAAUGGUCAACUUAUUAUAAAAGAAGAAAAUGAAGUUGUCAGUAGUGACAAUAAUAUAAAAAAAAUUGGUAUCUGUGCUCUUUAUUUAAGCAAUUUUCUUCCAAAUAUUAUUGAAACUAAAUAACAUUUUUAAAUUUUUCCUAUAAUUUAGUUAUUUAUUUACUUGUUUAUCCGAGAUGAUUUUUGUCAUAUUACAACGACAUAUAUUCACGUAUCGGUUCCUGUGCAUCACAUUUCAAAUAUGAUUGCACUAACGUGUAAGAGUGCACUUAACAUACACAACGAACCUAUAUGUCUCUUCGAUCAGAUAGCCUUGCACGCAUCUCAUAUCGCUCGAUCGCCUUUUGUUACGUUCCACAAACUAACCGGCCGGACACGUCUUAUGCCUCCGACAUCUUUGGUUUCGGUUGGGACAGCCAGACGGUGGCGCCACAUCCUACGUUCUGUUGCUUGGCACUGUCAUCCAGGUCUUCUAGAGGUAGCUAGCACUGAUGCUAUUCCUUCGAUCUAAUAACAAAAGUGAGAUGCAAUCUUAAUAUCAUGCUUGACAUCUUUAAAAUAUCGCUCCUCAUCUUUAGCAUCUAGAAUUUUUUUAUUUUUCUAAUUCUGAAUUUAUUUAUUUACUAAUAGUAUUUGGUUUGGACUCUUUGAUCAUAUUCUAAUUUUUAUUAUUUUUUAAUUCCAAAAUUAGCUAUUUAGUAUUAUUAUUUGAUAUGAACUCUUAAGUUAGUUUAGACCGUUAGAUCUUCAUAAAAUCCAACGAACGAUGCAAAUCCUUCUCUUUUUUAGAUUAACAUGGAAAUUUCCAGAUCCUCUCAGCGAACGUGGUGUUUUUUUAACACGGUUUAGCUCUUGUAAUCAUAAAAUUUUUCUACAACACAAGUACGAGUUGCAGAUUUCAACACCAUCACGUGAUUAGAAAAGCCAAGGGAUCGCAAGCUUGUCGGAGCUAAGGAAAAAAUGGUGGAGAGAGAAAUUAAAGGAACAAUGCAGGGGAGAUCCAAGAGAUAUAAAAUUGAAUUACGCGUCAUUUAGCAAAGAAAACGAGCAACCCAGACAUUGCAUAUACACAACAGACAGACAAAACUACUGUAAGUACAAACAAUCGACCAAGUCUAUCGAUGUUCAGUACAAGACUUAUUGACUGUACAAAAACACGACGCAGCAGGAGAUACACAAAGCUAGCUGCUGCUAGCCUGCUACUGAAUGUGUGUGGAUCAUCGAUACUGAAGAACAGUGCUAGUAUUUGAUCUUGAUCAGUUGAUCUUAAGCAUGGGGAAGAUCAUCUCCGUCGUCAUUGGCGACCGUGGACGGGUGGGUGCCGGACGCAGGAUGAUGCGCCAUCUCCAUGGCGCCAAUGCCCUUCUUCUGCAUCUCCUGGUAGCGCUCCUCCGCCUCGGGCAUGGCCUCCAUGAUGGCCUUGAGGCGCAGGUUCAUGUCGUCGAGGCGCUCGUAGACGGCGUCGCUGGUGAACAUGCCCUCGCACACCUUGCAGAUGGUGUCCCAGCUCUCCACCAGCGGCAGGAAGAUGAUCACCGCCGACCCGACGGUGCCCCACGCGAUCGCGACCGCCGCCCACAGCGUGAAGUAGCCGGCGCUGUACUUCCCCGCCGGCAGCGACAGCACGGGCCACAGGACCACGAUCACGGCCGUGAACGCCACGCCCCACUUGACGAUCCACCGCUUCGCGCGCACCAGCCGCUCCUCCUUGAGCUCCUCCGCCAGCUCGCCGUCGGCGGCGACGCUCUCCACAGUGGUGAUCUGCCGGCUGCUCUCCCAGUCGUAGUGCUGCGGCCACGCCAGGCUGCACGCAGCGUGCACCGCCCCGCCCAGCAGGAUGGACACCAGGUUGCCCGCCAGCAUGGGCGCGUUCCGCCCGGUGCUGUCCAGGUCCACGCGCCCGUACUGGACCUUGGCGACCGUCAGCCAGACGGUGACGCCGAGGGCGCAGCCGGUGACAGUGCCGAGGAUGGCGCCGAUGGCGUUGGCCUUGCUCCAGAGCAGCAGCAGAGCAAUGGGGAUGACGGCGGAGCCUAUGAUGACGCCCAUGGCCAGGUACAUCCAUCCCAGGGAGACGCCGACGAGGUUGAGGAUGACGGCGAGGGCGCCCAUGAGGCAGCCGAACGCAAGGACGACGGCCCUGGACACGCGGAGGAUCUGCUUGCCGGUGGCGUCCGGGUUGAUGUAGGUCCGGUAGAUGUCGUAGGUGCAGAGGGAGGAGACGGCCACAAGCUCAGCCGAGCCCGCCGAGGUGACGGCCAUGAAGAGCAUGGUGAGGAGGAGAACGGAGCCGGACUUGCCCAUGAGCGCCGUGGCGGUGGCGGGCGGGACGAGGCCCUUGGCCGCCUCGGCUGCCGUGAUCGGGAGGUCCAGGGCGAGCGCGCCGAGGCCCAGCGAGGUUGCCAGCGAGAAGGGCACCGCGAACCACACCAGCCCGCCGAGCAGGUACCCCUUGUGCGUCGACGAUGGCCGGGCGGCGAUCGCGCUCAUCCAGUAACCCUGCACCCCAUCGCAUAAAUGAAUUUGGAUUGGAUGCAUGCCAUCCUGAAUCGAAAUAACCGAAUCGAAGAAAAGUGCCGGCCGGGCUUACGUUAUCGACGAAGACCGUGCCGAAAUUGCCGACGAUGUUGAUGAUGCCGAAGACAAGACCUCCGGAGCUGAGCAUGGUGAGGUAGGAUCCCUUGAAGUUGCCGUGGACGGGGCCGCAUGCCUGGUCGGAGUGCGAGAGCGGUGCGGAGCAGUCCCGCGCCGCGCUGGCCACGGCCGUGAGGUGGUCGUGCACCACCCGCGGGCUGCCCAGGCGGCUGCUGGAGGUGUACACGAGGAAGACGAAGACGACGAGGACGACGUGCACGACGACGGAGUGGAUGUAGCUGGCGAGGAAGGUGGCCUUGAGCCCGCCGGCGAGCGUGUACACCACGACGCCGAGCGGGAUGAGGAAGCUGGCGGCGUAGACGUUGAUGCCCGUGAGCGCGUUGGCGACGGCGGAGCCGCCCAGCAGCAGCAUGGCCGUGACGAUGACGUUGGUGGUGAGGCAGAACACCAGGAACACGGCGUGCGCCGCGCCGCCCCACCGCGCGCGCACGAUCUCGCAGACCGUGUGCGCGUUGGGCGCCUUGCGCUUGAUCUCGAUGGCCAUGACGCCGAACAGGAGCACCUGGAUGGUGGCGCCGCUGGCGUACCAGAACGGGCCGCUCACGCCGUACUGCCACGCCACGUUCGAGCUCUGAAGGAUCGUCGCCGCCCAUGUCCACUGCUCGAUUCGACAAUGCACAAUCCAUCAAUCCAUUCCAUGCUUUCAUUAGCUACUAGUUCCAGCUGAAGACAGACAGAUCAAGCUAGGGAAAUUGAUCAGCAAGUGUCAGUAAAAUCAGUGUGUGUACCUGGGAGACGAUGACGCUGGCGAUGAGGCCGGUCUUGACACUACGACCUGCCGUGUUGAACCACUCCGAAGUGUGCUGCGAUCCCACAUACCGCUUCUCUAGCCACACCUGCGGUGCAGGGGCACUCACAGUUAUAAUCCUACACUGCGACCUAGCAUGCCUUUCGUAUAGGAAUCUCCUUUGGAUUCAAAUAAUUUGGAAUCUUCUUAAUUUCUUUCUUUUGUUCUAAAGGGGCCCUUGGAUGGAAGUAUGGAACACAUUAAUUAGAAAAAGGGAAAUACAAAAAGGAAUUCCUUUGUGAGGUUGUAAAUGGAACUAACCCUUCCAUGUGAGUUCCAAUUAGAAUUUCAAAGUUCGGAAAAGUCGAAAGGCUCUUAAAACUUCAUGAAUGACAAUUUGUGGCUUAUUUGGAACAUAGGAAUGAGGACUGGGGACUCAAAAACAUAGGAAAAAUAUGAUAUAAGGCGCUUGGAAAUAAGAAUUUUUUUUGAAAACAUGCCAUGUAAGAAAAUUUUCUAAGAUAUGCUGUUUACUUAAGUUGGAGGUUGAAUUACGGAACAUGGCAAAUAUUAGUCUUCUUUGAACAUAGGAAUGGGGAAAAUAUGAAUUAAAAACAUGCAUGGUUUAAGGAAUGCAAGUUAAACUCAGAUAGUUGUAAAGCAUAGGUCAUAUGCAUGUUGUAAUACACAUACAUAAAUCACUGCUUUUUUCGUUCAAAAAAAAGAAGUCAAUCUUUUCUGAUUUCUAUUAAUGCAAUUUCACACUGAUAUGUGUCAUUCUUCUGAAAACUAAUGUUACCAUUUUUACCAUGAUCAAAUAUAUAUGUUCUAUAAACCAAGUAUAAAAAGUGUUACAUCAUAUAGCGUAUAUGAAGAAAUGAGGAAAUUCAGUAAUACAUCAAUUUAUUCAUCAAUGUUCCAGUAAAUGCAACUUGAAUUAAAAGUAGCAUAGUAUAUUUCCUUAACAAGAGCAUACUAGCUGCCUCCAGCGAUAAAAGAGUAUCAUUUUGAUUGUAUAUAUGUGGUGAACACAUUUAAACUUUAAGAUCGAUAUACUUCUCAAUAGUUCUAUGGUAUAACUGAAUUUAUUGUAAAAAGUGGUUCAAAAAUAUUCCAUUAUUUGCUAUGUUUUAUAUUUUACAUUCAAAAUAUUCCAAUACUUGUGAAGUAAUUUAUCAGUCAUCAUAUCGUUGUAUGAACAUUACCCUUCUUUAAUUGGAGGGAGUAUAUGUGCCUAAUAUGAUUAUUAGUACUUUGGUCAACUAAUUAAGCAUAGAGAUGAUAGGCAUAGAUACUCAUAAUAAGCUGAAAAAACUUCUGAAAAUUGCUAUGUAGGGUAGGAAAAGUACAUAGGUAUACAAAAAAGUACUUCACAUAUAACUAACUUUUAAAAUUCAUUACGGCCAAAAAUCUGUUGUAUUAGGCCCUUCGAUAUAUAAUGUUUCACCACUAAAAUGACUUUGAGCCCUAUAUCCUGAUUGUAAAAUAGCUGGAUGGGUCAAUAUUUUGGUUUGAUUUCUAUUUGGUGUAGCACAAAGGAAGGCCUAUUGUUUUAAUUUGGCAAAGCAAUUAUGUGCAACAAUUCUGAAUCAUGAGUAGGAAGUUAAUGCUAUAUGCAAUGCAUAAUUGCUGACAGUGUAGCAGGACAACAAACAAGGGCGAAGCUAGGACUUUAACUAUGCUGAAAGCUUUAGUAAAUAUAUAAAACGUAUAGUAUUAUAUAGUGGAAAUUAACUAAUUGCUAUUAUUUUUUAUUCUUCUUGGUGCAAAAUGACUAUUACUCCUACUCAUUACAUAGUGACAAUACAAGGAUAUAUGAUCAUUCAUUCAUGUGGUCCUAUCAUUUUAUAUUAGUAUGAGUUUAAUUAUAUCUAUGCUCCCAGUUGAUAGUCAUGGACUUUGACACAUAAAUCAAUUCAUAAUUACACCAAUAAAAAGGAACUACAUGCGUCAAUUUUAUUUGUCUGUAACUCUCAAAAGGGACGGCACAAGGAUAACUGUGUGAUUUCAGUACGCCAGCUUCAGCUUUCGUUUUCAUAAAGCAAAGUCGAACUUUGGUUAAAUCUCUUAUAUAUACGGAUAGUGGCAUGGUGCCUAUGCAUAUACCAUGUUGACUGUUGCUGAAAGAAAACCCAACUGUCACUUAAGAAAAUAAAAAAAGUUCAAAGUCAAAUCCGGCCGCAUGUGCAACUCGGUAUGUUGUUCAAUUCUGCACACAUGAUCCGGCCCUUUUUAGUAAAACGGAAUCUGGCCACACAGAAUCAUUCUAUUUCUCGCAAGUCAACUGUUCAUUUUCCUAAGUUCAAAUUGGAAAAAUUCCUUAUAUUAGUAGUCGAUUAGAGUUUGGUUUUAUGGCUGCAAGAAUCUUCAUUGCAUCUCCCGGCCCACUAUUUUGUGUUAGGUGUGAAAAAACACCAUUUAAGUAUCUAACUACCUAGCUAGGUAACCUGUUUCUCAUGCAGAUUGCUGAGUAGUACGACUUUAAUUACAGAGUUUUACCUUGCAAAUUUACGCUCUUACUAAAUCGUAAAAAGAAUCUACCAUCAAUCAUGCAUGGUAGCAAGCAAUAAUGCAUGGUCAUUUGCGUGUGCAAUGCAUAUACGUGCUACUGUUCUAUUGGAAAUCUGCAGUCAGUAUGUUCAGACUUCAGAGUCUCAAACAAGACUAGAGCAAGAAGAAGAAUCAAAGCGCUGGAGUGUGGAGUCACGCAUGAGAUGGAGACGUUGGUGUCUUGGUGAGCAGGAUAAGGUAAACAAGUAGUACCAGGAAGGAGGUGAAGAGCGCGAAGAAGGCGCCGAAGCCGAGGACGACGGCGUACCCGACGGCCUGCGCCAGCACCGGCUUCCCGCCGAAGAAGCUGCCGUCGCGGCUGCACACGCCGUCGACCACCGAGUAGUACUCGCCGCCGAAACCCAGCCCCGGCGGAGGGCAUGCGCCGCCGCCGCCAGCCAUCGUCUUCGAUCUGUGCAGGAACGAAAACUAACGCGAAGAGAUAGGUAGGCCGCAAUUUUGUGCGACAAACUGACAGAACAAUAAAGCGUACCUCGAUCAGGUCCCCGGCGAAGAGGGAGUGAAGACGGCGGCGGCGGCGGGCGGCGGGAGGCUCGAAGUGAAGCACCGCGACGGAAGGAAGAAUCGUCGUAUAUAAGAGACAACGGCCGCGCGCGCGAUCGCUGUCGCGAGCACCCGCCAACAACUCCCCAACUGGGAGAUUCUUUGACUCGGCUGAUACUGUUUUCCGAGCUGUUAUUAUUAUUUCCGUUGAGAGAAAAAUGGGAGCGAUCGAGAUCCCCGAUUCCCGCUGUGCAGGGGAACGGUGGGAUCGAUGUGUAGGCGCGCACGAAUCCUGAAGCGCCAGCCGCGUUCGCACCAGCCGACGUCUCCGCGUCUCGCCGUCGCCGGAGUUAGGACAGCAGCGCCGGGCCCGGGCGCGGCGGUUGCGGGGAGAGGGCUCUGCGGUGGCGCGUCCGCGGGUCCGGCGAGCGUGGCGCCGCGCCAUCGCCCCGUUGCUCGGCCACAAUCCCACUCGUACCUCCAUGCUGCCAACGAUACCCAGCGCCGGCGGCGCGGCGCGGCGCGGGAGGUGGUGGGGGCUGGGGAGGAGGGGGCUGCUAAUUGCAGACGUGGCGGCGGGCCGGGGGACGGAGGUGGUGGCGCUGGUGCCUGGUGAGAAGGAUGGAGACGCCAGCCACGCACGCCUAGCUCCCGCGCAGCCCCAUCGGGGAGGGGGAGAGCACGGCGACGGCGAGCGCGGUGGGAGCCGGCCGCCGGGGAGGUGCCACAAGCCCACAAGUCCAUUGUCGCGGACGUGUUGGGCUGGGCCGCUUGCGCGUCGUUGGCCAAGCCCGUCCUCCGUGCACCUCUCUGAACAGGCCGGGAGGUUCGGCCCGUGGUGUGGGGAGGAGGGAUAUACAUUUCUUUAAAUGGCUACGGCCUGUGGGCUGCGGCUUCUCUUCUCCUCCUCUGCACGCCUCCAUCCGAUGGCUUCCUGGGCCCUUUAAUUUUUCCGUGCUCAGAGCGCCAGUCAGCACCCAGUGAGCCCGUGAGUCAUGCCGGUAUGGAUAAGCUAGCUGCCAGCAGCAGCUUGGCCAUCUCCAUCUGCAUGCGCUCUUGGAUUGGACCACGGCCGGAGGAGCGCUGGCCAUGCAUGCGAGCAGCAGCGAACUGGUGUGUACCACCGCGCGCCAGGGACAAGACAACGGGGCCUCGCGCUCGACGAUUGGGCAUUGGGCUAGCUAGCUGGGCCCGACUUUUCAGGCCUGGGUCGAUCCUGACUGCAGCAAGGGAUCAAAAAAGAUGGCUGCGCAAAAACCAGGGCACCCAACGCUAUCCGUAGUCCACCACGAUUGCUUACGAGCAAUCCGCGAUACCGACUUGCGCCCAAUGCACUUUGAAGUUACAGAGUCUAAUUGGGCGAUGGGCAAACUGGGUUUUUUUACUUUUUUACUAACCAUUUCUCGGCGAAGUCAAGUACAACUCAACUCCCAUUUGUUUAGCUUACUCUAUUGAGACUGAGCUGUCCCUAAAAGAAAACACAGAGAGAGACCCAAUUGGUUGGAGUGUACUUUACGCCUUAUUAUCACAAAAGUUUUCGAGGGAACUAGUUGUAAACAACACCAUGUAUUAUUAGGUUUAUAAAUGCCCAGAUAGUGUUGGAAUAUAAAGUGAAUUGCCUAUAUUUUCUCGUCAACUUAAGCUUUGGUUGGACUGAUCGAUGCAUGCACCUCAAUGCAUUGAUAGCACGGUUAAAGUAGGAAACGAUCAUGCGCCAAUUCUCUCCUGACCGUCUCAAUUGUGUUGGCCACUUACUCAAUAGAACAUGAUACCAAUGCCAAUACGUGGUGAUCAUUAGACAGAAAAAGGACCAUGACAUACCUCAACAUACUAAAAAAAACCAAUUAAUCUUAGUGAACAAAGGACAAUAGUCAGUAGUGGACGCCAUACACGCCUAGGGUACGAAUUACUAUUUUACAACACACGGUAAAUGGCUAUCAAUACAAGAACAUUUUUUAUCGGCACAGAUCCAUUAUAUUGCACUUCCUCUAUUCCAAAUUAUAGGUUGUUUUAACUUUUCUAGAUAAAUAGAUUUUGUUAUUCAUGCAUCUAGAUAUAUUAUAUCUCUAGAUACAUAGUAAAAAUGAUAUAGUUAGAAAAGCUAAAAUACCUAUAAUUUGGAACGGACGGAGUAUCUUCACUUCUUUUAUCGUGUACUAAACAAAGGCACAAGCACUGACUAGAUGGAUUAACUAGAAUAACAAGGUUAUAGCGAGAUGGUGGCCAUGUUGCACGUAAAGGCGCAAAGCCAAUAUGGGAGAUGAUGAAUUAUCUUCAUUCGUGGAAAAGGUGCUGUUGGUGCGUGUGGAUUCCAGUCCAAUGUCUAGCCACAUCGUCUCCCAAUCAGCAAGAAAGAAAUCGCACACGUUUCCGCUCUCCGUCUGACGCCCUCACGACCACCCUUGCACUUGCACCUAACGGGUAGCACGUAAACUGUAAUGCAUGCAUAGAAACAUUCCGUGUGUGUUAUUGAGUUUUACCAGGCAUAGUAAGUUUUUUCUUACAAAGCUAAGCUACUUGUGACAUUAUAAACUCCUCUGAUAUUUGUGACACAUUAUGACGAGCAAGUAGCAGUAACUAUAACUUCAGUGACACUUCUUAUAGAAGCAUCUCCAACAGAUUACUUAUCUCUCUUUUCAAUAUUAAAAAAUAUAUUUUGGUAAUUGGAGGUGCUCCAGCAGAUUACCAAUUCAAUUCCCAAUACCUAAAAACUUAUGAAAACAUACCUCCCUCCACCCUAAAUGAAGGGAAUUUAUCCCUCUACCCUAUCCUCAUAUUUUUGGUGAUUGAAUUUUGUUAGUCUGCUGCAGCAACUAUUAUAAAAAAAUACAAAAGUAGCUAUUGGUAGUGGAGAAGAAGUGUACUUUGGAUGUGAUGUAUGAGUAAUCGAUUGGAGAUGAUCUAUAUAAUUUUGAUCUGGUAACAAAAACACUAGUCUUACAAAAACCUACUCCUAUAGUUGCAUCUAUAUUUAUCAUCCGACAAGAAUCGUUUCAGCGAUUGAACUAGCUCCGUCUCUCUCACAACCACACAGAAAACCCACCGGCCAUUGGCACGGCGGCAUCUCUUGCCCGUCCGGCCGUCCCCAAGAUGCCGCCGUCGAGCCAACCUGGCGCCAACUGACACCACCCGAUGCAGCGGCCGCUGACCUCAGCACUCCCUCCACUGACAAGCGGGCCCCACAAGGAGAUGCCCCACAUGACGUAAGCAGAGGAACCCGAGGAAAACACCGCUCCCACGGGCCCCGCGUGUCGGUGGGGAUCGCAUCGCCGAGGCCGGCGGUUAUGUUUUAAUCGCGCCCGCCGGAAACCGCCCUCCCCAAUAAAACCCGCGCGCCCCUCGCCUCGCCUGCCCCCGCGCCGCGCCGCGACGCGCACCCCGCCUCCCAACCCCACACCACACGCCCCUAAUCGCCAUGGACGCCGCCGGCGGGGGAGGCGCCGUUGUGGCGGGCGGCGGCGCCGACGAAGCAGACGCCGCCUUCUUCUCCCGGCGCGGGCACCGCUGCUGCGGCUGCUUCUGGGCACCGCCGUGGGCGGCGGCCUCCUCGCCGUCCCAGUCCCCGCGCGCGCGCCGCGCGGAACCGGCGGACGAGGAGUGGUGGCACCGCGUCGGGGACGGGGCGGCGUCGGGCCGGCGCCGGUGGUGGCGGCGCGGGGUGGACGCGCUGAUGAAGGUGCGGGAGUGGUCGGAGCUGGUGGCCGGCCCGCGGUGGAAGACCUUCAUCCGCCGGCUCCGGUUCCGCCGCGGCGGCCCCCGCCACGGGGCCGGCAGCGGGAAGCUCAAUUACGACCCGCUCAGCUACGCGCUCAACUUCGACGAGGGCCACGCCGCCGCCGCCGGCGGCGGACCCGAGGGCGGCGACUACGCGGGGUACCUCGACUUCUCCGCGCGCUUCGUCGCGCCGCCGCCGGCCUCCGCCAAGUCAUCCAUGGACCUCGGCGGCCGCGACGCGCCGCCGCUGUUCCUCCACCAGGCGCACUCCCCGCGCACGCCCCCGGCCGCGGCGAGGGGCUGACGUCGGCGCGGCGCCCGGCGUAACCGCCGGCCCUGGCUUCCGUGCCAUUAAUGGGGCGGUGCAGGCGAUAAGGGGGGAGGGGAGGCCGUCGCUUUCGUCCUCUCGGUCGUCCAGUUGUGUUGCUUUUUUGCUUGUGAUGAUGAUGGAGGAUGGUGUCCAUAGGGAGGUCCUUAUUAAAUUUCUUUUUUUUCUUGUCUUUUUUCGCGUGUGAUUUUUGUAAAAUAGAUUGCUACUCUAUACCGUCCAAAAUUGUCACCAUAGCCAUAGAAAUUGUUCAUUCUUGGAGGAAGAGAUGAAACAAGCACAGAGCAUCAUGUUCUAUGAUCAUCCACUGUCAGAAAUUGAGGUGUAGUAGUUUAAGAUGUCAUCAGUAGUGCGUUAGUUUUGCUAUCUUGAUAUGCUUUUGUAACGGCAACUCUUAGGUCCCAUCUCCAUCCGAAAGGCCCUUUUAAUCUUUGCUGAACCAUAUGCCACAAUUGACCGGUUGUCCGGUUUCAUGAAAAAAUUCCUUUUUCCAUGGUCUGUGCUGUAUAAGCAGGGCGUUGGACGGUGCCACGGCUGCAUCUGCUAGUUGAUACCCACACUGUGAGUCUGAAUCUGGGCAUUGGCGUUGCCGACACCGUCCGUGCAAUCGCAUCGCCCAUGUCGCGCACGAUCCCAUGAUCUCGCACCUUGGCAUGCAUCUCGAGCACACAUGCGUGCAGGGUGGUCUUGGUCGAUCCGAUCAGGAGCCAGGCCCGAGCAACAGCCAACAAGUGCCGACCUCGCCGCCGGUCAGGCAACUGGAAUUUUCUGCUGAGUUUCGGUCCAAAGUGGACGAACCAAACUGGUGCGCAUUGACGGGUAGACCGGCGGCCGCCAUCUUCGUCUCCGGCGCCAGCGCGAUCACGUCCAGCGGCCGCCGCCGUCUAGCUUAACUGUUUUAGUAGUUUGCAAAGUAUUUCGACCGGUUUGUGACCCAAGCGUCAUCUUCAGCGUCAUGUCACUCAGCGAGCACGGACGGAACGAAGCAAACCGGUGAUGUGUGUCUACAGCUAUCUACGCUCUACAGAUCACUGGCGGACGGUUUCAGGGAGCGACGCAACUGAACUGAAGAAUCGAAUCGGAUACCGGGUAAUAUUCCGGCUCCUGAUGUUAACAUUCGACCAAUCUGGCUCUGCUUGCUGAAGAAGUUACCAAGAUAAGGUUGCAAGAAUGUUGGCAGUGUCUACUCGCAUGUUACCCUGUAAGUUUUGUCUGUUUUCUCUUGACAGAGUAUUGAGCAUUGACUGAAUAAUUUGUGAGGGGCCGGGGCCCAAACGCACGGCAAAGUGUGAACGAACAAUCAGCCAAUUAUUUGCUCUCUUAUAUGUCCUAAAGUUUCAUGGUUGACGAAUCGUGAUGCCAGCCAAAAGCUUAAAGGUGCUGCCAAACGAACCAGCGAUCAACAGUACCGUUAACAUCGCAGUACCAUCACACACUGACAGCACUGAGAGCGAAGCAAGGUAAGUCGAGCGGUCACGUUGACCUCUCUGACAGCUCUGAGGCGAAACCUGCCGAGUCAAAACUCGAAACAAAACACAUACGACAAUAAUCAUGACAAUUGACAACACGACUGACGACUGCGCAGACCAUCCAUUCAAUACUCCAUCCAUUAAGGCUAUCUCAAACGGACGCCUGUAAAGGGCCCUGUACUCUAUAUAUAUAUAGAGAAAGAUUCCGUUGUCUGCUGCUUCAGCAGCGUUCUUUAGAUGGUCCUUUAAAAUAGAGAACGCUACAGGUUUCCUCUAUAUAUAGAGAUUCUCUCUCCUCUUCUCUAUUUUUUCUUUACGUUUCAAACACUGAAUUAAAUAAAAAUAAAAUAUGUCCAUAGCGUUUGAGGUAUGAUAAAUACGUACAUACAAAAAUUUGGAACAAAAUACGUUUCGGUUUAAUGUAUAGAGAACGAGAUUUAGAGAACGUUGUUGGAGAGAAAUGAGAUAUAGAGGAGAUAAUUUUGUAGAGAAUUCUGUAAAUGAAGGAUGUAGAGGAUGGGAUUUGAAGGAUAUCGCUGGAGACAGCCUAAGUACACCGUCCGUCCUAAAAAUAGUACAACUCUCGAUUUCCGAGUACUCAAACAACUUUAGAUUAACCAAAUUUAUACAAAAUAAUAUUAUUAUUUAUAUUACAAAUAGAUCAAUCAUGUAAUAUAUUUUUAUGUUAAAUAUAUUUAAAAAUAUAAAUAUUAGUAAUUUUUUAUAUAAAUUUAGUCAAACUUAAAACUAUUUGAUUGACUUGUUAAGAAGCGAGAGUUGCGUUCCUCCGUGGAGAGGAGCAGGUCCUCGCGAGCCUCCGGUUAUGUUCAGAUGCUCUUGUCCGUUUCAAUCAUGCCCAAGCCUGGCCUUUACUCAUGAACAGCUGCUUCUGCAUCUGCGUCCGAGAAAGAACAGUGCUCUGUGUGGUCGUAGCGCUGAAAGCUUGGAUGAUACCUGUGCCCACCAAGUUUCACGUCGAGAACAGUAUUUGUGAGUUGUGAGUAGCAAUGACCAGCACCAGCCUUGUGCGACAUGUACGUGAGGUUCUGUCCGGGUAGAAUUAAUUUUCGGUAUGGAUCGUAUCGGAUGUUUAAAUGCUAGUUUGAGAAACUAAAUAUAAGGUAAGUAUAUAACUAAUUGUAUAAAUGAAGAUUAAUUUAUUAGAUGAAUCUAUUAAGCCUAAUUAAUUCAUCAUUACCAUAUAUUUUCCUUUACCAAAUCAUGAACUAAUUAGGCUUAGUGAAUUCGUCUCACGAAUCAAUCUCCAUUUAUGCAACUGGUUUUGUAAUUAGUCUAUAUUUAAUACUUUUAUAAUUAGUGUCCAAAUAUCCGAUGUCACGGGAGUAAACUGAUGAUCCAAACGCCCCUGAAUCAAGACUGUAGCCUUGUGGGACCUCAAGCCUGCAAAACAUUUGAAAUGGAACGAAUCUUUGAUGAGGCUUGUCAAUUGACAUGAACGUGGAAAUGGAGAUCUGGAAGGACAAUCACGAAGCAGCAGUUUCAGGUAUCAGAAACAAACAAUAGUUAUUUCAGAAUUCAGAUCUGGCUAUCAACAGUAACUACUGAAUUAACAAGUGAACGUGGAUCUGUUUAGAAGAGCAAGGACUCUGAGCAUGAGUUGAUUCGGAUCUCGGGUCAGAUCCAGGUGCAAAACGCCAGAUAUAUAGUAGACGGCACAUGAUACCUGCUCAUCUGAUUUAGUGGAGUCAUUUGGUGCAGGCACUCCACACUGCUUUCUGAUUCAAAACUAGCCAAAAGAUGAGUGAAUACAUUACAUGACACUGGAUUCCACUUCACUAAGCACCGUCCUUUUUUAUAUCUCAUCAGCAUACUGUAUCAUGAAACCUCCUUGGUUCCACUUAGCCUGGUCACCGUCUAGUCCACCACCACGAGGUGCAGUAAGCUGAAGGGAGAUGAUUUUCAGUUGGAUACAGAUGCAGAAAAGAGAGCUGACAGAGACCAAAUGGUCACCCCUUCCACAGAGAUGGAGCACCAGCACAAAAGGUGCUGGCUCCACUUUACCAACUUGCCAGCUGAUAUCUCAACAACUCUGUGGAUCUUAAAUUUCAUGGAUUAGGAAAUCAAAUGAUGAAGUUCAUCCUACAAACUGGAAGUGAGAAACAAAGAAAUCAAAGCACCAUUGAGAAACAAAGAAAUCCUCGCCAAAAAAAAGCACCAUUGAGACACAGAUACUAAAUUAAAAUGCUAAGAAUAUAGACAGAUAGGCGUCAUCUGUAAAUAUAAUAGACAAAGAAAUACUGAAUGUAUAAUUUGAGCAUUUUAUGGGCUUCAGGCUGCCCAGGAAUUUCUUGCUGCUCAUUCUAACCUUUCCUCUUUUGUUUGAGUAAAGAGAUUCUUGAAAGAGAGGGUCUAAAAUUCACAAAGUAGUCUUCAAAGGAAAAGACAUUGAGAAAGGUAGCAAAUGACUGACAGGCUAAAAGCAAAAGAAUAUGCUUAAUCAGAGAGUGCAGACUCAAUCAUUAGAAUUUCCUGUACAUAUCAAUCACUAUGCUCACCAGAAGGAUGAAGGCGGGAAUAUCAUGAAUCCAUGGCCUAGUUGCAUGAAUUCAAAAUUUUGGGUGCUCCUACCUGAGCCUCAAAGCUAAACGAAGGCAAAACCAUUGGAUGUUGUGCUGCUCAAUACACUCUUCAAAUACUCACAAAAUAUACAGGAAUUCAGGACCCCUGAGUGGCAGCAGUGACUUCACUAGAGCAUCCGUGGCUGAAAAUGGGUAAGAAAAAAACAUGAUAAAAUUUGUCAAUAUUUGAAACAUCCUCUGUUACCAUAUAAGGAAAAAAAUAUUUUAAGGGAAAAUAAGGUUAAUACAGGACCUUGGUUUCAGUGGUCGAAACAUAUUUUAGUGGCAAUACAUAUUUACCAAGGGAAAAUAAACAGAUUUACCAAUUGCAUCCAAGUAUGAGGAUGUAGAACUGGAAUGCCAGAGAUAAGCCAAAGAAGCCAAAUCCUUCUAUUAGUGUAUGAACAGUUAAUGGUGGCAUGCAAUACUAGCUCUUAAUAGUAAUAUAUGUCUUCCCAUGUAUUCCGGUCAACGAAUGUCAAGACUGGAGAAGGUACAGGUCAAUGUCGACUAUACUCUGAUCAGCACAAAAGAAAUUGCAGAGACAUAAAUUGUAGCAUCAGACCAACACAAAAUAUAAGGAAGACCAGAAUAACAUCAUUCUAAAUCAUCACAAUCUACAUGGUGCAACAUACUAUGCUGGCAUGACUACCAAAAGUUAAGCCCCCGACGAGAUUGACACUCCAAUCAAAAUGACUACAGGUGAGGAAUCAAGUGAGCAACACUAAUAAAAAGAAACAUUAGCUACUAUCAAAGUACACUAGUACAGAGUCAUAUGUUUGAUGUAUCCGCGGCACCUCCUCUCUUCAUCCAUGGAAGGCUCCUGGCAUCCGAACAUUCAUCCGAACCAGCAGGUAGCUUGCCCUUCAGAUUAGACCAUUGCCAAAUCUUCGACACGGAGAAACUUUCCCCUUUGUUCCUCGCGCAGAUCCUCUUCCCCUCCAUAAUAUCAGCAUUGAUCGAACUUAAACCAGCAGGUCUUCCCCUCAUUGCACCACCAGUGCCGUUCCUAACCUGGCCAGGCUGGAGAGCUACCCGGAGCUCAGAAGUGCCAAGAACAUACUGAUAGGUGCCCAUGGAGAAGCAUCUCCUUCCAUCCAGGCUGCUGCUGCUGCUCUCCCCUUGAUCCCUACUCAACACACUGGGAUUGGCAUUGGCAUUGGCAUUGCCACCUUCCACGGCACCCUGGGUUCCGACAUUCUUGAACUUCCCCAGCCUCACGGGGAACACCCUCUUCUCAGCCGCCGGCGUCUGUGCCAACCCUGAAGCCUUCUGCCCAGGCAACCCAAAUCCGUCGUCGCAAUCCUCCGACAGCCUCCCUUCCUCCAGCCUCUCCUCGAAAUCGAACAUUGGGUUGUCGUCGCCCAUGAACCCCGGGGCGAAGAGCACCCCGCGGCAGAGCGGGCAGGUGGAGUUGGAGAGCAGCCACGUGUCGAUGCAGUUGAGGUGGAAGGCGUGGCCGCACAGCGGCAGCAGGCGGAGCCGGUCCUCGGCGUCGAACUCGCACAGGCACACCGCGCAGUCGAACGGCUCCUUGCCGCCGCCGCCGCCCACGACGAUCUCCCGGUAGGCGAAGACGGGCAGCGCGUCGAUGAAGGCCUGGUCCAGGCCGGAGUCGUGGAGGUGGAACAGCUGCUGCAGCUGCCGCUGCAGCGCCGCGUCCGCCCCGCCGGCAUCCCCCCGCGCCGCCGCCGACGACGCGGGGCCCCCUCGGCCGCCGCCGCGGCGGUGCUGCUUCUUCAUGAGGACGCGCACCAGGAGGUGGAGCAGGCCGGAGAUGAAGAACACCACGGCAAGAAUCACGAUGAUGAAGAGCACGGCGGGGCUAAUCUUCCCUCCGCCCCCGCCUCCCCCACCCGCGCCCUGCGCCUGCUGCUGCAACGGCGGCGGCGGCGGGGGCGAGGCGGCGAGGCCACCGUACGGGAGCGCGUCCCUGACGACGCCGGCGCCAUGGAGGCGGCGCGGGGCGGAGGAUCCGGACGAGGACGAGGACGCCGCCGCUUCAGCCAUGCCUGCUAGGACUAGGAGCUCGGAGCGCGAGGCCACCCCAGCAUCUCAUCGGAUCCCGCGGGCCAGAGAUGCGAUCUCCGAGGGAAGGAAAACCCAGCGAUCCCCCCGUCUGGACGAGAUGCGGAGGUCGCACCUAAAAGCGGCGGCCCGGGAAGACGACGAGGCGCUAGGGGCCAAGCGGACUGAAACCCUCGGGACGGGAGCUCUCGGCUGGAGGCGGGCGGGCGAAGCAGCGGAGGGGGAGACGACGGGGGGUAAGAAUCGGUGGAGGGUUCGGCCGCUUUCGCGAGCCGGGUGGGGAGCGGGGAGUGGUGGGAGCGCACGAGCUGGGGCGGCGAAAGCGACGGCAGCCGGAAGGAAUGGUGCGGUGGCGGCUCGGUGGCUUUUGGGUCUGGGCGUUUCCGCAGUGCGUGCGAGGCUGCGAGCGGCGGCUGUGCGCGUCGCUUUCGGCCGCGAGGGCUCGCCCGUUCACAGGGCCGCGCGGCCUCGCUCGCGGACGCGGGGUGCGAGGUCAGGGCCGCCGGGGCGAGGGUACUCGCAGUGGAGCACGGGCCCGUGUGAGUGACCGGCCGGGAUGCCGCGAUGGCCGGCUGCCAUAGGGGUUUUGGACCUUUGGAGGGCCCGGUUUCCCUCUGACAGUCCAAUUCUGGCGAGAUUAGGGUUAGGGUUAGUAAAAAGUGGCUAUAUAGUGAGCUAUGUCGACAUUUUAGCAUGGUUAUGAACUGAAGGUUAGGUUCCCAUCUUGUUGGUUCUAUAGGGAUGCCAACGGAGUACCCUAGCACCAUAUGUGGUGGCGGGUGUGGGCGCGUGUCAAGGCGGCGGAGGUAGGGAGAUCAUGGUGAGCUGGCGAGGCAAUCACCUCGAAUGAUGAGCAUCGUGGUGGCGGCUUAGCUUCGGCGAAUACGAUAGUGGAGUUGCCAAAGACAGAAGUAAGAGAUGUGAAAGCGAGAGGAGGCGUCGGGAGGAAGAAGAUGGAGAAAUAAUACGAUGAGGAGUGCAUCCAAGUAUCAUAUAUAUAUAUAUAUAUUAAACGGCAACUUGGCCAGUCCUCUUUGGAGGUGUCAAGUUAUUCCAUUAUUUUAAAAUUUAAGUAUUUAUGGACACAAAUAGCAAAAUGCAAUCUAGGUAACUUUUCUAAAUAUGAAAAGCUGAGUGAUGCAUUGGUUAAAAAGAAGAUACAGACAGUUGCUCGUAGUGGUCUCUCGAGAUGCUAUUUUACAUGCAAAUAAUUUACCGGAAAGUUUGAAACAUAAUUUAGCUUCUCCUCUCCUCGUUAUGUAUUCAAGGGCUUCAAGCCUGAACAGGAAACUAAAGUAGCACGCUGGCAAAUUCCGGUAGCUAUACGGGCAGCUCAAUUAUAGAUGAUGGCGCGUGGGGGUGGAGAGGAGAAGCCUAGUAGUUUUGGCAGUGGCAAAGCAAACGGGAUUCCUCUGCAGUACUUCCCCGUUACGGGAGCGGGUUGACUGGCUCCGCCACGGACCACGGCCCAGGGUCCACUGUGCCGCAACGAGACGUAACUUGGACCAACCAAAUCGAAGCAGCAGCCCAUGCCUUUCAAAAACCCUGCUUUUACUAGAUGGAGGAGAUGCGGCUUUUCCACUGUGCAUCAACACAUAGAAAGCAGGCCUGAAUUUCACCGGAAAUUCCUGAAAGGCUGAAAGCCGCAACCUAUGUGCCAAGGGCAGGCAUCUGCAAAAAGCCUAUGUAUCCAUAGCGAUGGUUGGUGCAUACUAUCGUUUAGGCCACAGCUGUAUUUUGACCGAAACCAUCAGUUCAAGCUCAACCGAUGGUCUUCAUGCAGGUAGGCAAGUUGAAGAGUUUUUACGUGAAUUCAAGAUGUCUGCAUCCCGGACAAGAGCUAAAGAUAAAACGCAGGUCGGCGGCAGGUCAGCAGUGGCUGUGCGACGAAAAGGUGCGUGCCCUUGAUCUCACCGACCAGUGGCGCCACGGACACGGACAAGCCCGUCCAUGGGCCACGCCAUGUGAUGCCCAGUUAAAACUUAAAACUAAGCGCAACUAUGCAGAGCGCCACCGCGUCGCUGCCGCAAGAUGGCAUCGAGACCAGAGAAUACUUGUGACAAAGGAUGGGGGAUAAUAGAAAUAUAGUAGAAAGUGACAGUGAUACAUCCGAAACAACUCGUACGAUAACCAGAGUCCCAAACUCUCCAUUGCAUUUUCGAUGAUGAGUUCACGAUGGCAGGCUCGGGACCACCACUUCCCAGGCUAGGCUGCGUUUUCUCCGCGUUUAUCAGCAAAUUCAGUCAUGCAAUGAUAGACCAACAGUUUGGCUGAGUGGAUUGAGCAGGAGUGCCAACAUCGGGUCCUGGGCAUCGUAUACACCGAGAUCAAUCGUGUUUGUACAACCCAACCAUUGUUCGGUGAGGGACGCAGCCUCCCCGUUGCAGCUCACUUUGUGCGCUGAACCAACCCAUUCUCAGUCAAGUAUUCCACAAAUUCAUCUAUGAGGUAGGGCCAAGCACCUUCGUCGUCAUAGUUGGAUAGCUGUGGAUCAAUCGACUGCAACAAAACAAAAAUUAAUAAUUUGCAAGAAUAAAAGGCAAGAAAAUCAUGGACACUCGAACUUGAAAGGAGAUAUACUGAUGUGGAACAAGACUUCAGGUUGCUUCUGAGCGAUUUAUUAGUUGCUCAAAGCUUAGCUUGACAUCAGAAAUGCAGAUUACAAAACUAUAUAGCAACUACAGUCAAGGACAUCAGCUAACCACCUGAGUUGUAUGGAUUACUUCUCAAUCAAGUUUAUCUGCUAGAUUGUGGCAUCACAACUAUCUAAAUGCAUUAUACUCGCAUUCACACUGGGCAUCUAUGAUAACCACAAGCCACAACAGAUAAAUUGAAAGGGAGGUAAAAUGGACAUAAGUACCUUUACAAAUUCCAGCAGCUGGGCCCACGUGUCUCUAGAUAUGGCUUUAUUGUGCCUGACCUGAAAUUUGAAGAGCCCAAGAUGAGCAACAGUAAUGCGGGAUGCCAUUAACUUUGAGAAUGAAAUUAGUGGAACUGCCUGACUUAAGUUAUACCUGUAAAAACUGGCACCAAUGAUCCAGAAGAGGCCAGUUCCUUUCAGCAAAUAGCAACUGCCACAUCCCAAUGGCAGUCUCCAGUGAGAGAGACUUUUGACCCUGUCAAAUAAGGGAAUAUGUUACAUAAAGCUUCAUAGAAAAUAUCAGUAUAUGCAUACUGUUUUAUGAAUGAUGGAAAACUUGCCAAUGACCAACAGAUACGAGCAGCCACUGUGAAAACUGAAAGAAAUAUUCUGCAGUUAAGGCUAACCUUUUCUCUUGCCCAAGUGAACGCGAAGUUGUAUAUCUCACGAAACUUAUCUGGGUGAGAAAAGUGUAAACACACCAGUUGGAUAUGGAAAAUAAAAGGAAAUCAUUUCACUCCACACACCAAUUCUAAAGAAAAGGACACCCUUUUGCCGUGAAUGGACUUUCUAUACAUUGCAGAAUAACUUUCGGAACUAACACGAGGCCGCAUCUAACUCCAACAAGUAAAACAUUAUCAAGUUUUGCUUUAAAAAAGUAAACUCACUGUCAUCUUUGAUCUCAGCUCGUAAUGAUGGCAACUUUGCACGAAAUUUCUCGAUUGAAUCUACCCUGCAAAUAACAACUAGACUUACUAAAAGAACCAUAUAAAUGAUCGAUUCAGGAUAUGGAUCAACUUCAUAUUGGAAUAUUGCAAUUGCAAACAGCACUUACCCAAUAGACUGCAGUCCACCAAUGAAUUCCUGGCGAGUAAAUUCACACAUUGUUGCGGCUUUCAUGUGCCAUGAUAUGACAAGCUGUUAACAGCACAGAGGACUAUAUGACUAAGACCAAUAAUGAUCCAAAGGUGGCGGUGUUGAAUUAAAUAGACAGAAUAAACGUUAAAAAACUCGACCAGGGAGAAAACAUCCCCUUGGCUUGUCUUAAGAGUACCAAACCCUUUCGAGACAUACUCACACGACCUGCGAGCACCCAGGCUGGAACCAGGAUGGGCAGCCUCUCAACUGGAAGCUCUACCAACCAAGCUAUCACACGGUUUUCACAGAUAGAAUAAGGAUAUCAUUGCAACUUAUUUUUCUGUGCAAACACUACAUCCAACAUAAGUAAAACCAACUCCAGUGGAUCAGUUCAUACUACUAUAUCUGCCACAAAACUAAUUCGCAAUCAAACUUAGUAAAAAAAUAACAGAUCAUUUCAGAAGAAGCUAAGCACAUACCAUGACAAUAUCCUGAGGAUCCACCUGUGAAAUAAAGAUGAAAUACAUUCAUCAGAAAUAUAUAAAAAAGUAGGUCCGAAUAAUAGGCAAUGUAAGGUUACUAAACAGAAGGCAUAUUCCCUGCGACAGUAUAUAUGGCAACCCAUAUAAACAAUAGCAAUUUGUGUUUUUAAAACCCUCAUGAGAUAUAGAUAGUAGUAAAUGGCAGUUCCAAACUAAAAAAAAUCACAAAUCUAUAAUUCAGUCUAGAUCAUUUGCUAGAGACAAGCGCAAAGCGAUGACCCAAUAAGCCAACAUAUACACAUACUAUAAAGCCAGUCUAAUCUAAAAUCUGAUCCCUAGUGCCAAAGAAAACAAUACUAUGGAAGAAAGAUCUAUUUCUUCCACAGCAUUCAAAUAAAUUACAACAAUUGAAACAAAAAUCAGUUCCUUGCCCAAUGCAUAAAUAUAUGCUAAAUUUCUAAAUAAGUAGUCCCUCCUCCAUCUGAUUGCAUACAUAAAAAUUAUAAAUAUGCUGCCUUGGGUCCAUGCUAAUAAAAAAACUCCUAGCUUGUGUAUCAAUACACAACAAAAGUAUGUAGAUUGGCCACACGAAAUUGGUAUUGUUGAAUCAAUAAUGGGUAUAGUUUCAUUAUCGUAUUUUAUUUUUGAAAUUUUGAAAACAUUUAUGAUAUCAAUUAAAGGUCAAAAUGCUACCUCAGAGACAAUGUCAAUGUCCUAAUUUUCUUUUCUACUUGCAGCAAAAUGGAGUAAGCACAACAUAUGCCUAUGGGCGGAAAUCAAGUGAGUAAAAAGUGAACGUAUAUUUACAGAUGACAAUAGCUGCUCCUUACCUGCAGAUCAUUGCAAAGUUGAGAUAUUCCCUCCACCAUGAUCAUAUCAGCAUCAGGUUCUGCAACAAAACCAAAAUACAUCAUGAGAUCCUAAUCAAAAACAAUCACAACAGGCAAGAGAACCUUCCUCAAAGAAACAAAACAAAAAAAAAAGGUUAAUGUAUGUGUCUUGGUCUCAUGGACCUUUUUGUAUUGCAUCCUACACAACAGUGUGGGAACAUGGAAACAUAUCAGUACGUUACUAAGGGAAUUAAAUUUAAAUCUUAUCUAAGCCAAUGGAAAUUGAUACCUUUGUAUCUAUUAAAAAUGUCUUCAAGAUGCCGAGUAUUGACCGCAGAAAUCUGAGGUUGGCUAUAGAAGAAGUCAAAAGCUCCUUCCAAGUGCCAAUCACUAGCUUUCAGUGCCUGAAGGGCAACCUUCUCACUGCAUCAGGUGAUGAAAAUUGCUUACUAAAAUUGUGAUUAAUGAACUCCUAACUCCAUUUGUUGAAUACAUCAUUACAUUUUUAAUUCUCAAAUGAUGUUUUAAAUAACUAGAGUCAUUGGGCCCCCAUCUAUUUUAACAUUCCUGAUCAAUAGGUCUUAUGCACCGAAAUUGAGGUUUUCUAUAAAUUGCCAGCAUCAAAAUUCAUCUAGUCAACUACAUCUAUAAAUUGUAAGCAACAACAAUAAUUGAUGUUAUAGUGCCAAAAUAAACAAAUAUUUGUUAGAAACAAGAUGUCAAGGCACCAAAUACAUUUGAAAUUUGCAUUCCAAAGCUAGUACGAUUUUUAGGCAAGUAUAUGCCUACAAGAGAUGAGACAAAAUGCAGAAUACUUGCAUAGACAGCAACAACUUGGGUUUCUUUAUGAGUACUAGAUGCAAGUUGGAUGGCCCAGAACAGCUACCAAAUUUUUUUAACAUAUAUAUUAUGACAAGAACUAAAUUGCAUCUUAGAGCAGAAAAUGCGCAUCAUGCAUGGAUCGGCAGAAAAUUUAUUGCAAUUGGAACAUUAUGAUGCACAAUCUCAUUUAUGAUUUAGACCAACGCAUCAGCCACUGAACCACCUAAUAUGGUAGCUACGUUGCCAAUGGCCACAAUAAUUCGAUACCCUAGGGUCCACCGGUAAAAUCAAAUUCAACAGCAAUUAAACAACCGCACCUCGCGCCGGUUAUGGUCAUGAACUGCUGCACCUUGUCGCGGUUUCCUCUCCCCAGCUUAUACUGCACAGCGCGCGCGCAUAGCACCGAAUCAGCAAUAUUAUCUUUUCAAAGAAAAGAUCAGAUUCCAAGAGUUCACACAUCGGACUAGAGAAGUUAACCCACGAAUCGGAGCCGUGAAGCGAUAAGAGAACAUCGGCGGCGGCGAUUCCCGCACAGGCCGAUUCAGCUACCGAAAAAUCUCACAAAAAAGUGGGGAGGAGAUCGGGGGGAACAGCACGAGCGGAACAGGGGCAGGCGGUAGAGACCAGAGACUCACCAUCUUGGAUCGGAGCGCGGGGAGGACGCCGGGGAGGGGAAGGGGCGGCGCUAGGGGUGGGGUUUCGCGGAGAAGCUCGAGCUGUUGGCCUCUAGCGCUCUCUCGCCGCCUCGCCCCUCCUUUUUAUUCCUCUCUCUCUCUCUCUCUCUCUCUCUCUCUCUGUGUGGAUGAACGCUGAGUGCUGACUCUAAUCCAGCGUGGCGUGUGUACGCAGACGAAGACCUGGCCCGAGCCGAGGAGUGGAAUGACCGAAAUGCCCUCUCGGCGAGGACGACCGGACGAGCCCUAGUCGAUUCUCGCACAUUUCGGAUGCACCAUCAGAUUUGUGGUUAGCCCACCUUCAAUGUUUGAUCUAAUGUACUAUACGUUAUUCAUUUUAUAGAAAAAAUAUUAAAAGUUUCUAAAAAAAGAGAAGAUAGUAAAAAUAUUAUCUUUAUAGUAAUUUACCAAAUAAUAUAUUGCUUAAAAUAUCUUGGAUGUUGCAACCUCGAUCUAAUCUCUCUUUUAUGAAUAGAGUGUGGAGCUCACUUUCUCUCAUGCGAUCUACUCCAACAAUGACAAGUUAUCUAGCUCAUAAAAUCCAACUCUUCAUUUUACUUACAUCGAAGAAAGGUAAGGUAAGAAAAGUGAGUGUAUUAUCUCUUAUUCAAGAACUACCUCAUAGAGAAAAAAUGAGCUCCACGCCUCCACACUUUAUUGAGAAAAUAAAGAUUAUGGGUUCCAAGAUAUCUUGAACAAUAUGCUAAAAACUAUUAGAGAUAUAAUUUUUUUACUAGUUCUUCUAUAAGGUGGAUAAACUUUAAACAAGUGCGCUAGUUCUUCAAGAAGCCCUAAUCUUCCGUCCCACAACUACAUAUCGUUUAGCUAUAAAUUAUCAUUUUGUUACCCACGCGGAGAGGAAAAGGAAUUCUACCUAUUCUGCAUCCCAGAGGCUAUGUCCGUCUCACGUCUAUUUCUUUUUUUUUUCUUUUCUAGCAGCCCAUCAUGAUGAGAAGGGGUUGUAGGAGCCGGCAGGAAAAUACAAACUAACGUGUGCAAAGGAUAUCAAACUCGGACCUUAUACUUGGAGGUGAAGUUCACUACCACUAUUCUACCUAAUUAUUUGUGUGUUUUGAAAUAAAAGCUCCCCUAUAAACUGUUCCCAUCAGUAGUUACAAUAACGGAUUAUUCUAACUUUUUUAUUUUAUCUUUUUUUUGUAAUUCUUUUUCUUCUGUACUAUUAUACUUUAUCUUAAAUAUCCUACGAGCAUGCAUGCCAGCCGUCUCGAGCUCUCGUUCUACCCUGUUAAUUGAUAUGGGCUCGUUAUAUUUAAAUAUCCUACCUACCACAAAUUAAGACUUGACAAAGAAGAAUAUAAGUUUUAUCGGAGGGUUGGCCUAUGUCACGCGUGAGCUAUAGCAUGUCAACGGUCUUGAGUUCUUGACCUCUAGCGCUCUAUUGACGCCUCCCCUCCUUUUCAUUCCUCUGUCUUUCUCCCUAGUGCCAUGUGAAUGAAUGGUGAGUACUCAUUCCACGAGCAACAAAUAGAUUGACAAAAAUGAUUCCCUUUCCUUAUAAUAAACUGGUAUGAAGGGAAUGAAUGGGCUAAAAAUAUGCUCUAGCAUACUGAGAAAAAAAUUUCUUUAUAUUUUUCUCAAUUGAGAAAACUUAUUUCCCUCUCCCCUUUGUAAAGGGGAUUGACCCUCUCUUCCCUUUCCUACCCGUUUCUCCCUUUUCUUCUCCUGCACAGCAUCUUCUUCUUUUGCACGUAUUUUUUUGCGCUGCCCUAGCUUACUUCCCUUCACUCACCUUGCCUUGUUGCAUUACGCAAGAUCGUCAGCAUGGCGAUCAUCGAGCCCUACGCCUGCACUUGGGCUGCCCUGCUGUUGUUAGUCAAAUCCAAGCCACCGCCAUGCUCGGGCCACCGCCGGGAGCUCAAUCAGGGUUAAUUCUAGCAGUCCACCGAGGCAGAUUGUUUGCAGGGAAUCGUUGGGUCUGGAACAUAAUGGUGAGCACAGACACACAUAGAAUAAUUAACCAGGUUUGGGCUAUUAAAUUGACGUAACACACUACGUCAUGUGCUAGAGUUUGUAUUCUCAUGGUGAUGCACAUUGAAUAUGGCAUAGAUUUUUCUGAGAAGGUACCUACCCGCCUUAUAUACUCAGGGGUAUGAUUACAAGUCAUUUUAGAUCUAAUUCUAAUCAGUUACUAUCCUACAAUGUGAACGUUACAUGACAAACCCUAUAGCCCUACUGAAUUUGGCAUAGGAGGUGUGUGAUGACCAUUGCAAAGUAAUUGGGUGCCGAAGAAGUUUUUCUUUACCCUCAAGAGUGCGCUACAGACCAGCGCGGUGGGCCCCUCGCAACGCAAGCUUCUCCACCACCGCGGGCUCAACACGUUGAGUAUGGGCCGCUGCCUGCACAUGAAUGGGGCAUCUAUAAUGGGGAUGUCUCCUUAAGUCAAGCUCGCUGCCAACUGCCCAAACAUGUCCAUGGAUGGAGCGGCGACGGGACUGGGUGAACCAGCUUGGCAGGUUGAUGCAAUGGGCCACAUUCUGUUGCGUGGGCGGAUGGUAGCAUCCUCGGUUGUGUUCUUGCCCGCCAAUACGUCACCCUUUCCACAGUCGUCGUCCACCUGUACAGUUGUACCCAACUCUCUCUUGCACCAUAUGCCAGCGCUGAGAGGAUCUGCCCAGUGUCGGCAGCCGCCUACCAUCACAUAGACCCAACCACGCUCAUCAUUAACGGCAAUAGCUCUAGCUGUGGAGGCAUCCAUCUACUUUGUCUAUGCAGAUGGAUCGAAUACACCAACGUAGUUAUAGAGAUAGAGUGGUCUGGCCGGCACCAUUAAUCCGGUGGUGGCCGGAUGUCUUCACCCCACUCUCACAAUACCUCCACUGGACAGCCUCUCCCGCUGCCAUCGCCUUCUGCUUGCUGGCAGCUGCACCGGCUCGGCUUCAUCGUCACUUCAUCUGGCUGAACCCUAUAGAGAUGCUCGGUUGGUUCCUCCCUGCAAACGUUGGAGCCAGCACAACAGCCUUCUAGUUGUACAUUCAUUAGUGCGCAUUUUAGUUGAUGUUUCCUAUGAAAAGUAGAUUUCUUUGACGCCGAACUGUUCUGCACGUUCGGUUUUUAUUCAUAUUUUGAUCUGCGGAUAGUUUAGGUGUACCAGGUUUGGUGGUAUGGAGGUUAGCAAACUGUUGUAUAGGUGAACACCGAUUCUGUCCAUCUCUAAUGGAGAUAUUCAUGAAUCUUUAUUUGAUUCCAUUAAUGAUCGGUGCAUGCUAUAUUCUUACUAAGGAAAGGCAGCUUGUGUCAAGAUAUCUCCAAGCUCCAUUCUAACUUGAGCUCAUAGGGGUGGAUCUGGGGGUGCAGGGGCUGACCCCACCCCCCCCCCCCCCUCCUCGAGCUGGUGCAUCAAUGGUACAAUGGGAAGGGUGUGUGGGGGGAGGGGGGAGAGAGAGAGAAAGAGGGAAAUAAAUAAGAAAAUUGGAGAGAUUGAGAAGGAAGAAGUGAAAGCGUGAAGCAGGAACAGAAUUGCACGCGAUAGCGAUGCCUUUAUCAUUCAUUUGUUAGUAUAGUCCGUGUGCAGCAGGAUUAUAACAGAAAAUAUCUUUAUAGUUGUUUGACUAACAAACUACAACAAUCUCUAAACAAACUCUUGUUACAAGCCGGUAGCCUUCUUCAGCAGAGCAUGCACAUAUAUUCUGACAGCCUCCCGCAGUCUCAACUAAGGAGCCGGGCGAAUGGUGAGACUGCAUCAAAAAUCAGUGAACAGAGGGGUCGGUAAACCUUUCGUGAAGAUGUCCGCAAACUGAAAAUGAGAUGGAAAAUGAAGGACAUUGAUGUCACCGAGAGAAACUCGUUCACGAACGAAAUGAAGAUCCAUUUCCACAUGUUUUGUGCACUAGUGAUGGACAGGAUUAGUGGAAAGAUAUACAACGCUAAUGUUACCGCGCUGGAGAGGAUAGUGAAGCUCACGGAGGAGCUGACGAAUCCAGCAAGCUUCGACGACUGCGUUUGCAAUGCCACGAUAUUCUGCUUCCGCACUAAACCCGGAAAAAGGUAUUUUGACGUGUGGAGGACCAAAAUAUGAGAUUGUCAUCAAGAAAAAUACAGGACCCCAAAGUAGAUUUGCAUGUAUCCGGGCAGCCAGGCCAAUCGGCGUCGGCAUACGCAACAAGAUCACGAGAAGAACACCGGGAUAGGUGCAGACCGAAGGAGGGGGUACCACGAAUGUAUCUGAGUAUACGCUUGAUGAGAGCAAAGUGGGGUUCACGUGGAUCAUGCAUGUACAUAUAUUCUUACAAGAAGGAGCUCAGCCUCCCCUCCAAUGCUUUGCUACAUCUGCCACUGCAUAAUAUAUAGUGUAUCUGGCAAAUAGGUGUUAUGGUUUCGCCUUUCGACCAAAAAAAGUAUUGUUAAAUUAAAGCAGCAAAAGAGGUUAGCUCUAUUGACUUCACAAUGAUGCUAACUAGCUCCAUUUCUACUUUUUGCAUCCCACAUUCAGGAUGCACAGGUAUAUUGUAUGUGUUCAUAACUUGAUUUCAUUCCACACUGAUUAGUUGCCUUAGGUCCUGAAAAAACAUAUCAAUCCAGCAGGUUCUUCAGGUGAGCUCAGAGUUCCGCGGAGCUGAAAACAUUUUUUUCUCCAUCUUUCUUUGUUGAAAGAUCAAUACAUUAUUUUAUUAAGCUCCUUUUAGAUACAGUUUGUUUUAUCAAAUUCUGUUUAUACAUAUUACAUUGUAGUCAUAUGUUUAUUUAAUUUGUUUAGCUGAUCAUGUUUGUAUCAGUUUUGAGAUGAUUUAAUCAUACAGAUUACAUGCUUAAAUUAAAUUUCUUUUGUCUCGAAAUAUUCUUUUGCACUAAAGUCUGCAGUAUUGAGCAAAUGCCUUAAUGCUCAGUUGCUUGCGACAUAAAUACAACCUUACAUAUUACUUUUUUUGUUGACUUUAAUUCUGUGUGAAGGUGUAUAUUGUUUGCUCUUUAAGGUAAGUCCCUUAUUCUGCAAGUACAAGUAAAUUUUCAAGGUAGACUGUUUUACAAAGAGCUUUAGAACAAUGAAUUAUGUCACUGAUAGUAAGGGUGUUGAAUUAGUUCUAUAUAUUAACCUGAUGUCCAUACCUGCAGUGGUAACUAGCACUAAGGUCUGUCUGCCUGAACCUUUCACAUAAUGCCCUGUAUUGAUGUUCAAAAAUCAUAUCUUCAAUUACUGUUGCCAUUGUUAAGUACCGAGAAUCAUUGUCAGUUGUCACACAUUGAACACUUCGGAGUACUGGAAUUCGUUCAACAUCGUGGUAAAACGAUGCUUCUGUUGCUCGUCAUUUUGCUCUCUUCUUUCUUUUUCCUGAGCCCUUUCUCAUCAGAUCAGAUAGAACAACAGAAGAAGAUUCCUCCUCCUGUUAACAGGGUUAAACUGUGUGGAUUCGGAUUGGUGUAUCCGAAUCCGGCUCUUUCGGCCGGUGACAAACAAGGUAAGAUAAUUAUUUUUAUUGCUUACUGCUACUCGGAUUCGAAAUCAUCGCCUCACCAUCCAUAAAUACAGGAGCUAGAGCGCGCCUUUGCCGUGAUCCAUCAGGCGUGCGGGUGCGGCCGUACGGAGACAGAAAGGGGGAGGGAGACAUACGAGCCACCUGAUCGAGGUGGGGCUAUGUCGAAGCGCAAGGUUUCGGAUGAUCGCCGCGGCGACUGCGCCGGCAAGCGGCCAAAGCAGGCGAAGCAGCAUCUCUACCUGCUGCUGGACGACUGGGAGAGGGGCAGCGUCCGCAAGUUGGACGUCGACACCUUCGACUCCGACGCCGGCACCGACCUGCUCCAGCCGAGGCAUUUCACGGAGCCGCCGGUCGCCCGCAUUGAGGCCCUGCACGAGAUUUCCUGCGGCUUCAUCUCGCACGGCACCAAGAUCUUCGCCAUGCAGCCCGGGGAAGGCAAGCCAGCCAUCCCCGCCUUCGACACGCACGAGCUGGGCCUGACCAUCUGCCUGUGGCCCUCCUGCCGAGGGAACUACGUGAACCGACCCCUCUUCGCCUCCGUCGCCGGCAGGCUCUUCAUGUUCACGGACGUCCUCGCGGAGGCGCUCGGCGACCCGCCGCCGUACGACAGCAAGGCGCCGUGGUCCUGGACAACCAUCAAGGCGCGACCGCCGUUCUUCACCGGCCGAGUACUUUGCCACGCACUGCACCCGGACGGCCGCACACUCUUUGUGUCCGCAGGCUCUCGGUCUCGGCAGCGGAACUGCGAAGACUCCCCGGAGCAAGCAGGGCAGGGGGACUGGGUGCUGCCUUUCUCUGGCGAGGCCUACUUCGACGCCGAGUUGGAAGCGUAGGUCGGCCUCUGCGGCGAGAGGAACGGCGACGGGUGUUUCUGCGCCUGCGACGUUGCCCCCGUCGCCGCCGAGUUCACGAGCGCGCCGGCCUGGAAGCUAGGCCAGGAUAGGCUGUUCCGGAAGGGGCCGCAGUUGCAUCUAGGUGCCAAGCUCCUCUACAUGGGCGACAGCAAGUUCUGCCUCGUCGAGUCCGUCCUCCACAAGGAGGACGACGACCGGCUAGUCGCCUAGUACGUGACUCCAUCCACGAGUUCGACCUCGACGCGCAGUGCCCAUGGCCACGCCGGCGUGUGCUCCGCAUGACCACGUUUGGCCUCAAGUACAAUAAGAAGGGGAGCUGCGGACCAAGCUGCGAUGAGCUGGCGCGUGUAGGGUUUAUAAACGACCUCAUGAUUUUGGGGAAUCAUUGGACCGUUGCCCUUGGGCAUUCUGGCUCUAAGGGCUUUCGCGUACGUGUUUGGACGGGUGCACGCGUUCCCUGCGGAUCUGGAGCCGGCGGCGGUGGAGCUCGGUGGUUCUGCUGGUUCGGACAGGGAAGAAAGAAAGCGAGAGAAAAAGAGAUUGGAAGGAAAACGAGAGGCGAGGCUGAGGAGAUUGAAAGCGGGCAAGACCGGUUCAGGUCUCCGUCGGUCGUUCGAAGUCAACGAAAUUGAUUCGAAUUAACUUGCAAUUUCGAAAGUAAACUUAACAAAAA